rnacentral:lncRNA from 1 species
UGUAAAAAAUUGAAAUGACUCCAUUAACCAUUGAGGAUCAUAAACAUAAAUCAUCAUGGUAGACAAAACAACAAUUAAUCUAAACCUAGAAUUAACAAAAACACAAAAUGUCAAAUCUUAUUCUUUUAUCUCCUUCACAAACUUCUUAAGGUUCUCAUAAGAUGUACCUCCUUUUGCUAUGUUGUUCAUCACUUUCUCCUUCAACACCACACACCUAAAUUUCAUGCUCUCAUCAUUACAUAAUUGUUCAACCUUGGUUUUCAACUCUCCGCGUGACACAACUCCAUUUUGAUCUUUGUCAAUUCCCAACCCAACCUUUAACUCAUCACAAAUAUGUGUUUUGUUGUAAGGUUGGUCUCCAAAGUAUGGCCAACACAAGAAAGGUACCCCAUUGGACAAACCUUCCAUGGUAGAAUUCCAACCACAAUGAGUGAGAAAACAUGCUAUGGCAGGGUGACUUAAAACCUUUUGUUGAGGAGCCCAAUUCACUAUCUUACCCUUAUGCCCUUGGAAUUCAUGAGGGUAUGCCAUUUUAUUGUCUUCUCUUAUAACCCAAAGAAAAGGUCUAUUGGUGAGGUCUAGUCCUAGGGCAAGUUCAUUGAAUUGGUUUUGGUCAAAAAGAGUGAUACUACCAAAGGCAACAUACAACACAGAACCAUCAGCUUGUUCAUCUAGCCAACUCAUGCAAGAGAGAUCUUCUUCCCAGAAUUGUCCCAAUGAUCUUAGAGUUACAUUAGUUUUGUAAUGAUGAUCACUUCUCAACAACGGACCAAUUGGAAGGAAACUCGGAACAAGGGUUAAUACGUGAGGUUCAAGUUCAUGUGCAGUAUCACAAAGCCACCAUUAAGUCAAAUUUAAAGCUGGAGUACAGUGAUGCACCAAGUAAUUAAGGUAAUGAGAACCAUCCAUAAGUCCAGNNNNNNNNNNNNNNNNNNNNNNNNNNNNNNNNNNNNNNNNNNNNNNNNNNNNNNNNNNNNNNNNNNNNNNNNNNNNNNNNNNNNNNNNNNNNNNNNNNNNCAUGACAUAAUUGAGAAGUAAAAUAUGUUUUUAGAUGGGCAUGGUAUUUAUUAAAACAGGACCAAACAAAAGCAUAAGGUGCCACACUUUAGAAACAAAGGCAACAAUACAAAAGUAUAGUAAAGUAUGAUAGUGUUCUUACCAUCUGAAUCUAUGAUCCCAUCAUCAACGAGCUUUGGAACACUGCUUACCAAAUGAAACAAAGUUGCAGAGGCAGGCCAAAACAGAGCUCCUUUGAUUUCCAAUUCACAGGCAACAUUCAAUAUCCAUCCAACAUGUACAUCUGCAACAAUAAACCUGAUUCUGUUGUCACCUUUCAAAUGAAUAUUAUUAUUAUCCUCUAUGAGCUUUUUAAGUGCUUCUGGCAUGGUGAUUAGCAUAGAAUCACAUAGCUUGCCCAAGUUGUUUCUGUCAUCAUCAGGUCCUAAGCCAUCUGGGAUUGAGACCAACUUCAGUGGUGAUUCUUCAUUGUAUUGAUCCACCAUUGAGCUCACCACUCUCUUGUGGUUGAAGUCUGUGUUCACAAAUAUGACUUUGCAUCCAUUCUCCACCAGCUUUUGUGAUAGGGUUAACAUGGGAUUCACAUGCCCUUGACAUGGAAAUGGGAAAACUAGCACAGUUGGAAUGCUCAUGCUGUGUUCUUGUGUUUGCACUUCACGGGUAUGGCUUUGUUUAUAUACUCUGAAAAUAUGACUACCAGUUGUUAUAGGCUCAUUGGAUUAAGGAUAAUUGGUAAAUAUUUGGAACCACAAAUUUAAGUUUUGUUUUUAUCUGAAUGUGAGUUGUGUAUAAUUUAGUUAUCUAUAAUGUUAAUAGAAAUGUUAAGAAUUAUGGUUAUUGUUUACUGUGUAGCCAAAUCAAUUUUUUCUUCUUCUUUAAUAUAAUAUGAUUAUACAAAAUUGAGUUUGGUAGUUGAAUUGGAUUGUGAAAGUGCUGGUACCAAAGAAUAAGAAAACUUUCCACCUAUUGAUGGAUCUAAUUGAGUGAUAAGGGAACCAGAUGCUCGUCCUUGGCCAACUAUGCCAGAAUUUGCCCUUUCAAAAGCAAUGGUGUUGUAACGACCACAUCCCAUUCAAAUUCCAGGGAAUUUUUGUUAUUCUGCAUGCAGUACAGAACCCAAUUGUACAGUACGUUCACGAUAAUGGAAGUAAGUUAUUUCUUCUCCAAUUUUCCUAACGAUCAUGAUGAGAGGGACAUGUGGAAGAUUUUUCAGCGAAGUGGAGGAUUAAAAGACGUUGUGAUUUAAAAAGAUUAAUCGUAAAAGGGCAGAGGUUUGGUUUUGUUAGAUUUCAGGAUGUUGUAGACGUUGCUAAUCUAGAAAAAAAGCUUAAUAUUAUCUGGAUUGGGACAUGGAAGCUGAGAAUAAAUAAACCAAAAUACAAGAGACUUCUGGAGGUUAGGAAGGAGUGGAAUGGAAACCAUAAACCAAGGAAACAACAAAACGAGUGGAGGCAGAGGGAGCAACAUCUAACGUACGCUCAGGUGGUGGUGAAGGAGAAUAAAAGGAGAGUACAAGGGGUUAAGGCACAAGGACUGGUUCAUGUCAGAGUUCAGGAGGAAAAUGCAAAAUGGCUGAGAAGUUGCUUCGUAGGAAGAGUGGCGAAGGUGGAGAAGGUGCAGUCCAUGAAGUAGUGUUUCAUUAUGGAUGUUUUCAAGUGUAUUAGAGUGAGGUAUCUAGGGGGGACUACGUUCUGCUGUCUGAGGAUUUGGUAGGGGUGGUACAAAAAGCGUUGGAAGACAAAAAGGAGUGGUUUGCAAAUGUUUUUGCAUUUGUAGUCCCAUGGGAUGACAUCUUUGUAGUGGAGGACAAGAUUGUAUGGGUUAGAUGCAGAGGAAUUUCUUUAAAGUUCUGGAGUAAACAUUGUUUUGAACAAGUAGCAGCCCUCGUAGGGUCAUUGAUAGAAGUCGAUGUUGCAACGUUAUCAAGUACGCAAGGGUGCGUGUGAGGGUUCCUGUGGCCAGAGAAGCAUGCACGGUGAAGAAUGUGAGACUUAACGAAACAUUGUGUAAGCUAGUUAUAGAGGAGGAGACUUCCAUCACGAGUCUCUGCGUAUGCGGUCCUCAUUAUAAGUGGAGGGAGAUGCAUGGAAGGGAGUCAAAUGGUUAUUGGGUCUCGAAAGGCCCAGCGAAGUGAAGGCAGUAUGUUUAGUGUUUUCAUGGGUUUGGGCCCAAGGAAGGUGGAAGUUGAACAAUCAGGGGGUAUUGCAAGCACAUAACCCACGAAAUGGCAGCUAGAACAACGUUUACGUUGGCGAGGGGAGGAAUGGUGCGUUGCGAGUGAGUAAUGGAGGAAGGCAGGUGAGGGGUAAGGUGAAGCUCCUAUUGAGGUUGGGCGCUUGCAGAGGAGAAGGUGUCAUUGUCAUAGAGACAAAAGAGGGUGUUGAAACAUAUCAGUUGGCACAACGGGGCUAUGGCAGAUUUUCCCCAACAACGACGACGUUUAUAAGUGCCUAAUUUCAAUAAUAUUUUAUAUUAAAAUAUAGGUACUUAUGUGUAUUAAUUUCUAAAUUACAUAUAAAAUAAAUUCCUAAUUUAUGAAUUUAUGCCUUUUUUACAUUUUUUAUGAUCUUUAUUUGAAUAAGAACAUUUUAUUCCCAUAUUUGGUGUUAAUUGUAGGUUUCUAGGGAAAAAUGGAGAUUUGGACUAAAGAAGAAUGAUAUAAGCUAAAAAGAGAAUGCUGGAAGGUCCAGAAAGCACAAAAAGAGAAAAAAAAGAGUCCAACCCAGUAGCAGAGUUCUUGCUCAAACAAGCUAUAUCUCGCUUGAGCGAGAGAGCUCCAACAACGUUCUCAAAAAAUCGACUCCUUUCUCGCUCAAGCGAGAAUGCAUCAGAGAAAUUGGGCCAUUUUUAUGUUUUAUCAAUAAACCCAUCAGUGCGACGCAAGAAGUCACAUAACCCUAGUAAAUUAGGUUAAAUAGGGGGCUAAAGGCUCAACCCUAGUAUGCCAGAUUGAGAGAAAAACACAUUUGAGUGAUUUGUAACCAAUUGGGAGAAUGGAAGGUGCUGGAAGUAUGCGUGGGUAAUUCUACCCUUUGGGAUUGGGAGUAAUAUGUUCGAACUCUUAUGUAUUGAGGUGAUGUUUAAAUAUGAUAUCAUAUUUUGUCCUUGAUUGAUUAUUGGUAUUGUUGUUUUUCUUCUAAAUAGUGGUGACAUGUUUGAGAAUCUUGAAUUAGACUGGGAGGUAUUUUCAGGGUUCUGACCUAAACAACAAUACUUAACAUAUUUGAAUGUUAGAGAUAACUUGAAAUGUCAAUUGCUAUUAACGUCUGAGCGCGACUCUGAGUUGUUUUUAUAAGUAUGCGAGAGUUCGAUAUUUAGGAAACAUUCUUAAGAAUUUUAUAUGCGAGAGAUUGAUAUAAAUGAUUUUUCUACAGACAUCAAUUUCAAUAAAAGAACUUAAUGUUAACAUGCUAAUCAAAAUACAUGAGAGUGAGCAAGAUGAAACCUAAUCCCUAUUUGUCCAAUUGAAGCAAUUACUCUUUGAUUUGUUUUCUUGUUAAUUGUUGCCAUUAUAACAAUUUUCAAACCAAAUUUUUAUUGUUUUGUUUUAUAUUUAGUGAAUAUUGUACUUGAUAAUUCAAUUGUUCCUUGUGACAUUGAUAUUCAUUCUUUAUUACUUCUAACAACGCGAUGUACUUGCUGUAAAAAGUCAUCAGGCGUCCCCGGCUUCUCCCCUGCAUUCAUUUGGAGAAGGCAGCGAGCAAAGGGGGCGGAUAAGGGUGAAAAUUUUAAGUCUUCGAGCUGCAAUGGAAAGGCAGCCACGGAGGAGAAGGAAGACAACGACUUAAGGGGAUGUGCGACUUUGGAGGAAGGUGAUGGUGGUUGGUGCAGGGGAGAUGCGGACGUGAAGUUCGCUGAAAUUUUAAUCGAAGCUAAGGGAGAUGGAGAUUUUUCAAAAAGAGGAGCGGAAGCGAGAAUAUUGACGGGGGCCACACCGACAAACUUUUCGGUGCAAAAUCAACGGGAAAUAAGGUUAGAUUCUUAGAGCUCAAUCAAUUGCUCUACUCAUAGUGCACUUAGGAAUUGUAAUAGGUUGUUUUGGAUUAAAACGAGUACUCGAAAGCUGAUAGAAUUUGGAAUGUUGGUAAGGAGGUGGGGUUUUCCUUUCUCGGAGAGGGUGAUGUUGUUAUUGGUAAGCUACAAGUCAUGGAGGUUAGAGACAAAUCUGCAGGUAGGAGGGAGGAAAUAAGCAGGGUGGAGAAUAGUCUGUCUAAUGAGUAAGCUAAUUAAUAUGAAUAUAAGGGGAGUAGGGGGAAAUAUUAAAAGGAAAUAUCUACGAGUUGAUUAAGAAAGAACAAGUAUGUUUACAGGAGGCAAAAUGUAAGGAGUUGGGGCAAGAAGAGAUUUUUAAAAUGUGGGGUACUAAUGAAGUGGAUUGGGUUGAAAAUGGAAUUAAAAACAAUGCAGGAGAGGUGAUCACGAUGUGGAGGAGAAGUUGCUUUCUUCUUAGUAAUUUUAUCAAUGAGAAGAAUUAUAGUAUAAUAGAAAGGGAGUGGAGGAUUGGAGAGCCGAUACAGAUCACUAUUGUUGACGUGUAUAAUUCCGGUUCCUUGGAAGAAAAAAGAUAAGUAUGAGAGGAGGUCAGAGAGAGGAGAACGGUGCAUGGAUCAAAGGCUUGGUGCGUGGUUGGGAACUUUAACUCUAUCAGGAGAAUAUGUGAAAGGAGGAAUGCAGGAAACGAUAUUGAUCACAGUAGGGAGAUGAGAAGAUUCAAUAAUUUUAUUGAAAACACUGAGUUGGUUGAUAUUUCGAUGAUGGGAAGAAAGUUUACGUGGUAUAAACCAAACAAUUUAAUCAAGAGUAGAAUUGAUCGUAUCUUGGUGUCGCGGGAAUGGUUGAAUAAGUAGCCUAACAGUAAACAUCUCGUUCUAAACAGAUCGGUGUCUGAUCAUUGCGUCCUGGUAUUAAAAACAGAUACUACGGAUUGGGGACUGAAACCAUUUAGGUCGUUGGAUAUAUGGAAAAAUGACGACAAAUUUAUGGAUUUCGUUAGAGUGAAAUGGGGAAGUUAUGACGUGCAAGGAAGUGAGAUCUUUGUCUUUAAAGAGAAGUUGAGAAUGUUGAAAGUUGAUCUUAAAACCAGGGAUAGAGAGGUGUUCGAUAAUGUUGAUCAGUUGGGGGAAGAUUUACAGAAGAAAGUUUAGGAGUCUGAUGCAAAGGAUGAUGAGGGCGAGUUGGAUGAGGAAGGAAGAGAGGAAAGAAAAUGGCUUUUAGCAAAGCAGAGAAGAAAUAAUCACGGACAUGAAGCUUUAUUUCAACAUAAGAUGCGCCAUGGAUGGUUGAAUCAGGGGGACUUGAAUACAAGAUAUUUUCAUUCGGUAAUCAAAUAGAGGAGAGCAAGGAACAACAUUAGUGGGCCGAGAGAAAAUGGCCAAUGGGUUGACGAGCAAGGUGAGGUCAAGAAAAAGGUUAGAGAUUUCUUCCAACAAAGGUUUGGUGGUGAUGCUUGUAAAUGUGUCAGGAUUGAUAAUGCAAGGUUCAACAGGAUUUCAGAAGAAGACAAUGAUAUGUUGGUAGGAAGAAUAAUCGAAGAGGAAAUAAAACAUGUUGUUUGGUGUUGUGAAAGUGAUAAAAGCCCGAGACCGGAUGGAUUUAACUUUGGCUGCAUUAAGUUUUGUUGGGAUGUUUUUAAGGUCGAUAUCAUUAGGGCAAUUCGUGAUUUUAAGGAAGGAGGAAGAUGGCCAAGGGGGACGAAUGCUUCGUUUAUCUCCUCCUAAAUAACCCGCAAAAAUUUGAACGAUUUUAGACCAAUUUCUUUGAUUGGCUAUCUAUACAAAAUUGUGACUAAAAUUUUGUCUUUGAGGCUGAAAAAUGUUUUGCACAAAGUUAUUGACAGUAGGCAAUUUGUUUUCUUGGAGGGUAGGGGGUUAAUGGAUAGUGUUUUAGUGGCAAAUGAAGUUUUGGAAGAAGUGAAGAGGAGAAAGACCAGUUGCUUUUUUUUUUCAAAGUUGACUAUGAAAAGGCAUAUGACUCGAUCAUUUGGGACUUUAUCUAUUACAUGAUGGACAAGUUAGGUUUCUGCGGAAAAUUGAUUGAAUGGGUAAGGGCAUGUCUCGAAUCAUCCUCCGUGUCCGUGUUAGUAAAUGAGAAUUCAGACCGAGGAAAGAAUUAAGACAAGCAGAAUUGAGAAAAAGAUUGGCUGGAGUAGUUAGGAAGGCGGUCGAGAAAGAGAUUCUAGAAAACCUGGAGAUUGGAGACAAGUUUGUUAAGGUAAACAUGCUUCGGUAUGCGAAUGAUACCCUUUUUUCUGCAAAGCUAAAGUGCAAAGUGUGUUCGUUAUCAAAGCCAUCCUUAAUUUAUUUGAAUUAGCUUCUGGUUUAAAGAUUAAUUUUGAGAAGAGCAGAAUAUGUGGGGUGGGAGGUGAUUUACAUAUGGGGCAACUUUGUGUAUCUAUUUUGAACUGCGCUGUGAUGAAGACUACGUUUAAGUAUUUGGGCAUGCUAGUAGGGGGAUGUCACAAAAGAAGUAAGUUAUAGGAAGACUUUGUCUGAUAAAAUUGGUUCUAUCUUCUCUACCCAUGUUCUAUAUGUCACACACACACAAUAUUUCAAAAUAUUGCCCUCUUCAUAGGAAUUUUAAUAUUUACACAUAUCAAACUAAAAUACUUAAGAAAACUAAACAUUUCCUUUGCUCAUUGUGAAGCUCUCUCAUUUGUAGCAUCAUCUGCUUCCGUAUAAAUACAUGAUCAUCCUAGAUAAGAAAAACAAAUUAUAAAAUAAACAACAUGGUAAACUAGCUAUUUUUAAAAUUUCAAAUAUAAAUUUAACUUAAAUUAACAAGCAUAAAUGCAUCAAUUCUCAUAUAUUUCACAAAGAAAUCAAGUGUGUAUAAAAUUCAUAAUUCAUCUUUCUCAUGUCAAACUUCUCCUAACCCACAACACAUAGACACUUGACUCUACUUUCAGAAGACAAAUGUAUUGAAAUUAGCACUCAGAAACAAACAAUCCUUCAAGAAAAUUGAACUAGUGUCCACGUCACCCGCACAUCCAGAUCUUCUAACCUAGGUUCUAUUGAAAAUUUAAAACUAGCUUCCCUUACCUGACUUUAGUAGGUGUGCUCACAAAGAGCUCCAACUCCUACUACAAUAAAUGAUAACUUAACCUGCAUCACAGAGUCUUAAUCAAAGGUCUAAAUAUAACACUAGGAAUUUGAAUUAAGAGUGGUUAAUCUUGAAGUUAGAAACAUCACAUGAAACAACCUAUACUAAGACAAACCUAACUAGUUAAGAACUGACUCAAAGGAAAAAUGAGCAAAAAAAGAAGAAGAACUUACUCUGUCUAAGAUUCUAAUCGUACCGUCUUGUGGCCUUUGCUGCUAGGAGUCCAAUAAUGGACUCUGAUCGUUAAUAUGAUGAAUGAGGAUGUCGAAAUUUUAGAGAUAAGGUAGAGAAAAGGAAAAUAGAAGUUUCAGAGAGAUGGUAAUUCUUUUAAAAUGAAAUAUGAGUAACUGAAUUUCUUUUCAUAUACUAUUUUCACUUUAAUAAUAAAAUAUUCAAGUUUCAUUUAAAAUAUAUCACUUCUACUCUAAAAUUAGUUUUUAGAUCCUUACCUUCAUCAAUACAUUUAUUUAUUUAUUAUAAAAGUUUUUAGUGGCAUAAGAGUGUAUGAAUACAUUAUACCGUUAACUUCAUCUUCAACUUACAUCAUGUGAAAAUUUCAUUUAAAUAAUGUUUAAAGCUCACUAGUGGAAACUCUAAUGUUAGUUACAAUUACUGUAUAUAGGAACCUAUAAUAAUAGUUUUUUAAACUAAAAAUUAUUGUUGAACUGGACAAGAGUGAGAAUUUACUAAAAAAACCUUCAAAUUAUAAUUUUUAUUCAAUAAUAAUUUUUUUAUAAAUAAAAAUUAAAUUUUGUUAAGAAUUCAGUUGGAUCCCAUAUUUUUUUUUAGUUUUCUUUUUCAACUAUUUUUUUUGUGUGGAUUCUUCUUAUCAUUUGUAGAGUAGCUAGUUACAUGAGCAACAACUUUUUUUGAAAGGGAUGGGAGGGAGGGAGUCUCUUUUCUCAUAUUCCAGUCUCUUUUUCUGCUGGUGUAUGUGCUAAUCAAAUUCCUCUGAUUUGGGAAGUCUUUAUAGUUUAAGUUUUUUAGUGUUAAGUGCUCCCUUAACCCUGUUUUGUAUUGUUGUUUGUUUAAACUAUGGAGGUAUUAUGUAUAAGGAUUGGGACACUCUUUAAGUGUCUCAUUUUUAUUUUAUUAAUUUAAUGCUGAUAAAAAAAAAAAACAACUAUUUUUGAACUAUUUCAUAUGCUUAGAGAAUCAUCAUUCAUUUGAUCUUGAAUUUCUGGUUCCUUGUACUUUUCAGACUUAAUUAAUAUGGACCACGUACCCCAUGAACUAAAUGCACCUAAGUCUUUUGUCUCUUGCACCUCCAUUGUCAGAACCACGUGGCCCAUCACAAGUUUUCACAGUGUCCUUUUAGAAUUUUUCAAUCUUUUCUCAGUUUGCUUUCUUUAUUUGUAUAUGUAUUAUUUGUGUACAUAUUGAAAACUUUAUUGUAUCUAGAUUACAGUAAAUAUAUAUGGUUCUCGAACAUGUGUUUGCUUACAAAACGAUUGCUCUGUUCUUUCCUUUGGUCGUUCGCGGUCAUAUUCAGUUUCUUGCUUCGUCUUUCUCUUUUCGGUCGUUUGGUUUCAAAGGUUGGGAUAGUACUUGCAGAAGGCAUUCCGACGAUCAAGUUAGUCAGAGUAUCGACACUCAGUUGUCAGAGUACUGCAGAUAAUUGACGUACCUGAUUUUUGGAAUAUGUGUUAUUUAUAUUAUCUUAAUGAACCUUUAUUGGUGGGCCGGAUUAAGAUGUUGGCUAAUGUUUAGGAUUUAGUAAACAACUCUUAAUUAUGGAUUAAUCCUGCUGACUUGGUCAACCCAUAGUUCGUCAUCAAGGUCGGUCGAUCAGGUUCUUCACAUGACCUUCUUAUCAUGACCGAGUGAUCGAGUUCAUGACCGACUCACUUAGUGGUUCGAUCGUGUGCCAGUACAUACAUUUUUUUACUUUAAAGUGAUUCAUAAUUUUUACUAAUAUUAUAUAAUUUUUCACAUUAAAAAUGCGUAUUUUUUUUAUGAUUUUUGAGUUUGUGUUAUUUCUUUUAUCAGUUUAUUAAUAUAAAAGUGUCGGUUCAAAUAAUUCGAAACUUAAGUAUUUAUACACUUUAUUCAAAUUGAUCAAUUCAAUGGGAUGUAAACUAAUUGGGUACUGGAAGGAUAAGAAAGUAAAUUGAACUAUUAUGAAAGACUAUUUAUAUUAAUUUUACCUCUAAAAGUUUAUAUUAUGUUCAUUAAAAUAACUAAUAAGUAGAGAUAAAAUAAAUAACUUUAACUAAGGGUUGAAACUCGAAUUUUUAUUUCAGAGUUGUUAACUUAACAUUUAAAAUCUUUCAAAAGCAUGAACAAUCUUUUAGAUUGGCGCCUGUAAAUAAGAGAAAAAAAAUCAUUAUUUUUGUUUCCUAUGUUUAUAGGAUCUGAAAAAAAAAACUAAUAAGUCAACACAUAAGUAUAAAAUGAAUAUCAAAUUAAAUUUUUCAUCAGUUAUCAUUAAAUCUUUAUAACUGUGUGUUAGUUUGAAUUGGGUCAGUUUAAACAUAAAACCAACUCAACACAAUCAUAAAUAAAACUUCAACUCAACCUAUUGAAUUAAAUUAAAGUUUGUUAAGCUGGCGUUUUUUUUAAUUAGGUUGUAUUAUUAUUUUUUAAUUAGGUUAAUAUUUAAAAGUUAUAAUUUUUAACGAAAAAAAAUUCAAAUUUUUGAUCCAAUCUUAAUCCAACCAUCUCAAAAAUGAUUUGGAUUAAUUGGUUUAACAUGCAAAAUUUAAAAACAAACUUAACCAACCUUAUAUUUUUAAAUGGGUUGAAUAAUAGGUUUUUCUAGAUAUACCCAAUAGAAAACCAUUUAAAAAUUAUAAUGGAUUUUUACCGCUUGAAAAGAGAUUCUAUUAACUUGGAUUCCAUCUUUUCUUUCAUCAAACAUAUAGUGAUAAUGGAUUUUUUUUAUUGUUUAUAUUUCCUUUUGUUAACAAACUUGCUACAUUUUUUUUUCUUAAGCAAAAUAAUUUAGUAGUAAAAGAAACCUAAACUUGAGCAUAAGAUGUAAGUAAAACUGUAAAAAAUUUAAAUGACUCCAUUAAUCAUUGAGGAUCAUAAACAUAAACUAUCAUGGUAUACAAAACAACAACUAAUCCAAACCUAGAAUUAACAUAAGCACAGACUGUGAUGUGAAAUCUUAUUCUUUUAUCUCCUUCUUCACAAACCUCUUAUUCCUUUAUCGCCUUCACAAAGCUCUUAAAGUUCUCAUAAGAUGUUCCUCCUUUUGCUAUGUUCUUCAUCACUUUCUCCUUCAACACCACACACCUACAUUUUAUGUUCUCAUCAUUAAAGAUCUGUUCCACUUUGGUUUUCAACUCUCCGCGUGACACAACUCCAUUUUCAUCUUUGUCAAUUCCCAACCCAACCUUUAACUCAUCACAAAUAUGUGUUUUGUUGUAAGGUUGGUCUCCCAAGUAUGGCCAACACAACAAAGGUACCCCAUUGGACAAACCUUCCAUGGUAGAAUUCCAACCACAAUGAGUGAGAAAACAUGCUAUGGCAGGGUGACUUAAAACCUUUUGUUGAGGAGCCCAAUUCACUAUCUUACCCUUAUGCCCUUGGAAUUCAUGAGGGUAUGCCAUUUUAUUGUCUUCUCUUAUAACCCAAAGAAAAGGUCUAUUGGUGAGGUCUAGUCCAAGGGCAAGUUCAUUGAAUUGGUUUUGGUCAAAAAGAGUGAUACUACCAAAGGCAACAUACAACACAGAACCAUCAGCUUGUUCAUCUAGCCAACUCAUGCAAGAGAGAUCUUCUUCCCAGAAUUGCCCCAAUGAUCUUAGAGUUACAUUAGUUUUGUAAUGAUGAUCACUUCUCAACAGCGGACCAAUUGGAAGGAGACUCGGAACAAGGGUUAAUACGUGAGGUUCAAGUUCAUGUGCAGUAUCACAAAGCCACCAUUGAGUCAAAUUUAAAGCUGGAAAACAGUGAUGCACCAAGUAAUUAAGGUAAUGAGAACCAUCCAUAAGUUCAGCCAUGUGAAACCAAAACAAGGUUCUUGUGUCCAUCUCUGGCAUACUUGGUGAUAAUUGAAUUGUCCCUUUUGAAGUUAAUAUGGAUCCUGCAAUGAAACAUGACAUAAUUGAGAAGUAAAAUAUGUUUUUAGAUGGGCAUGGUAUUUAUUAAAACAGGACCAAACAAAAGCAUAAGUUGCCAGACUUUAGAAACAAAAGUAUGAUAGUGUUCUUACCAUCUGAAUCUAUGAUCCCAUCAUCAACGAGCUUUGGAACACUGCUUACCAAAUGAAACAAAGUUGCUGCGGCAGGCCAAAAUAGAGCUCCUUUGAUUCCCAAUUCACAGGCAACAUUCAAUAUCCAUCCAACAUGUACAUCUGCAACAAUAAACCUGAUUCUGUUGUCACCUUUCAAAUGAAUAUUAUUAUUAUCCUCUAUGAGCUUUUUAAGUGCUUCUGGCACGGUGAUUAGCAUAGAAUCACAUAGCUUGCCCAAGUUGUUUCUGUCAUCAUUAGGUCCUAAGCCAUCUGGGAUUGAGACCAACUUCAGUGGCGAUUCUUCAUUGUAUUGAUCCACCAUUGAGCUCACCACUCUCUUGUGGUUGAAGUCUGUGUUCACAAAUAUGACUCUGCAUCCAUUCUCCACAAGCUUUUGUGAUAGGGUUAACAUGGGAUUCACAUGCCCUUGACAUGGAAAUGGGAAAACUAGCACAGUUGGAAUGCUCAUGCUGUGUUCUUGUGUUUGCACUUCACGGGUAUGGCUUUGUUUAUAUACUCUGAAAAUAUGACUACCAAUUGUUAUAGGCUCAUUGGAUCAAGGAUAAUUGGUAAAUAUUUGGAACCACAAAUUUAAGUUUUGUUUUUAUCUGAAUGUGAGUUGUGUAUGAUUUAGUUAUCUAUAAUGUUAAUAGAAAUGUUGAGAAUUAUGGUUAUUGUUUACUGUGUAGCCAAAUCAAUUUUUUCUUCUUCUUUAAUAUAAUAUGAUUAUACAAAAUUGAGUUUGGUAGUUGAAUUGGAUUGUGAAAGUGCUGGUACCAAAGAAUAAGAAAACUUUCCACCUAUUGAUGGAUCCAAUUGAUUGAUAAGGGAACCAGAUGCUCGUCCUUGGCCAACUAUGCCAGAAUUUGCCCUUUCAAAAGCAAUGGUGUUGUAACGACCACAUCCCAUUCAAAUUCCAGGGAAUUUUUGUUAUUCUGCAUGCAGUACAGAAUCCAAUUCUACAGUACGUUCACGAUAAUGGAAGUAAGUUAUUUCUACUCCAAUUUUCAUAACGAUCAUGAUGAAAGGGACAUGUGGAAGAUUUUUCAGCGAAGUGGAGGAUUAAAAGACGUUGUGAUUUAAAAAGAUUAAUCGUAAAAGGGCAGAGGUUUGGUUUUGUUAGAUUUCAGGAUGUUGUAGACGUUGCUAAUCUAGAAAAAAGGCUUAAUAUUAUCUGGAUUGGGACAUGGAAGAAUAAAUAAACCAAAAUAUAAGAUACUCGGCUCAAUUACAUAUCUAACACCAUUUACACUUUUAUUUCUUCAUCUAUCAUUCUUUUGUUUUUAUUUCCCUAUCUAGCACCAUUUCAAAAAUAAAUUAAAAAAAUAAUAAAUUAUUAUUUUUUGAUAAUUUUAAUUUUGAAUGCAUUAAAAAAUAAUUUUUUUAAUGUUUCAAAUAACUAGAAAUAUAAUUAAUGAAUAAAUAAAUGAGUUUUUACAAAAUAAAAAUAAAAAAAUAAUAAAUUAAAAAUGUUUAGUUUAAAAUUAUUAUUUUUUAAAAUGAACAAAAAUAAAAAAUUAAAACCAACAACAACAUAAAAGUUGAAUCCUAUAAACUAAAUUACUAUUUAUUUUUAUCAUCAUUGAUGAAGCAAAUAUUUAAAUUCAAGUAAAAAAAUCCAUCAAUAUAAUUAUAAAAAACUCUAAAGUUAAAUUAAUUUAAUUCACUACCGGUAACUUUAAAUAAUUAUUUUAAUNNNNNNNNNNNNNNNNNNNNNNNNNNNNNNNNNNNNNNNNNNNNNNNNNNNNNNNNNNNNNNNNNNNNNNNNNNNNNNNNNNNNNNNNNNNNNNNNNNNNUCAUUUACAGAUGAACAGAUUUAUUUUUCAAAACGAAAACAGAGAAAGUUUAACUAUUUAAAACUCAGUCGUUUUGAAAAGAAGAAGACUUAGUCAAAAUACCUGAUGCACAAAAUCUAAUUUUUACAAGACUUUAGCCAAGGCAUCAGUGAAGAAAAUGAAUCUGUUUAUUUAGAAAAGAACAGAUUUAUUUUUAUGCAGUAAACGUGUUUUUGUGUAAAACCUGUGAAAAACAGUUUAAGAAAACUUAUGCUUGUUCUUAACACAUGGCCAGUGGUUAUGAGGUGAGUUACUCAGCAAAAAGCUACUCUUAGACAACCUCUAAGCACUAACUAAGACAUACUUAAAGCAAAGCAAAAAUACAUGAAAGGUACAUAAAAGUCUUCAUCAAACACUACAUAUAUGUCUUCAUCAAACACAAUCUUGAAGGGGCAGCAACCAUCUUCAACAAGAACAAGAUGUCAUCAAGUACGUAAGGGUGCGUGUGAGGGUUCCAGUGGCCAGAGAAGCAUGCACGGUGAAGAAUGUGAGACUUAACGAAACAUUGUGUAAGCUAGUUAUAGAGGAGGAGACUUCCAUCACGAGUGUCUGUGUAUGCGGUCCUCAUUAUAAGUGGAGGGAGAUGCAUGGAAGGGAGUCAAAUGCUGAGUUGGAGGAGAAGUUUAGAGAGGAGUUCUUUGAGUCAGAAGGCUUCGACUACAAUGAUCAAAAUGAUGCGAGGGGGAAUGCCAACAAAGAGAAAUCAGUGAAAUUUCAGGCAAAGGGAGUUUCAGGUGCCGGGGGAGGCACAUGUAUAGGUAGCUCAAGUAGAGGUAGGGAAUCGAGGCAUGGAGGAGGUUACACUAAUUUGGAGGGGCACGUUGGCGGCAUGAGAAAAGAAGGUAUAUGCAGGACAUCCUUUGAGGUUGUGUCAAUGCAACAAGAGGUUAAUAAACCAAUAUGGGAUGCUACGGCUACGCGUGCUAAGGAGGUUAACCUAAUGGUUAUUGGGUCUCGAAAGGCCCGACGGAGUGAAGGGAGUAUGUUUAGUGUUUUCAUGGGUUUGGGCCCAAGGAAGGUGGAAGUUGAACAAUUAGGGGGUAUUGCAAGCACACAACCCACGAAAUGGCAGCUAGAACAACGUUUACGCUGGUGAGGGGAGGAACGGUGCGUUGCGAGUGAGUAAUAGAGGAAAACAGGUGAGGGGUAAGGAGAAGCUCCUAUUGUGGUUGGGCGCUUGCGGAGGAGAAGGUGUCAUCGUCACAAAGACAAAAGAGGGUGCUGAAACAUAUCAAUUGGUGCAGCGGAGCUAUGACAAAUUUUCCCCAACGGUGACGACGUUUAUAAGUGCCUUAUUUCAGUAAUAUUUUAUAUUAAAAUAUAGGCAUUUAUGAGUAUUAAUUUCUAAAUUACAUAUAAAAAAAAUUCCUAAUUUAUAAAUUUAUGCCUUUUUAUUUUUUAUGAUCUUUAUUUGAAUAAGAACAUUUUAUUCCCAUAUUUGGUGUCAAUUGCAGGUUUCUAGGGAAGAAUGGAGAUUUGGACUAAAGAAGAAUGAUAUAAGCUAAAAAGAGAAUGUUGGAAGGUCUAGAAAGCACAAAAAGAGGAAAAAGAAGUCCAAUUCAGUAGCAGAGUUCUCGCUCAAGCAAGUUAUAUCUCGCUUGAGCGAGAGAGCUCCAACAACGUUAUCAAAAUCGACGCCUUUCUCGCUCAAGCGAGAAUGCGUCACACAAAUUGGACCAUUUUUAUGUUUUAUCAAUAGACCCAUCAAUGCGACGCAGAAAUUCACCUAACCCUAGUAAAUUAGGUUAGAUAGGGGGCUAGAGGCUCAACCCUAGUGUGUUAGAUUGAGAGGAAAACACCUUUGAGUGAUUUGUAACCAAUUGGGAGAAUGGAAGGUGCUAGAAGUAUGCUUGGGUAAUUCUACCCUUUGGAAUUGGGAGUAAUCUGUUUGAACUCUUAUGUAUUGAGAUGAUGUUUAAAUAUGAUAUAAUAUUCUGUUCUUGAUUGAUUAUUGGUAUUGUUGUUUUGCUUCUAAAUAGUUGUGACAUGUUUGAGAAUCUUGAAUCCGACUGAGAGGUAUUUUUCAGGGUUCUGACCUAAACAACAAUACUUAAUAUAUUUGACUGUUAGAGAUAACUUGAAAUGUCAAUUGCUAUUAACGUCUGAGCGUGACUCGGAGUUGUUUUUAUAAGUAUGCGAGAGAUCGAUAUUUAGGAAACAUUCUUAAGAAUUUUAUAUGCGAGAGAUUGAUAUAAAUGAUUUUUCUACGGGCAUCAAUUUCAAUCAAAGAACUUAAUGUUAACAUGCUAAUCAAAAUACAUGAGAGGGAGAAAGAUGAAACCUAAUUCCUAUUUUUCCAAUUGAAGCAAUUACUCUUUGAUUUGUUUUCUUGUUAAUUCUUGCCAUUAUAACAAUUUUCAAACCAAAUUUUUAUUGUUUUGUUUUAUAUUUAUCGAAUAUUGUACUUGAUAAUUCAAUUGUUCCUUGUGCGAUCGAUAUCCAUCCUGAUAUCCAUCCUUAGGGACAAAUUAUUACUUUUGACAACGCGAUGUACUUGCCGUAAAAAGUCAUCAGGCAUUCCCGACUUCUCCACUGCAUUCAUUUGGAGAAGGCAGCGACCAAAUGGGACGGAUAAGGGUGGAAGUUUUAAGUCUUCGAGCUGCAAUGGAAGGGCGACCACGGAGGAGAAGGAAGACAACGACUUAAGGGGAUGUGCAGCUUUGGAGGAGGGGGGGUGAAUAGUUUAAAAGAGAUUUACGAAAUUUUUUGAAGAUUUAAUGGAAUUCUGUGAAGAAAUCCAGAAGAGGAAUCAAGUUAGCUAAGAACACAAACUGUUUUAAAGCAAAACACAGAAAAACAAUCGGUUGUUUAUACCAGUUAAAACUUAAACAACUUAAAAACAGAAUUUAAAGGAGUUCAGAGAAAGAGAAAUGCACACAAGCAGUUUAUACUGGUUCACUCUUACAACAAGAGCUACAUCCAGUUCCCAGAAACCACUAGGUAAUCCACUAAGCAAUUAAACCAGAUUACAAACACCACACACCAAAGUAGUGACCCUGAACCCCUCAAGAAACACAUUACCUUUGGCAAACCACACCAAGAGUAUUGAUCUUGAACACCUCAAGAACACACAACACUCCUUAGCAAUACAACAACAAAAAUACAAAAGAUUGAGAAAGGAUUACACCUGAUCAAAGUACAAUAUGAAAAGAAUACAAUUGCAAUCCUAUUUCACUCUCACUUGAAAAUCCAAAGCUUGAUGUGAAUCUUGAAAACUUGAGAUCAAAAGAUUGGUCAAAACAUUUAAUAUUAUCCAAAGAUUGGUCAAAACAUUUAAUAAAGGAAUGUAUUCAGUUAGAAAUCAUUUAAGACAGAUUCACCAUUCAAAACAGGAUCCUGUUAGGAUUUUCAAAGUUGAAACCACAAAACAGCCGAUUGAUUUGGUUUGACAGUUAAGUCAACCAAGUCAAACAACUUUCAGCCUUUUUCAAAACAUCUAAGAACAAAACAACCGGUUGAUUCGACAAAACAACAAGUUGUUUUUCACUUAGUUGAAAAAACAUUUAAUUUCAAAAAGGUUUUAAUUCACAUCAGUUUUAGAUUCAACAAAAGAGUGGAUCGCACUUUAAUCUACCCAGAUCCCACCCACACAUAACAACAACACUAGCCUUUCAUCAAACACCUUGGAUUUGGAUUCUUCAAAGCUCUUGAUCACUCUUGAUCAAUACAGGGGAGAUGUAAACGUGAAGUUCGACGAAAUUCGAAUUGAAGCCAAGGGAGAUGGAGAUUUUUCAAAAAGAGAAGCGGAAGCGAGAAUAUUGUCGGGGGCCACACCGAAAAACUUUUCGGUGCAGAAUCAAUGGGAAAUAAGGUUAGAUUCUCAGAGCUCGAUCAAUUGCUCUACUCAUAGUGCACUUAGGAAUUGUAAUAGGUUGUUUUGAAUGAAAACGAGUACUCAAAAGCUGAUAGAAUUUGGAAUGUUGGUAAUGAGGUGGGGUUUUCCUUUCUCGGAGAGGGUGAUGUUGUUAUUGGUCAGCUAAAAGUCAUGGAGGUUAGAGACAAAUCUGCAGGUAGGAGGGAGGAAAUAAGCAGGGUGGAGAAUAGUCUGUCUAAUGAGUAAGCUAAUUAGUAUGAAUAUAAGAGGAGUGAGAGGAAAUAUUAAAAGGAAAUAUCUACGUGAGUUGAUUAAGAAAGAACAAGUAUGUUGACAGGAGGCAAAAUGUAAGGAGUGGGGGCAAGAAGAGAUUUUUAAAAUGUGGGGUACUAAUGAAGUGGAUUGGGUUGAAAAUGGAGUUGAAAACAAUGCAGAAGGGUUGAUCACGAUGUGGAGGAAAUGUUGCUUUCUUCUUAGUAAUUUUAUCAACGGGAAGAAUUAUAGUAUAAUAGAAAGGGAGUGGAGAAUUGAAGAGCCGAUACAGAUCACUAUUGUUGACGUGUAUAAUUUCGAUUCCUUGGAAGAAAAAAGAUCAGUAUGGGAGAAUGUCAGAGAGAGCAGAACGGUGCAGGGAUCAAAGACUUGGUGCGUGGUUGAAACAAACUUCAAAUUAUAAUUUUUAUUUAAUAAUAAAUUUUUUAUAAAUAAAAAAUAAAUUUUGUUAAGAAUUCAAUUGGAUCCCAUAUUUUUUUUUUUAGUUUUCUUUUCAACUAUUUUUUUGUGUGGAUUCUUCUUAUCAUUUGUAGAGUAGCUAGUUACAUGAGCAACAACUAUUUUUGAACUAUUCCAUGUCCUUAAGGAGAAUCAUCAUUCAUUUGAUCUUGAAUUGCAACAAUUUCAGAAUGUAUAUAAUUGAACAUUUCUGGUUCCUUGUACUUUUCAGACUCAAUUAAUAUGGACCACGUGAAAAAUACCCCAUCAACUAAAUGCACUUAAGUCUUUUGUCUCUUGCACCCCCAUUGUCAGAACCACGUGGCCCAUCACAAGUUUUCACAGUGUCCUUUUAGAAUUUUUCAAUCUUUUCUCAGUUUGCUUUCUUUAUUUGUAUAUGUAUUAUUUGUGUACUUAUUGAAAACUUUAUUGUAUCUAGAUUAUAGAUUUUUUUUUUACUUUAAAGUGAUUCAUAGAUUUUACUAAUAUUAGAUAAUUUUUUACAUUAAAAAUUCGUACAUUUUUAUGAUUUUUUUAGUUUGUUAUUUCUUUUAUCAAAUUAUUUUAAUAUAAAAGUGUCGGUUCAAAUAAUUGGAAACUUAAGUGUUUAUACACUUUAUUCAAAUUGGACCAAUUCAAUGGGAUGUAAACUAAUUGGGUACUGGAAGGAUAUAUAAGAAAGUUAAAUGAACUAUUAUGAAAGACUAUUUAUAUUAAUUUUACCUUUAAAAGUUUACAUUAUGUUGAUUAAAAUAACUAAUAAGUAGAGAUAAAAUAAAUAACUUUAACUAAGGUUCACUAUAAGAAAAUCAUGAUCAUAGAAACUAAAAUAAUUAGUUGUAAUAAUAAUUAAAUUAGAGAUCAUUUUAAAAAUUAAAAAGAAAUUAGUUUUUAUUAUUGUUAAAUAGUUUAUAAAUUUGUAUCUAAUUUGCAAUUAAGGUUUUUGCUACUGAAAUUAGAAACUAAUUUAAAAACUAUUUUUUUAGUUUUUAAAAUGGUUUUCAAUUUAGUUAUUAUUGUAAUUAAUUAUUUUGGUCUUUAAAAAUUGAUUUCUAUUUUAUGAUUUUCUUGUAAGUGUCUAAACUCGAAUUUUUAUUUCAAAGAUGUUAACUUAACAUUUCAAAUCUUUCAAUUUAAUUUAAAAUAAGUUGUUAGAUGUAAACUAUGUAACAUAAAUACAGAUACGGACACUGACACGAUACGGAUAUGGAUACGGACAAAGAGAUACGUAUAAUCUGUAAAAUGUAGGACACGGGGACACGGAUCUAUAUAUUAUAUAAUUUUAAUUAUAUAAAUUGAAAAUAAAUAUUUAUGUGCAAAAGUAUGUUUCAGACUCUUUUGGGAGUAGGAAGAUAUUUUUCAUGACUGGUUCAAAAGAAUUUGUUCCUUAUUUUUAUAAUCAUAAUAAAAAUUUAUACAAUAAAUUUGAAUUUUUAGAAAAUUAUUGUAUUUAUACCUUUUAAAAUUGUGUUAGAACCGUGCUAGAAUUUUAAAAAAUUCAACAAAUUUUUUUGAAUUGAACACUUCACCAAUAAGUGUCCUAGGAGUGUUGACACCGAUACGUGUAUCCGACACGGAUACGCCUAUUUAAGAGAAGUGUCCGAGCUUCAUCCUAACUAUCAUAAAAAUGUAAGAAGAGCAUUCAUUUGGGUUUAGAUGGUAAUAUAUAUAUAUAUAUAUAUAUAUAUNNNNNNNNNNNNNNNNNNNNNNNNNNNNNNNNNNNNNNNNNNNNNNNNNNNNNNNNNNNNNNNNNNNNNNNNNNNNNNNNNNNNNNNNNNNNNNNNNNNNNNNNNNNNNNNNNNNNNNNNNNNNNNNNNNNNNNNNNNNNNNNNNNNNNNNNNNNNNNNNNNNNNNNNNNNNNNNNNNNNNNNNNNNNNNNNNNNNNNNNNNNNNNNNNNNNNNNNNNNNNNNNNNNNNNNNNNNNNNNNNNNNNNNNNNNNNNNNNNNNNNNNNNNNNNNNNNNNNNNNNNNNNNNNNNNNNNNNNNNNNNNNNNNNNNNNNNNNNNNNNNNNNNNNNNNNNNNNNNNNNNNNNNNNNNNUAUAAUAUAUACAUAUAUAUAUAUAUACAUAUAUAUAUAUAUGUAUAUAUAUAUAUACAUAUAUAUAUAUAUACAUAUAUAUAUACAUGUAUAUAUACAUACAUGUAUAUAUAUGCCUUUUUUUUUAUGUUUAUUGGAUCUGAAAAAAAAUCUAAUAAGUCAAUACAUAAGUAUAAAAUGAAUAUCAAAUUAAUUUUUUCGUCACUUAUCAUUAAAUCUUUAUACGUGUGAGUUAGUUUGAAGUGGAUCAUUUUAAACAUAAAUACAACUGAACACAGUCAUAAAUAAAACUUCAACUCAACCUAUUGAAUUAAAUUAAAUUUUGCAAAGCUUGUGUUAUUUUUAAUUAGGUUGUAUUAUUUUUUUUAAUUAGAUUAAUAUUUAAAAAUUAUAAUUUUUAACGAAAAAAAAAAUCAAAAUUUUGAUCCAAUCUUAAUCCAACCAUCUAAAAAAUGAAUUGGAUUAAUUUGUUUAAUAUGCAAAAUUUAAAAACAAACUUAACCAACCUUAUUUAUUUUUAAUUGGUUGAAUAAUAGAAUUUUCUAGAUAUACCCAAUAGGAAGCCAUUUAAAAAUUAUAAAAAAAUAAUUUUUUUUUAUCAACAAAGAAUUAAUUGAAUUAAAAUAGAUCACUUUAGAGAUGUCUCGACCCUUAAACAAAAUCCUCCAUUCUUUCCACCUCUUACUCUAAUUAAAACUAGUAGUAACCAUUACAUCAAAGUGUUACAUCUCUCGUUAUGCUUUAUAUCAACCCCACAAAUAUGACCAUUCAAAACACUGACAAAGGUUCAUAGUUGUUCCCCUUCCAAUGGCUACCCAGUAGAGUGGGAGAUGUGGAUACAACUUCAGAGUGAUUAAUCCAGCCAAGUCCCUGCACGUUCCCAGCUCAUGAUCCAAAAAACUAAGAUUUACUCCUUCAUUUUUUUGAUCAGCAACGAAUUAAUAAAAUUUAAAAGAGACACUUUAGGAGUGUCCCAACCUGUAUACAAAAGACCUUAAUGUCUAGACUGUACGCAUAAGCUAAAAAGGUUCUGCUGGACAUAAAAGAGCCAACCUAAAAACUUAUGGAUUACCCAUUUACCCCAAUAGACAAAAAAACAACACAAAAGACCCUCACUCACCACCUAAGACAGAAAACAAACUUAACCCCUAAAGAAGUCCACGAAUACCUCCAUAGCACACCAUAUCAGCACUCUACAAAACCACCAGCUCCCUCCACGCCAGAAAAAGAUAUGCUAAGUUGACGGUGUUGAGUAGCACCUGUUCUCCACCGCAGGCUCGAUACUCAACAGUCCCCUGUAACUACCACACACCAACCACGCAGCUGCUCAUCUAGAACCAGUGGAUACGGAUAGGGAACCUGCUUAACUUCUUGUGCUUUGAAUAAGACACCUGAAGCUCCAAUCUGAUAUGAAGUCUUCAAACUUGCAGGCAUUACCAGAGUACCUUAAGCAACUUACAACUCGAGACGCUCACAACCGAUGCCCUCUACAUUCACCUCGCCACGCAACGAGUUACCCAUGCACAUUGCCUUCGACGACCACCGACUACGUCCAUAAAGAGCACGCCACUUCCUCGACCGGCGAUUAUCUUUGCAUAACUUCGACGACCACCGACCGAUGAUCAUGUUAGCCUUUGCAUCACUUCGACAUCCACCGCCUACGCACGCAUUGAGAUCGCCGUUUCAUCGAGCGGUGAUUCUGUUAACCUUGUAUAACUUUGGCGACCACCGACUACAUACAUAUGGAGCACGCCGUUUCAAGUAGCUACGGCGACCACCGACUACACACAUAUGGAGAACGCCGCUUCCUCGAUCGGUGAUCAUAUUGACUAUCGCCGUUUUUAUUACCGGCGAUCAUGUUGAGCGUUGCAUCACAUCGGCGACCACCGACUACACAGAAAUGGAGAGCGCCGCUUCAUCAAUCGACGAUCAUGUUGAUAUCGCCGUUUCAAUUACCGGCGAUCAUGUUGAGCUUUGCAUAACUUCGACGACCACCGACUACACACAAAUGGAUCAUGCUGCUUCACCGAUUGACAAUCAUGUUAACCUAUGUACAGCACCACUUCACCGACCGGCGAUCAUGUUGACUUGCAUACCUUCAACGAUCACCGACUGUAGUACCAUCCUCUCCAGAUUUGCUACUUCAGAGACCUACUGUACCCAUUUCACUUCCUUUCUCCAACCAUAGUGGCUAUUACCCAGUCCUUACCCUCCUUCUUUCCAGCAGCACCACCAUUAGCCCGUCUAGCCUGCUAUAUGCCUCCCCUUGUUAUUUGAUACUGCAAAUGCAUGUCAGCGGGUUCAUAACCCAUUCUGCAUAGGAGUAACAAAAAAUAUUUUCCUUGUGUUUCAACCAUAACCACGAUUUAAGUUGGGCAUUGUGGAAAACUUCUUCUACAUCUACAACUCUUUGGUUGAAGACAAUGGAGUUUCUAUGUUCCUAUAGACAUCAGACUACAGCUGCCCACACACCUUUCCAUACCAGGUUUUGUUUAUAGGAGUGUUGGGGGAGGGAAAAACCUUCAAAAUUGGUCCUAAGAUUAUUGUGUUGGACAGACCAUAUACCAACCCAUCUAAAGCAUAAGUCCCACACCCGUACUGCAUACUUGCAUUCUAUAAAGAGGUGCUGACACGUUUCCUCCUUGGUCUGGCAAAGGGCACAUUCUGUGGUGUUCACCAUCACCCCUCUCUUGCUCAAACACUCCCUUGUUGGUAGUCUACCCAACAACACUCUCCACGCAGUGAUCAGCACAUUAGGAAACGCCUUUGUCUUCCAAAGAUAGCCAAACGGCGAUAUUUGUGUUCCUCCGUCGGGCUCUUCAAGGCAUUUAUAUGCAGACUUCACUGUAAAGUUCCCUGAUUCGUCCCUCCUCCAUACUUGCUUAUCCUGUUCAUCCUUUUUCAUAGUGACCCUGGAAAUGAGCAUACCAAGCUCGGUUUCGAGGGGGACCUCCCACUCAAAUCUGUUGCGUCUCCACCUUAGCUUCCACUGCCACACUGACUCCUCCCACAUCCCAACCUCUCCCACCGUCUGGCCCUGAUAUAGUGACAAAGAGAAUAGUCUAGGAAACAGAGCCUUAAGGCUGGCAUUCCCAGUCCAUAUAUCCUCCCAGAAUCUUGCUUGAUCUCCUUUCCCUACUUUUCAGCUAACCUCUUUUUUAAACCAACCCUCUCCCCCUCCCUGCCGGCAUACCUUUACUAAAUCUCUCCACCACCAAGAUUGAUGUUUCAGUGGGGUAUGGUUUCCAUCUUGUUCCGUACCAUACUUUGACUCCAAGCACUCUUUCCAUUUUCCUUUCUCGUUCGAUAUACAUCUCCACUUCCACUUAGCUAAAAGUGCUAUAUUAAACUUCCGGAUGUCACGAAUGCCUAAACCUCCUUCCUCCCGCGGUUUACUCCUUCAUAUCCUUAACCAAACCUAAUUUGCAGUAUCCGACAGAUCAAGAAUAUCACACUAGAAUAACUGCAACGUUCUUAGCACAUUGGCUCCCUUCUAGUUCAUUGGGUUCAAAUGGGCGCAACCAGAGGAUCUUAAUCUUCAUCACCAACAAAAGAAUAUGCCAGCAGCACCUAAAGGCAUAUAGCAUAACGCAUAUAAAAACCAGAGUAACAACAUUAUGACACACCCUUCAGAGGAACAUGCGCCUUACUUAACCAAGUUGAAACCAUUCUCACAAAGAUCCUACCCUACCCAAUUACUUGCAACUUUUGAUGCAUAGAACAUGAUUUAAAUGUCAGUCAGAAAACGAAAAAUUAAAGGCAUUGAGCAUGUAUUUCAACUAUAGCAACGAUCUAAGUUGAGCCAUUUGGAAAACUUCUUCUGCAUCACGUACACCUUGCUUAAAAAUGACCAUGUUCCUUUGAUCCUAGAUACCUCUUACUAUUGCCGCUCAUAUACCCUUCCACACUAAGUUUUGCUUGGAAUUCAAAUACACCAGAUGAAAGCUUUCAAAAUGAACCUUCAAAUCCUUAUGUUGAACGUUCAGAGUACCUAUCCACUUGUAGCAAAGAGACCAAAUGAUAUGAAUCCAAAUAGAAAUGACAGUAAAAUUGGGAAUUUAGGGUUACGGAACGGAAUAAAUUCAAAACAAUAACAAUAGAAACCUAGAUAAAGGAAGGCGCCACAAACAAAGUUUGAUAAGCCUAAGGAUGAUCACCACAAGAAUUGGUGGAUUCUUGAUAAGAUCGCAAGAUGCAGGAAAAAACCCUAGCAGAGAAACACUCUCUAAAAUUGUCAAAAUAUUCGUCCCCCUAUGUUGAGUUCCAACAAUGUAUAAAUUACAAAUUUAGCUAGAGGUCUUUUCUUGUUUGUAAGAAAAUAAGACGAUACUACAAUCCUUAUAUUUCAAGAAUGAUCAUUUGUCCCAGUGGUUAGGUUGAUACUAUGUACUUGGUCCUGAGUUCAAAUCCUAACUCCCAAUCUUGUUGUGCGUGUAAUCAAGAUCAAUCUUGUAGGUAUUGUCAUUAAUCAUUUCUAACACUUGAAAAGGUCCCGUCUAGGUUGGAGCUUGGAUUUUCUUUGUCUAGAUUACUUUCUUUCUUCCUUUGUUAACUUGUUUAGAAUAACCUUCAUCUUUUUCUUCAACUUGUGCUUCAACCUUUUUAUGCUGCUUUCUCACAUAGUCAACCUUAGCUUGUGUAUCUUUAUGCUUUAAAACAAAAAUGUUAGGCAUAGUUAACAAAUCUAUUGGAGUUAAAGGAUUUAAUCCAUACAAAAUUUCAAAUGGAUCACAAUUCGAUGUGCUGUCAACAACCAUAUUGUAAGCAAACUCAAUAUGAUGUAAACAUAAUUCUUGGAUAGCCGUCACCUUUUCAUAAUCUACAUGAACUCCUUUGGCACUUACCACAAAACACAAGAAUGCAAUUUGUUCAGUACAAAAUGUGCAUUUCUCAAGAUUAGCAUACAACUUUUCUGUUCUAAGAACAUUUAAAACAGCACACAAAUGUUCCUCAUGUAAUUCCAAACUAGUUCUAUAGAUCAAGAUAUCAUCAAAAUACACUACAAAAAAUUAGCCCAAAAAUUCUCUCAAAACAUAGUUCAUUNNNNNNNNNNNNNNNNNNNNNNNNNNNNNNNNNNNNNNNNNNNNNNNNNNNNNNNNNNNNNNNNNNNNNNNNNNNNNNNNNNNNNNNNNNNNNNNNNNNNGACAGUUUUCCAUUUAUUCCCAUUCCUAAUCCUAAUUGAUGGGUAACCACUUCUUAAGUCAAUUUUUGAAAAUAUACAACCACCAUACAAUUCAUCCAUUAAAUUAUCUAACUUGGGAAUAUGGUGUUUAUACUUAAUGGUAAUGUUAUUGAGUGCUCUGCAAUUUGUGCACAUCCUCCAAUAACCAUCAUUUUUAGGCACCAAAAUUACUGGAACAGCACAUGGGCUCAUGGUCUCUUGUACCCAUCCUUUGUUCAUCAAUUCUUCAACUUGAGUUUGGAUUUCCUGCAAAACAGAAUCAACACUAGGAAGCAAAUUAAUUUGGUUAGAAUGGUCAGCAACCAAAGUGCUGUUUUUGCAAUAAGGUAAAUAAAGAGGUUUGCUAGAAAGUAGCAACUUCUUCACUUUAUUCACUUUCAGUAAUCCACUCAUUUUUCUCUCAUGUGUUUCUUUCUUUUUAAGUGUUUCACUCUUGCUCUGUUUAGGUGUUUCACUCAUCUCUCUUUUCUCUUGGACUCUCUUUUCUCUCAAUUUGAUUUGAUCCUUACACACCUCUCUAGGAGAUAAGGGUUUGAGAAUGAUCUUCUUAUUAUUCUGCAUGAAAGAGAUUUUAUUGGUGAAACCAUCAUGAAUAGCCUUGGUGUCAAACUGCCACGGCCUCCGUAACAAAAUGUGAUUUGCCUCCAUUGGAACCACAUCACACAAGAGAUUGUCAUUAUAUUGUCCUAUGAAUAUGUGCACUUCCACUUGCUUACUCACUGUCAUCUCUCCAUCUUCACUAAGCCAUUGAAGCUUGUAUGGCAUUGGGUGCGGUUUUGUCUCCAAAUUCACUUUGGUAACUAGUCUUGAACUUGCUACAUUGGUGCAACUUCCUCCAUCAACUAUGAGUGAACAUAUUUUCCCUUGAAUGGAACAUCUAGUAUGGAAAAUAUUUUCCCUUUGGGUUUGGUCCAAAGCUUGCAUUUUGCUUCCUAAAAGCCUUCGAAUCAUCAACAAAUCACCCUCCAAUGUAUCCAACUCCACCUCUACCUCAUCCUUCUCUUCUUCACUUAAAGGUUCAUUGACUAUUUGUGUCUUUGAUAAACUGAUCAUAUUCUCUUUUUGUUGGACAUUCUGAAGCAUAAUGUCCUCUUCCCAAGCAUUUGAAACAUUUUACCUCACUUGUUUUCCUUUUAGGUGGUGAAUUACUAUAUCUAUGAGGUGACUUCCCACUUGAAGAUGUGACUAAACUUGAGGGAACUCCUUUAUCCUUCAUCGCCUUAUCCUUCCAAUUGAAAUUUUUAUUAUUUUUAGAACUCCUCAUGAUUCCCUUCCUCUUGAGUUGUUGUUCUACUUGGUUAGUCUUGUGCAACAACUCUUUCAUGUCAACAUACUCUUGCAGGUCCACAACAUCCUUAAUAUCAUGAUUGCUUCGUUUUCUUCAUUUUUUCCAGCUCUAAUCAUGGUCACCUCCAUCUCUUUAAAAUACUCUUCCACACUUCUAUUCCCUUGAGUCAUUCUUUGAAGUUUGAGUUGCAAAUCCCUAUUGUAGCUUGCUGGAAUAUAUCUCUUCCUCAUAAUCCUUUUCAUUUCUGUCCAAGUGUUCACCAUGGGUUCCUCAUAUUUAAUUCUCUCCAUUUGGUAUUUAUUCCACCAAGUUAAGGCAUAAUGUGAAAAUUCAGCUGUUGCCAACUUCAUCUUUUGCUCAUCAUUAUACUCACUGCAAGCAAACACAUGCUCUACUUUAAUUUCCCACUCCAAGUAAGCAUCAGGAUCACUUUUUCCAUUGGAUGUAGGAAUAUUUAAUUUUAUUCCAUCAAUUCUCAGAGUUCUUUGUUCUCCCUCAUUUUCUCUUCUCCUCCUCCUAUCUCCCCCUCUAUUUUCUGGAUUUACUUGUUGUGCUUGCUCCAUUUGAUCCAACCUCUCAUGGAGUCCAUCACUUUGUUGUUUCAUUAUCCUUUCCAAGUGUUGUGUUAAGGCUUGCAUCUGUACUUGAGAAAGUCCACUAUCUAACGAUUCCCCUGCCAUGCUCAAGUAAACAGAUUACAAAUAACAAUAAGUUUGGGCCUCACACCACUUUCUCACGUGUUUACACUCAACACUCGUGUUUUACACAAUAAGGUUUUUUUAAUGAUCACACUGCCUUUUACCACUCUUUCUCUACUUAAGGUUCUUACAAGAAUCAAGAAAUCAAUAAUCCAUAAUCACUUUCACUAUAGCAAUCAGAAUCAAUUAAAAAUAAUAGUAAAGAACAAAAUAGUGAAGAACAAUUUCACUAUCAACAAACAAGCAAAACAAUUAAAAAAAAUAGCAAGCAAAACAAUAUAUAGAGAAAAUAAAAUAUGUAGACAUGACACUUUUAGAACUUUUAUCAAACACCAAGUAUGCACUGAAUAAAAGCUAUUUUUUUUUCUGUUUUCCUCUUGUUCUUUUUUUUUCUAUUUCUGUUUUCCUCUUGUUCUUUUUUUUUUCUAUUUCUGUUUUCCUCUUCUUCUUCCUUUUUUUUUCUUUUUUUCUAUUUCUUUUUUUUUUUCUGUUUCUUCUUUCGUUUAAAAAAAAAAUGAACAGUACCUGUGAACAGUAACCGUGAACAGUGCCCCUGUGAAAAGUACCAGUGAACAGUACAAUGUGAAUAGUACAAUGUGAACAGUAAUGAGGAGAAAAAAAAACAGGCACAAUUAUAUUAUGACUCAAACCUUUGCUUUGAGUACCAACUGAUAUGAAUCCAAAUAGAAAUGACAGUAAAAUUGGGAAUUUAGGGUUACGGAACGGAAUAAAUUAAAAACAAUAACAAUAGAAACCUGGAUAAAGGAAGACGCCACAAACAAAGUUUGAUCAGCCUAAGGAUGAUCACUACAAGAAUUGGUGGAUUCUUGAUAAGAUCGCAAGAUGCAGGAAAAUAUCUAGCAGAGAAACACUCUCUAAAUUGUCAAAAUAUUUGUCCCCCUAUUCUGAGUUCCAACAGUGUAUAAAUUACAAAUUUAGCUAGAGGUCUUUUCUUGUUUGUAAGAAAAUAAGAUGAUACUACAAUCCUUAUAUUUGAAGAAUGAUUAUUUGUCCCAGUGGUUAGAUUGAUACUCCAGUUGGAUGUACGCAUCACCAAACCCGAGGCCUCACUAACACUCUCAUAAUUAACACUCUCAUAAUUGAUCACCUUAAGUUUGUUUCUUCUUGUUAUGGUCUUGAAAAGAGAUUAUAGUAACUUGGAUUCGAUCUUUUCUUUCAUCAAACAUAUAGUAAUAAUGGAUUUUUUAUUCUUUAUAUUUCUUUUUGUUAACAAACUAGAUACAUUUUUUUUUUCAUAAGCAAAAUAAUUUAGUAGUAAAAGAAAGCUAAACUUGAGCAUAACAUGUACGGUAAAGAAUUGAAAUGACUCCAUUAAUCAUUGAGGAUCAUAAACAAAAACGAUCAUGGUAUACAAAAUAACAACUAAUCCAAACCUAGAAAUAACAUAAGCACAAACUCUGAACUCUUAUUCUUUUAUCUCCUUCACAAACCUCUGAAGGUUCUCAUAAGAUGUACCUCCUUUUGCUAUGUUCUUCAUCACUUUCUCCUUCAACACCACACACCUACAUUUUAUGCUCUCAUCAUUAAAUAAUUGUUCCACCUUGGUUUUCAGCUCCCCGCGUGACACAACUCCAUUUUGAUCUUUGUCAAUUCCCAACCCAACCUUUAACUCAUCACAAAUAUGUGUUUUGUUGUAAGGUUGGUCUCCAAAGUAUGGCCAACACAACAAAGGUACCCCAUUGGACAAACCUUCCAUGGUAGAAUUCCAACCACAAUGAGUGACAAAACAUGCUAUGGCAGGGUGACUUAAAACCUUUUGUUGAGGUGCCCAAUUAACUAUCUUACCCUUAUGCCCUUGGAAUUCAUGAGGGUAUGCCAUUUUAUUGUCUUCUCUUAUAACCCAAAGAAAAGGUCUAUUGGUGAGGUCUAGUCCAAGGGCAAGUUCAUUGAAUUGGUUUUGGUCAAAAAGAGUGAAACUACCAAAGGCAACAUACAACACAGAACCAUCAGCUUGUUCAUCUAGCCAACUCAUGCAAGAGAGAUCUUCUUCCCAGAAUUGUCCCAAUGAUCUUAGAGUUGCAUUAGUUUUGUAAUAAUGAUCACUUCUCAACAAUGGACCAAUUGGAAGGAGACUCGGAACAAGGGUUAAUACCUGAGGUUCAAGUUCAUAUGCAGUAUCACAAAGCCACCAUUGGGUCAAAUUUAAAGCUGGAAAACAGUGAUGCACCAAGAAAUUAAGGUAAUGAGAACCACCCAUAUGUCUAGCCAUGUGAAACCAAAAAAGGGUUCUUGUGUCCAUUUCUGGCAUACUUGGUGAUAAUUGAAUUGUCCUUUUUGAAGUUAAUAUGGAUCCUGCAAUGAAACAUUGACAUAAAUGAGUAGUAAAAUAUGUUUUUAGAUGGGCAUGGUAUUUAUUAAAACAGGACCAAACAAAAGCAUAAGGUGCCAGACUUUAGAAACAAAGGCAACAAUACAAAAGUAUAGUAAAGUAUGAUAGUGUUCUUACCAUCUGAAUCUAUGAUCCCAUCAUCAACGAGCUUUGGAACACUGCUUACCAAAUGAAACAAAGCUGCUGCGGCAGGCCAAAAUAGAGCUCCUUUGAUUCCCAAUUCACAGGCAACAUUCAAUAUCCAUCCAACAUGUACAUCUGCAACAAUAAACCUGAUUCUGUUGUCACCUUUCAAAUGAAUAUUAUUAUUAUCCUCUAUGAGCUUUUUAAGUGCUUCUGGCACGGUGAUUAGCAUAGAAUCACAUAGCUUGCCCAAGUUGUUUCUGUCAUCAUUAGGUCCUAAGCCAUCUGGGAUUGAGACCAACUUCAGUGGUGAUUCUUCAUUGUAUUGAUCCACCAUUGAGCUCACCACUCUCUUGUGGUUGAAGUCUGUGUUCACAAAUAUGACUUUGCAUCCAUUCUCCACCAGCUUUUGUGAUAGGGUUAACAUGGGAUUCACAUGCCCUUGACAUGGAAAUGGGAAAACUAGCACAGAUGGAAUGCUCAUGCUGUGUUCUUGUGUCUGUCUAUUGUUUCAGACCUAGUUUGCACUUCACGGGUAUGGCUUUGUUUAUAUACUCUGAAAAUAUGAUUACCAACUAUUAUAGACUCAUUUGGAUCCAGCAUAAUUGGUUCGUUAUGAUUAGUGUACUUUUAAAUAUUUAUUCUUUUACUGAUUUGAGCAAUCAAUCUUGUUUAGUAUUUUUCAGAAGUGUGAGUGAUUGAGCCACCCAAAUAAAGAAGAAAUAGUUAGAAAUUUAGAACAGCAAGCUGAAGCAUAAAUCAACCUAUAAAAUGAAUAAAAACGAAACUUCUCAACAGUUCUAGCUCUUAUUUUCCUAAUUAGAAUAAUAAAUAUUUGAAACAAGUUUUUUCUUUUAUAGUUAUGAAUGAUUCAACUAUCUAUAAUGUUACUAGAAAUGUUUAAAAUUAUGGUUAUUAUUUACUGUGUAGGCAAAUCAACUUUUUUCCAUCUUUAAUAUAAUAUGAUUAUACACAUCAAUACAAUGUAAUUAAUUCAAUUUAUUUAGUAAAAUUUUCAAUAAUAUUAGAAAGGUAUAUAAACUUUAUCCUCCUUGUUGAUAAUAUUAAAAAUUCUCUUUUCACGUUUUAUUAAUAAAAAAUGCUUAUAUUUAAUAGAGAUAAUAAGAAAAAUAGAAUAUACUAUUUCAUAAAAAAUUAUAAAAUAUCUUAUAAAAAGGUAUAUUAUUUUUUGUCAAAAAGUUCUUAUAUUAAGAGGAAAUAUAACAAAAAAAGUAAAAAAAACGUUAAAGUAUUAUUGAGUUUUAUACCUUUGUUUAGUGUAAGAAACAAUAAAUGAGAAAAAAAGUAAAAAAAAUGAAAAAAUAAAAAAGAACAUAAAAGGUGUGAAAAACAAAAAAGCAAAUUAUGUUGUGAUUAUUUAUUUACAACAUAUUCCAUGUAUUUAUAUUACAUACGCAUGGUUAAUAUUUUAUUAACAUCUACGUUUUUAUCUAUUAUAAUGAAAUAAAAAAAAUUAAGAUCAUUAAAAUAAGAAAAAUAAAUUAAUAAAAAUAAUAAAAUAUAUGUUACUUUCUUCUAUGUUAGAUUGUCCUAAUCGUACCUUUCUGAAAGGUCAUCAUAUUCAAUUAAUAUGGAUCACGUGAAUGAAGUCCAGAAAAACUUUUUUUUUGUCUCUUAUCCGACACAUCAAAAUAAUGCUUCCCUGCACCAAUGCCAACCAGCUUAUCAAAUAUUUUAUUUUAAUUUACAAUUUUUAAAUAUUUGUUUUCGUACUGUUUUAAAUUAGUCACUCUUUUUCAUUAUAUAAGAUUUUGCUACAUAUAUUUCUAACGUUAAAAAGAAAGGAAAGACAUGUUUUUGUGGGCAUGUUGUUGUGCAUGUACAUUGCGAUGAAUGUGGCUAAUUAAGAGAAGUGUGAUAGCAUAUAACUUCACACUAUUUUUAAAACAUGAUACUGGUAGAAUAUGUAUUAGUGAAGUGUUCAAUUUAAAAGAUAUUUGUUAAAUUUUUUUGACAAUUAUAACACAAUUUUAAUAUAACUUUAAGAAAAAAAGAAAUACAUUAACAUUUUAAAAACUCAAACUUAUGGUAUAAAUUUUUAAUAUGAUUAUAAAAAUAAGAAACAAAUUAUUUUGAACCAGCCAUGAAAAAUAUUUUUCUUCUAAAAAAACUGAAACAUUGUACACAUAAAUUUUUAUUGUCAUUUUAUAUAAUUCAUAAUAUAUAGAUAUGUGUCAUGUGUUCUACAUUUUAGAAAUUAUACUUAUCUCCGUGUUCGUGUAUGUGUUACAUAGGUGAUAACUUUAUUAGUGUUAUUAUUAUAAAUAGAGAUUAGUUAUGGAGAAAACAAAAAUAUAGAGAUACAUUUUUGUAAAUUGAGACUUUAUAUUUGUAUUCUUUGUACAAGAUUUGAAAAUAUUUUACCUUUUUAUCAAUAAAAAAAUUAAUGAAUAUUUAAACUUUUAUAAAAAAAAGUUUGGACAAAAUACAGUCAUAUCCGUAUAAAAGUUAAUGACACAUAUUUUGAUAGUUAAUUAGAUAUUAAUUUAAAAAAUAUUUAUUAAUAAAAUAACACUACAAGAAAAUCAUGAAAUAGAAACAAAUUUUAGAGAAAAAAGUUAAAUAGUUACUAUAGUGACUAAUAGAGGGUUGGGUGAAAAUUUUAAUUCAGAAGGAGUCUUUAAACAACUUCAAUAAAUUCUAUAAUUAUGUUCGAAUUGAAAAAAAAAGUUUAUAUAUUGCUUUAAUUAAAAACAAUAUUGAAAAUGAAUUCAAAAUGAAAACUUUAAAACAUUUUUCAAAAACUAUUGACAUAACUUUUCAACUCCUAGAAUACCUUAGAAAAAUGGUAUUGUGGAGCGUAAAAAUAUAUAUGUUUAUUAGAAAUAACUAAAAUAAUACGAAAUGUAAACUCCACUCCUAAACAUUUUACAUGGAUGUUCUAAAACAUUUCCAUUAGGUGUGUUUUCUUUUUGUUUUGCUUUUAAUUUUUAUCAAUUGUCUUACGUUCUUAGUUGGGUGCUACUAAUGUUGGUCUUAGGCCAACAAGGGAUUUAAUGUUUAUAGCAGGUUUUGGAAAUGGAUCUCGAGGUAAUGAAGGAAAAAAGUUUUGUUCUUAGCAUUCUAUUGUUUUGGUUUUUCUUUGGCUUUAUUUGGAUGUAAGAAAUUUAUACGUUUUGUGUUAGGUGUGUUUGUGGUUAUGUUGGAUUGGUCAUAUAUGUUUUUUGGGACUUGUAGUUUUUUAGAACUUGUAGUAUCUAUUCCUUUGCGUAAGAUUAUAGGUGUUGUUAGGAUUGGAGCUUAAAAGGUGAUGUGUUACAGUAAUUUCUUUGUUCUUGACUUACUAAUGUAGGUGAAUCUUAAACAUCUUAUAUAAAGGUUGAAACAUUUCUGAAGUAUUCUAUUUUAUUUUAUUUAUUCAUUGCUAAAAAAAAAACUAAAAAAAAUACACCUUUCACAAAUCUUUCAUUAUCUUAUUAGUGUUACUAGUCUUGUUCUAUGCUUGUUAUUAGUGUUACUAGUCUUGUUCUAUGCUUGCAUAAACUUUCUAGUUAACUAAGAUAAGAAAUAUCAAUUCUUUUAAGGACAAAAUAUAAAGGAAAAACAUUGGUGGAGGAUACUAUUCCAUAAUAAGAAACUUAAUUUAACUAUUGGUUGUCAUUUACAACUUCUAGUUGGAUCAAUCAAUUAUUAGGAUAUUAUUGGAUUACUGGUAAAUAUUUAGACCACAAACUCUAAGAUUCAUAUACUUUCGAUUUUCUCCAAGAUAGAGACUUGCUUCUUGCCGUGCCGUAAAUGUGUUCCCUUGUCACCCAUGGAUGGUUUUCCUAUUCUUUGGGAUGCUUAGAAUCAUCUAAAAGGACACUUUUAACAACAACAAAAUAGCCACGAAAUUACAGGAAAAAAAUGUUUGCCGAAUAUUUCUGCAAGAUUUUCAUAUUCAAUAAUUAACGUGGACCACGUAAAAUAUGCCCCAUGAAUUCAAGUUUCUUUUGUCUUAUUAACGUAAGCACGAAAUGUGAAGUCUUAUUCCUUUAUCUCCUUCACAAAGUUCUUAAAGUUCUCAUAAGAUGUUCCUCCUUUUGCUAUGUUCUUCAUCACUUUCUCCUUCAACACCACACACCUGAAUUUUAUGUUCUCGUCAUUAAAGAUCUGUUCCACUUUGGUUUUCAACUCUCCGCGUGACACAACUCCAUUUUGAUCUUUGUCAAUCCCCAACCCAACCUUUAACUCAUCACAAAUAUGUGCUUUGUUGUAAAGUUGGUCUCCAAAGUAUGGCCAACACAAUAAAGGUACCCCACUGGACAAACCUUCCAUGGUAGAAUUCCAACCACAAUGAGUGACAAAACAUGCUAUGGCAGGGUGGCUUAAAACCUUUUGUUGAGGAGCCCAAUUCACUAUCUUACCCUUAUGUCCUUGGAAUUCAUGAGGGUAUGCCAUUUUAUUGUCUUCUCUUAUAACCCAAAGAAAAGGUCUAUUGGUGAGAUCUAGUCCAAGGGCAAGUUCAUUGAAUUGGUUUUGGUCAAAAAGAGUGAUACUACCAAAGGCAACAUACAACACAGAACCAUCAGCUUGUUCAUCUAGCCAACUCAUGCAGGACUGGUCUUCUUUCCAGAAUUGUCCCAUUGAUUUUGUAGCUGCACUUUUGUUAUGAUCAUUAUCAUUGCUUCUCAACAAUGGCCCAAUUGGGAUGAUCUUCGGAAGAAAUAAUAAUGUUCCAGGUUCAAGUUCAUGUGUGGAGUUGCAAAGCCACCACUGUGUCAAUUGUAAACUUCGUGCGCAAUGCAGCAAAUACUUAAGCACGUUCUUACCAGUUGUUAGGUCACCCAUAUUGAACCAAAAAAAGUCUUCUGGAUCCAUCUCAGGCAUACUUGGCGAAAUCUGAAUUCUCUUUUUUGUAGUUGAUGUUAAACCUUCAGUGAAAAACCAACAAAAAAACAUUAGCUUAUACAAUAGACGUAUAAAUUAAGUUAUAAAUUAUGUUCAUACAUAACAACACGAUAAUAUUCUUACCUAAAUCAGAGUCUAUAAUUCCCUCAUCAAUAAGUACAGGGAUGCUGUAGACCAAGGUGAAAAUAGCUGCUGAUGCAGGACACAACACAGCUCCUUUGAUUCCCAGUUUACUCCCAACAUCCAAAGCCCAAGCCAUGCACAAAUCAGCAACAAUGAAGUUGAUUUUGUUCUCACCUUUCAAAUGAAUAUCCUCUAUCAGCUUCUCAAGUGCUCCUGGCAUGGUUUUGGGAAUGGCCUCAUACAGCUUGGCCUGAUCGUUUCUGUCCUCAUCAGGUCCUAAACCAUCAGGGAUUGAAACCAACUUCAGCACUGAUUCUUGUUCAUCAAGGCUAGAACAAUCUUGUUGCUCCACCAUGGAACUAACCACUCUCCUGUGGUUAAAGUCUGUGUUCACAAAAAUGACUUUGCAUCCAUUCUCAAGCAGCUUCUGUGAGAAGGUCAUCAUGGGAUUCACAUGCCCUUGUGCUGGAAGUGGUAAAGCUAGCACAGUUGAAUCUCUCAUGUUCAGUGUUUUUAUUUGGUUUCUACUGAUUCUGAUUUGUGAGGCCAAUUAUGCAUUGAUCUGUUCAUGUAUGUAUAGGCACAGCCCCUCACAUUAAAAACGUUAAUCAAUGUAUAUACCUACGAAUUACAAUCUAGGUCACGAUCAGUCAAAAUCUUCGGCUAUCAUAAUAAAUUUUGUAAGAAGAAAUGUAGAAAGUUUGUGUGUUCACAACAAUAAUUUUGUCAUUCUAUACCUCUUUACAUUUGCUUGUACUUCUCUGAUUCGACUUUAGUGUUUUUAUCAUUAAACUUUUUUUUUAUUAAUAUUGAUUUAGCAUUAUGCUGUUAUUUAAUUACGAUAAUCAUGUAAUAAUAUCUCUUUUAAUUUGGAUAAAUUUAAAAGAAUUUUUUUUAUGAAACUAACACUCCUCUCUCCAACCACAACAAACCCCCAAACUACCAACAUUAAAAAAAAUAAUUAACACUACAAGAAAAUUAUGAAAUAGAAACCAAUUUCUAGAAACCAAAAUAAUUAGUUNNNNNNNNNNNNNNNNNNNNNNNNNNNNNNNNNNNNNNNNNNNNNNNNNNNNNNNNNNNNNNNNNNNNNNNNNNNNNNNNNNNNNNNNNNNNNNNNNNNNNNNNNNNNNNNNNNNNNNNNNNNNNNNNNNNNNNNNNNNNNNNNNNNNNNNNNNNNNNNNNNNNNNNNNNNNNNNNNNNNNNNNNNNNNNNNNNNNNNNNNNNNNNNNNNNNNNNNNNNNNNNNNNNNNNNNNNNNNNNNNNNNNNNNNNNNNNNNNNNNNNNNNNNNNNNNNNNNNNNNNNNNNNNNNNNNNNNNNNNNNNNNNNNNNNNNNNNNNNNNNNNNNNNNNNNNNNNNNNNNNNNNNNNNNNNNNNNNNNNNNNNNNNNNNNNNNNNNNNNNNNNNNNNNNNNNNNNNNNNNNNNNNNNNNNNNNNNNNNNNNNNNNNNNNNNNNNNNNNNNNNNNNNNNNNNNNNNNNNNNNNNNNNNNNNNNNNNNNNNNNNNNNNNNNNNNNNNNNNNNNNNNNNNNNNNNNNNNNNNNNNNNNNNNNNNNNNNNNNNNNNNNNNNNNNNNNNNNNNNNNNNNNNNNNNNNNNNNNNNNNNNNNNNNNNNNNNNNNNNNNNNNNNNNNNNNNNNNNNNNNNNNNNNNNNNNNNNNNNNNNNNNNNNNNNNNNNNNNNNNNNNNNNNNNNNNNNNNNNNNNNNNNNNNNNNNNNNNNNNNNNNNNNNNNNNNNNNNNNNNNNNNNNNNNNNNNNNNNNNNNNNNNNNNNNNNNNNNNNNNNNNNNNNNNNNNNNNNNNNNNNNNNNNNNNNNNNNNNNNNNNNNNNNNNNNNNNNNNNNNNNNNNNNNNNNNNNNNNNNNNNNNNNNNNNNNNNNNNNNNNNNNNNNNNNNNNNNNNNNNNNNNNNNNNNNNNNNNNNNNNNNNNNNNNNNNNNNNNNNNNNNNNNNNNNNNNNNNNNNNNNNNNNNNNNNNNNNNNNNNNNNNNNNNNNNNNNNNNNNNNNNNNNNNNNNNNNNNNNNNNNNNNNNNNNNNNNNNNNNNNNNNNNNNNNNNNNNNNNNNNNNNNNNNNNNNNNNNNNNNNNNNNNNNNNNNNNNNNNNNNNNNNNNNNNNNNNNNNNNNNNNNNNNNNNNNNNNNNNNNNNNNNNNNNNNNNNNNNNNNNNNNNNNNNNNNNNNNNNNNNNNNNNNNNNNNNNNNNNNNNNNNNNNNNNNNNNNNNNNNNNNNNNNNNNNNNNNNNNNNNNNNNNNNNNNNNNNNNNNNNNNNNNNNNNNNNNNNNNNNNNNNNNNNNNNNNNNNNNNNNNNNNNNNNNNNNNNNNNNNNNNNNNNNNNNNNNNNNNNNNNNNNNNNNNNNNNNNNNNNNNNNNNNNNNNNNNNNNNNNNNNNNNNNNNNNNNNNNNNNNNNNNNNNNNNNNNNNNNNNNNNNNNNNNNNNNNNNNNNNNNNNNNNNNNNNNNNNNNNNNNNNNNNNNNNNNNNNNNNNNNNNNNNNNNNNNNNNNNNNNNNNNNNNNNNNNNNNNNNNNNNNNNNNNNNNNNNNNNNNNNNNNNNNNNNNNNNNNNNNNNNNNNNNNNNNNNNNNNNNNNNNNNNNNNNNNNNNNNNNNNNNNNNNNNNNNNNNNNNNNNNNNNNNNNNNNNNNNNNNNNNNNNNNNNNNNNNNNNNNNNNNNNNNNNNNNNNNNNNNNNNNNNNNNNNNNNNNNNNNNNNNNNNNNNNNNNNNNNNNNNNNNNNNNNNNNNNNNNNNNNNNNNNNNNNNNNNNNNNNNNNNNNNNNNNNNNNNNNNNNNNNNNNNNNNNNNNNNNNNNNNNNNNNNNNNNNNNNNNNNNNNNNNNNNNNNNNNNNNNNNNNNNNNNNNNNNNNNNNNNNNNNNNNNNNNNNNNNNNNNNNNNNNNNNNNNNNNNNNNNNNNNNNNNNNNNNNNNNNNNNNNNNNNNNNNNNNNNNNNNNNNNNNNNNNNNNNNNNNNNNNNNNNNNNNNNNNNNNNNNNNNNNNNNNNNNNNNNNNNNNNNNNNNNNNNNNNNNNNNNNNNNNNNNNNNNNNNNNNNNNNNNNNNNNNNNNNNNNNNNNNNNNNNNNNNNNNNNNNNNNNNNNNNNNNNNNNNNNNNNNNNNNNNNNNNNNNNNNNNNNNNNNNNNNNNNNNNNNNNNNNNNNNNNNNNNNNNNNNNNNNNNNNNNNNNNNNNNNNNNNNNNNNNNNNNNNNNNNNNNNNNNNNNNNNNNNNNNNNNNNNNNNNNNNNNNNNNNNNNNNNNNNNNNNNNNNNNNNNNNNNNNNNNNNNNNNNNNNNNNNNNNNNNNNNNNNNNNNNNNNNNNNNNNNNNNNNNNNNNNNNNNNNNNNNNNNNNNNNNNNNNNNNNNNNNNNNNNNNNNNNNNNNNNNNNNNNNNNNNNNNNNNNNNNNNNNNNNNNNNNNNNNNNNNNNNNNNNNNNNNNNNNNNNNNNNNNNNNNNNNNNNNNNNNNNNNNNNNNNNNNNNNNNNNNNNNNNNNNNNNNNNNNNNNNNNNNNNNNNNNNNNNNNNNNNNNNNNNNNNNNNNNNNNNNNNNNNNNNNNNNNNNNNNNNNNNNNNNNNNNNNNNNNNNNNNNNNNNNNNNNNNNNNNNNNNNNNNNNNNNNNNNNNNNNNNNNNNNNNNNNNNNNNNNNNNNNNNNNNNNNNNNNNNNNNNNNNNNNNNNNNNNNNNNNNNNNNNNNNNNNNNNNNNNNNNNNNNNNNNNNNNNNNNNNNNNNNNNNNNNNNNNNNNNNNNNNNNNNNNNNNNNNNNNNNNNNNNNNNNNNNNNNNNNNNNNNNNNNNNNNNNNNNNNNNNNNNNNNNNNNNNNNNNNNNNNNNNNNNNNNNNNNNNNNNNNNNNNNNNNNNNNNNNNNNNNNNNNNNNNNNNNNNNNNNNNNNNNNNNNNNNNNNNNNNNNNNNNNNNNNNNNNNNNNNNNNNNNNNNNNNNNNNNNNNNNNNNNNNNNNNNNNNNNNNNNNNNNNNNNNNNNNNNNNNNNNNNNNNNNNNNNNNNNNNNNNNNNNNNNNNNNNNNNNNNNNNNNNNNNNNNNNNNNNNNNNNNNNNNNNNNNNNNNNNNNNNNNNNNNNNNNNNNNNNNNNNNNNNNNNNNNNNNNNNACUUUUCUCUGCUUCUAUUAUGUUCCAUCAAGACCCAUUUCUCUGCUUGUCUUGGGUUAUUUGCCUUCACAAUGGCUUUAUGAGCUUCUAUGUAAGGUACAACUUCAUCUGUGUUAUUCAAUAUGUACAAAUGUGCUUGCAAGACUUUUGAUCGAGAUUUGCUUACAAUAUUCACACCACGUAAACAUUUAGUUGUAGAACGCCUGUGGUGCCAUGAAUUAGCUGGAACACCUAUUGGAUUUGCUUUUGUCAUGUACUCUGAACAAAAUUCAAUACUUUCUUCAGCUAUGUACCUUUCAAUCAUUGAAGCUUCUGGACGAUAAUGAUUUUUCACAUAACCUUUCAAAAUUUUCAUAUACCGCUCAACAGGAUACAUCCAUCUUAAGUACACUGGUCCACACAAUCUAACCUCUCUUACCAGAUGCACCACUAGAUGAACCAUGAUGUCAAAAAAAGACGGAGGAAAAAACAUCUCCAAUUCACACAAGAUAACAACAAUUUCAUUUUGAAGUUCAUCUAGUUUUGAGGGAUCAAUGACUUUACAACAGAUGGAAGAGAAGAAUGAGCACAAAUGGGUUAUGGUGUGUCUAACAUUUUUUGGUAAGAUCCCACGGAUAGCUACCGGCAACAACUGUUGCAUCAAGAUGUGACAAUCAUGAGACUUCAACCCAAUUAACUUCAAAUCUUGCAUUGACACUAGGCUCUUCACAUUUGAGGAAUGUCCUUGUGGCACUUUCACACCCUUUAGACAUUGACAAAAACUAAUUUUUUCAUCUUGUGACAUUGUGUAACAGGCUGGGGGCAAAUAUGUACGCGUACCCAUUUCUAUGGGUGCCAACUCGCCGCGUAUGUUCAUCUCAAUCAAAUCUAAACGAGCAUUUAGACCAUCCUUCGUCUUCCCGUUAAUGUUAAGAAGUGUACCAAUUAAGCUAUCACACACAUUCUUCUCAACAUGCAUUACAUCUAUACAAUGUCUGACUUCUAACCUCGACCUGUACGAAAGAUCAAAGAAGAUUGAUUUCUUCUUCCAAAUAUUUGUCACAGAUGACUUUUUUUUGGACUUACCGAAGGUGUGGUCUAUGUUAUUUACCUUUUCGUAAACCUCAACACUGGUUAAUGGAGUUGGUGGACCACUACCCUCUUGGUGUCCAUUAAAGGCUUUUUUCAACCUCCGGUAAGGAUGAUGACUUCUAAGAAACCUCCGAUGCCGAAGAUAUACUGUUUUCCUUCCAUGUUUCAAUUGUUGAGAAGCAGUGUCUUCUUCGCAUAUUGGACACGCUUUUUGACCCUUAACACUAUAACCUGAUAAGUUACCAUAUGUCGGAAAGUCAUUGAUGGUGCAAAAUAACAUGGCAUGAAGCUUGAAAGUUUCAUUAGCAAAUCCGUCAAAUACUUCGACACCUUGGUCCCACAUUAACUUCAAAUCUUCAAUUAGGGGACUUAGAUAAACAUCAAUAUCAUUCCCUGGUUGUUUCGGACCGGAUAUCAUCAUAGACAACAUCAUGUAUUUUCGCUUCAUGCACAAUCCAGGAGGUAAGUUGUAAAUAACUAGUAAUACAGGCCAUGAACUGUGAUUUGUACUCAUAUUACCAAACGGAUUCAUUCCGNNNNNNNNNNNNNNNNNNNNNNNNNNNNNNNNNNNNNNNNNNNNNNNNNNNNNNNNNNNNNNNNNNNNNNNNNNNNNNNNNNNNNNNNNNNNNNNNNNNNNNNNNNNNNNNNNNNNNNNNNNNNNNNNNNNNNNNNNNNNNNNNNNNNNNNNNNNNNNNNNNNNNNNNNNNNNNNNNNNNNNNNNNNNNNNNNNNNNNNNNNNNNNNNNNNNNNNNNNNNNNNNNNNNNNNNNNNNNNNNNNNNNNNNNNNNNNNNNNNNNNNNNNNNNNNNNNNNNNNNNNNNNNNNNNNNNNNNNNNNNNNNNNNNNNNNNNNNNNNNNNNNNNNNNNNNNNNNNNNNNNNNNNNNNNNNNNNNNNNNNNNNNNNNNNNNNNNNNNNNNNNNNNNNNNNNNNNNNNNNNNNNNNNNNNNNNNNNNNNNNNNNNNNNNNNNNNNNNNNNNNNNNNNNNNNNNNNNNNNNNNNNNNNNNNNNNNNNNNNNNNNNNNNNNNNNNNNNNNNNNNNNNNNNNNNNNAUCUUAACACCGCCGACAACCGUGUGAAGUUAGUUGAUCCAGGAUACAAAGGAGUCUCUGCAUCUUUUGACAUACUUUCAUAUCCAAGCGCUUUUGCAAAACACUCAGCUCCCACAUCACGAAUCAUGUCCUCCAAUCGAUCAUCAUCUCCAUCAUCGUGUACUGCUUCAUCCAUGGUAGAACCCACAUAUUCUUCAGUUACGGAAACACAUGGUAAAUUUAAUAAUUCACCAUGCCAUGUCCAAGUUGUAUAAGAUCGAAGAAACCCAUCACAUAGCAGGUGUUCCCUCAUGAUAUUCACAUCCAGUAUCCUUCCAUUCAAACAGUUAACGCACGGACACCUAAUCUUUGCUCCAUCAUGACCACUAAUAAUCGCGUUACGCUGUGCAAAUUGUAUAAAUUCCUCUACUCCCCUUUUGUACUCAUCACUUAUACGAACAACAUUAAUCCAACUUCGUCCAUUAUAUAUUCUGGAAUAUAGUUAGGAUUUUCUAAUAAUUAGUAUUCUAUUCAAUCUCACACAUUUGCCGAGGGUCGAACACCCCCGGACUCAAUCCAAACACGAUAUUUUUAUUCUAAAAGUAACAAUAACUAACAUAAAGAGCUAAUAAUUCACUUCGAGAGUUUCCAACUAACUCAAUGUAGUAGCAAACAAAAUUUGGUCUGGAAAGGAAUUUGGGCAGCUGUAGUGUGGUGUAUAUGGGAGCACAGAAACUCAAUUGUGUUUAACCAAGGGGUUGCAGAUGUGGAAGAAAUCUUCUCAGAAGUCCAGCUCAAAUCGUGGCUUUGGAUGAAACACAAAGCACAUAACUUUAGUUAUUCAUUUGCAGAGUGGGUCCUGGACCCAAUUUCUUGUAUCAGGAGUUAUAAGUAAGUGAGGCUAGGCGGAGGCAAUCUGGUUGUGAGUGGAAAGGUAAAAUGCUGAUAAUGAUGGAUGUUGUAAACCCCCAAUAGGACCAUUCAACAUGUCUCGAUCGUAUAGACCAAUGGAUGAUUGCUGACACUAGAUAAGCUCUGUUUGGGGGUUAUACAAUGAUCUGGCAUAACGCUNNNNNNNNNNNNNNNNNNNNNNNNNNNNNNNNNNNNNNNNNNNNNNNNNNNNNNNNNNNNNNNNNNNNNNNNNNNNNNNNNNNNNNNNNNNNNNNNNNNNNNNNNNNNNNNNNNNNNNNNNNNNNNNNNNNNNNNNNNNNNNNNNNNNNNNNNNNNNNNNNNNNNNNNNNNNNNNNNNNNNNNNNNNNNNNNNNNNNNNNNNNNNNNNNNNNNNNNNNNNNNNNNNNNNNNNNNNNNNNNNNNNNNNNNNNNNNNNNNNNNNNNNNNNNNNNNNNNNNNNNNNNNNNNNNNNNNNNNNNNNNNNNNNNNNNNNNNNNNNNNNNNNNNNNNNNNNNNNNNNNNNNNNNNNNNNNNNNNNNNNNNNNNNNNNNNNNNNNNNNNNNNNNNNNNNNNNNNNNNNNNNNNNNNNNNNNNNNNNNNNNNNNNNNNNNNNNNNNNNNNNNNNNNNNNNNNNNUGGGAGAUAGCAUAACAUAGCUAUAUCGUGGUGCAACACCUGUAGCAUAUCAAAAUAGCUAGGAUGGGCACGGCGUGGCAGGUGUUUAAGCCAGCUGGAAAGGAAGUUUAAGGCCUAAACUUUUUGGUGGUGUUAAUUGGGUGGUAUAGGGUGAAGUUAAAGAUCAAUUUGAAGUAUCUGAAGAUGCUGCUGAAAGCUAAUGAGAUGGUGAAGGUAGCUGACUCCUCCGUUGCUAUGGGAGGUCGUUUGUUGCAGAUGUCUAGCAGCUUAAUAGAGGACGCAACAGUGCUACAUAUGUUGAUGGUAAAGAAUUAAUUGUAGAAUAAAGCUGAAGAUCUUGGCAGGCAGUAAUGUUGGAUGUUACUAUAGGUGGUUGAGAAAGGUAGCACCAGUUAUUAAGCUCUGGAUGUGGAGGUUGUGCUGCAAGUGGUUGUCAAGCAGGUGGAAGGAUUACGUUGGGUUUCUGGUGGUUGAAAUGCUGGUUAGGGUCUUUGCAGCAGUGCAGCAGAAUAAUAGAACCAGUAUGGGAGCUGGUGUAGGUUUUAUUUAUGCAGUAGUUUUAUGUAUGCAGUAGUGGUUACUCUCUUCCUGUUUUGGGGUGUUCCUUUUGGAGAUCCUAAAACAAGGUUUGGUGUUGUAAAGGGUUGGGAUACCCCUUUUGUAUCCCUCUUAAUUUAAUUUCAUUCUUUGCUGAUAAAAAAAAAAAACAAUAACUAACAUAACAUAAAACUUUUAUUAAAAUGUAAUUAACAACUAACUAAAUAUAUAAUAUAAAUUUAAGAAAAUAGAAAUUAUAUAAUACAAAAAUUCAAAAUACACACAAAUAUAUAAAUUAUUAGUUAUUAGUUAUAAAUUCCAAGUUGUAUUNNNNNNNNNNNNNNNNNNNNNNNNNNNNNNNNNNNNNNNNNNNNNNNNNNNNNNNNNNNNNNNNNNNNNNNNNNNNNNNNNNNNNNNNNNNNNNNNNNNNAUUAAAUAUAUAUUAUAAUACAGAAAAAUAAAAAUUCAAAAUAUUAAAUAUAAAUUCAAAAUAUUAAAUAAAUAUUAAAUACAACACCAACCUUUAAGUUGAUGGUGAUCGGAGUGGCAGAGGCACAAGACGAAGGCGAAGGCGGUGGCGGAAGCUAUGGCGGUGGCGGAGCAGAAAAAACCAGCGAAACCAAUAGAACAGUAACCUAUAUGCCACUAACGAGUUAGGAAACGAAAAUGACAAUGCCAAGGGAGUGAAUAAUGAAUGAUGCAAAAACGAAAACGAAAACGAAAACAAACGAGUGAAACGAAGAGCGGAGAGAGCUGAAACUUACAAUGCAGAGGGAACUGAAACUGAGAACGUUGAAACGAAGAGUGGAGAAGACGAAAGUGAAAGUGAAAACUAGUGGCGCGCUUCAAUUUUUAGGGUAAAAUUGAUUUACAAAUGCGGUUCUAGGGUAAGACCGCAUUUGUAAAUCAAUUUAAUUACAAAAAUGCCACCGCGUUUUUUACAAAUGCGUUUAAACGCAAAGCCGCACUAAAUAAAGGGUCGUUGUUUUCAUAUUUUGUACUAGUGAUAUCUUUGGUUUUAAGCACCAAUCUAAGAAGGAAAAACCUAUUGAAGGCAACUUUGAAGAGAUCUAAGACCAAACAUUUAGCUGUGCCAAAGAAUUUUUUUUGGAAUGGUCUAUUACUCCACUCUUAAACAAAUGGUUAUUCCUAUACAUCCAAAUCUCGUUUAGCAGUGCAAUCUAGAUAUUACCCAUUAUAAGAUUAACAGACAUAGGUACAUCAAGAAAAAUGAAUUGCAAGAAAUGAGAGACAAACAAAAAAGGGUCUACCGAACUCACUCCUAAUCACACAUAGCAGAGAUUCCAGACUAGUCAGGAAACCCUGCACCCAAAAAACAGAUGACUAGUCGACUCCUCUAAAACCUCACACAAACAACAAAGGUUGCUCUUGACCGCAACACAAUGUCUCUCCAAGUUGACCCUAGUAGCUAUCUUAUUUUCAAUCACCCUCCAGGUGGUGAUCUGGGCUGAAGGUAAGACCUUGAUCUUCCAAAAUGAUUCAUACAUCUGUUGGUUUCCCCCUUUUGCCUCUCCUAUUAGAAAACCAUAAGCAAAUUGAAUUGAAAACUCUUCAGAAUUGUUGUCCUUCCAAACCCAUCUAUCCACGGACUCCGAAGCAGAACUUACACCGAGUAACAACUCAUUGAGCUGACGGACUAGGGGCACCUCCCACACCAAAAGACCCCUUCUCCAAAAAAGCCUCCAGACCCAAACAUUAUUAACCCAGACCCCGCAAUCAGACAGAGACGCCUCUUUGUUCACAACUAAGGAGAAGAGCCUCAAGAAACUACUUUUCAAGGAACAGGAGCCCAACUAGUUGUCUUCCCAGAAAAGAAUGUUUCUUCCAUUCCCUAACUCCAAUUAAAGCGACCUUAAAACUACCCUCUCCAACCUUCCGACUUCCAGAUCUCCUUCAGGUCAUUCCAUCAAAGAGAAACUUUAUUGGUAGAGAUUCUCCGAUCUUUCAAGCAUCUCCAACCACCAUACUUGGACACAAUGAUCUACUGCCAUAAUCCACCCUUAUCAAAACUCAAACGUCAGAUCCAUUUCCCCAGCAAGACCACAUUAAAAAGCCUAAGAUUAAUAAUGCCAAAACCGCUUACUUCCCUAGACUUGCAUAAUUUAUCCCACACAACCAAACCAUCUUCCUCCUUUGAGACCCCCAACCCCACAGAAAGGUCCUUUGCAAACUCACUAAAUUUUUCAACACAUUAGGCGACUUCCUGAAGAAAGAGAGGUAGAACAAAGGGAUAGACGAAAAAACUGACUUAAGCAAGCAAAUCCUCCCGGCCAACGAGAUGAAUCUUCCCUUCCAUCUAGUUGAUUUGUUGUUGAUCCUAUUAAUCACUUCAUCCCAAAACGCACCCCUCUACUAGCAUUCCCAAAUAUUUGAACAGGAUUUUCAUCACUUCACAAUUGAGAAUUGCUGCAAACCGGAGAAUAAAUGUCUGGUCAACCCCCACCCCACUAAUUCUGCUUUUCAAGAAAUUCACCUUAAGACCAAAAGCUAGCUCAAAGAAAUUUAGAAUAACCUUAAUGUUAAAAACACUUUUGACACUAGCUUUACAGAAGAACAAAGUAUCAUCGACAUAUUGUAACAUGUUCACCUUAACCAUCUUUCUCCCAAUCUCCACACUCUCAACCAAUUUUUUUCAACCACAAUCCUAGAAAUCCUGGCUAAUCCUUCAGUUGCAAUAAGAAAUAAGAACGGGGCCAAAGAGUCACCUUGCCUCAGGUCCUUCUUCGAAAUAAAUUCCUUAGUUGAGCUCCCAUUUACUAGAACUGACACCGAAGCUGACUCUAGACAAUAUUUAAUCCAGGAGAUCCACUUUUCAUAGAACCGGAGCUUUCCUAGCAUGUAGUAAAUAAACUUCUACCUUACUGAGUUGUAAGCCUUCUCAUAAUCAACCUUGAAAAAUACAACUUUUAUCCAUCCUCUUCAUCUCAUUAAGAACUUCAUUAGCCACAAGAACACUAUCCAAAAGCCCCCUUCAUUCUAAAAGAGUAUAUUGUUUGAAAUUAAUGACUUUACCAAUUACCUUUUUCAACUUGAGGGAAAUUUUUGUUGAUACUAUCUUGUACACACACCCUACCAACCAAAUAGAUCAGAACUCGCUAAGCUGUUGUGGAUUCUCUGAUUUAGGAAUCAAACAUAGAAAGGAAGCGUUUGACCCCCUAGGUCAACUUCCUUUUUCCACAAAAUCCUUCACGUCCGACAAAUAAACCUCCUUUAAGUAAUCCCAACAAAAUAUAAUGAAUUUGAACUUAAAACCAUCAGGAUUGGGGCUUUUCGAGCUAUCGCAGCUCUAGAAAGCAUUCUUCACUUCCUCUUCAGUGACAUUAGCUACCUGUGCCACAUUAUCUUCGCCACAAAUAGAGUUAAAACGAACAUUGUCUAACUUGGCUUAAGGCCCGGAGACUCCUUCAAACUUGGCUUUGAAAAAAUACCUGACCUUCGUUUUAACCACCUCCUUAUCCUCAAUCCAAAGAUCAUUCUCUAAAACCCCGUUGAUCCCGAUCCUCACUCUCCUCCACUUCACGGAUGAAUGAAAGAAUUUUGUAUUUAAAUCACCAUGUUUAAACCAUUUAGAGCAGGCCUUUUAAUGUAAAACUUCUUCCUGCUUAAAAGAAUUCCUACUUUGUUAAGUUAAUAAGAGUUUUCUCUCCUCCCUCCCAGCCUCGGGUAGAAUGCCUUCAUCGUCUCUUACAUCCAGCUCUUGAAUCUUCUUAUGUAAGACUUAGGGGUGGCAUUGCGGGCUGGCCCGCCCCGCAUAGGCCCACCUUGCACUUGGCCCGCCCCGUAUAGAAUUUGCGGACUGAUUUUUCUAGCUCGCCCCGCAUAAGGAUUGGCCUGCGGGCCGGCGAGCAAGGCUGCAUAAGAAAUAUUUAUUAAAAAAAUAAAUUUUUUAUUUUUUAUUUAUUUAGAUGCAUUAGGUAAAUGGUCUCAUAAUAUUAUUUUCAUGAAACAUGCGUAGUAAGAUGUUAUUAAAAAUUUUGGAAUGUGGUGUAUAAAAAAAAUUAUACAUUUUAAAGUUAUGCGGGCCAACCAGCCCCACCCCGCACUUGGUCCAUGCGGGUUGUGGGUUAUGCGGGGCGGGCCAGCAGGUUGAAAUAAGCAACCUGCCCCGCAUUUAUUUCAGCGGGUCGGCCUGCACGACCCACCCCACUUUGUCACCCCUAGUAAGACUUCCCUUGCAUGGUUGACAUUCCUGAAGACCUCUCUAUUCCAAAUUUUCAGGUCAGACUUUAACUUUUUUUCAAAUUUUCUUUUAAAACAAAUAGCCCUUUACCAUGCACCUCAUAACUCUGCAAUGUAUUGCUAAUGAAAUCUAAAAACCUGCCAUCAUUUUGUCACACAUCCAAGCUUCUAAACAGUUUUGUCCCCUAGUCAAUGCUCGUAUCUUUUAGCACUAGCACAAAGUGAUCAAAGACCGGUCUACUAAACACAUUUUGUUUACAGUUCGGCCGAAACUCCAACCACUCCCUGGAAACUAAAAUCCUAUCAAUUCUGCUCUUUACAGUCCAAGUGAAUUUUUUCCCAACCAUCGAAAUGUCCACAAAUCUGUUUUUUCGAUUAAUUCAUUAAACCCUCUAAUUUCUCUACUAUAAUGAGAAAUUGAGAUAAAACUCCUUCUUUAUUCCUUAUGCCCGAUAGAAUUAAAAUCCCCAACAACACAUUUGAAAGGAAAGAUAAUAAAUGAAAAUUUCCAAAUAAUAAAGUACAUUUUCUAAAGUUUGACAUUUACACAUAUAAAGUUUAAAAAUGAAAAUAUACCAUUUUCUUUCAUUACAAGAAAUAUUAGUUAUGAUUAUUAUUUAUAAUUAUUAAUAUUUUAAUAACAUUAUUAUAAUCUUAAUAAAAAUAAUAAUAAUAGUAUUAAUGAAUAAUCUUAAUAUCAUUAAUAAUAAUAUUAAUAAUAUUAUUUCUAUUAUUAAGAUUAUUUAUAUGUGAGUUGCUUUUAUUGGUUUACGGAACACUUCAUAUAAAAAAUAUUUUUUUUAAAUUAAUGAAAAAUAAUUUUUUUAAAUACAAAUUUGGAAUACAUUUAUUUAUUUUUAUUAAUUUAAUUUUUCUUCUUGUUUAGAUGAAUUAGGUAAAUGGUCUCACAAUACCAUUCUCAAGACACAUGUGUAAUGAGAUAUGAGUAAAAAAAAUUAUAAUAAUGUUUUGAUUUUCAAUGAAAUUUGAAUUUAAAAUAUUGGUUUAAUUACCUUUUUCGUCCCUAUAUUUAUAGCCAAUAGUCAAUUUGGUACAGUGGUUUUAAAAAAUUCAAUUUGGUCCCUAAGUUUUUUAAAAUGUAUUCAAAAUGGUUUUUUCUGUUAAAUAUCACCAAACGAUGUUAACUGGUGCUUAUGUGGCAGACACGUGUAAGUUACGUGGAUGGUGCUUACAUUACUUUAGUGAAUAAUGAAUUAGGGUUUAGGUUAUUCAAAUUGGAGAUUUCGAAUUUCUGAUUUAGGGUUUCUAAUACGAGGAUUGCUCCCCUGGUUGGAUUCUGUGGUGCGCUUCCCUGCUUCGAUUCCAUUCGGAGGUGUGCUCCCCUCAUUCGAUUCUGUGGUGCGAGUGAAUUUGGAGGUGCGAUCUUGUGGCUUGUGAUUCGUUCGUGUGUGGUUCCGUUUGUGGUGGAAAUGUGAGCAUAUAGAUCUGCAUCUGUAUCAUCAUGUAGCUGUAACCGAAUGGAAGUGCAACAACAACGAUCGAAUUCUAGCCAUGGUGGUGGAAGUAGGACGACUUUUGUUGCUCCCAUUUGCGAUUGUGGGGAAUUUAUGGUUUUGAAAACCGCAACAACGGUCAAAAAUUGUGGGAGGCAAUUUUGGGGGUGUCCAAAGUAUAAGGUGAGAUGUAUUAAACUAUGACUUAUGAAAACAAAAAUGCAUUGGUAUUGAUUUUUUGCUUAUGGUUUUGUCUAAUACAGAGUAGGAGUGGCGUAAGCAUGGGAUGCAAUUUUUUUAGAUGGUGCAAGUGCAUUGAAGACAUUGAGGAUGACAGAGAUGGAACUAUUGCUAGACAAAGAAACAAGAUUUGUAGCUUGGAAAAGCGUUUGAAGAUGUCAAGAAAGUGGAUAAAGAUGUUGUUAGUAGGAUUGUGUGUUGUUGUAAUAAACCUUGCUAUGUUGAUUAUUUUCUUAAAAUUCCCUUGAGUGACGUCUGCAUGUAUGUUUUGGUUGGGAUUAUGAUUAUUAGUGUGUUGAGUUGAUUAUGUCUAGUAUGUAAUAUGUAUCCUGAGAUCUGUAUCAAUGAAAAAUGAAUUUUAGCAAGUGGUUGGCAUAGAAGUUAUGUACUAUUUUCUUGUUUUGUGGUGCUGCAUAAUUUUGGGGUUGAAUAAGUUGGCAUUGUGGGAAAUAAGAAUGGUGUAACCAAAUUAAGAUGCAAAUUCAUUCUUGAAAUCAGUAUCAGAAUAAACUAACAUGGGUUAGACUUGCUUAGCUUGAACAUUAAUGUUAAAUACUGCAUCUAGUAUACAUCUUAAGCUUUUACUUUUUUAUGAGACAAUAAAGUUCAGUUAUCCUGUGUCUGAAUAAGGUGAUAUGCAUCUCAUAAUGGUCUAAUGGACAAUUCCACAAUGGUUGUAGUGAGCGAAGUAAACUUCAUAAUUGAAACUAUGUUGGUUAACUGAUUUGCAAUUCCCAGGGCCAAGGCUGCAUUUUAAACUCAAAGUUUAUUAUAUGUAAAUGAAACCUGAUUGAAGAUUUCACAAAAGUGAUGUAAGGGUAUACGUUGGCUGUUUAGAAGAUAUUUAUAGAAAAGAUAAGCAGUGAUAUUUUCAGAAAAAUUUAAACAACAUUUAAAAAUGUGCAACCGCUAUAUAAGUUUUUUCUCAAAGGGCUUGAGAUUGAAAGGUAUUAUACAAUUGAAAUUAAGAAUCAAACAGAUUAGUAUCAUGAACAAUUAAGAACUCUGAUUUGGGCAACACAACAAGAAAAUUCAGAGCAAGCAGAGGCCAAUCUCAUCAAAGACUAAAUAAAUGAAGGAAAAUUGUGAUGUUAUAAUAAUAUAAAGGUAAAGUAUGUAAAAGUAAUACAAAAGAUAUGUAAUACCUUAGAAGAUAAAGCACAAGCAGAUUUUCUUCACUAAUGAAUCCAUAAGAGCUAACAUAGUUUGGUCCUAUAAUAAUUGUUUUUCAAAAUACAUAUGUUUAGAAAUAAGUGAGUUCCAAAAGCAUUCAUGGCUUCCAAAAGCAGCCUCUGAUGGACUGUAACUUAAGCCUCGUGUUGGGUCUUGAAAAUGUUGCAGUUGUAGUUUCCUGACUUGGAGCUUCCUGAGAUGGCCCUGAUGCCCUUGUAGCUGCCUGACUUGGAGCUUCUUGAGGUGGCCCUGGUGCACUUGUAGCUGCUUGACUUGGAGCUUGCUGAGAUGGCCUUGGGUGAGAUGGUCGUUUUGCACUUGGACCUUGUUCAGAUGACUUUUCAAUGCAAGACUUUCUAUUGUGGCCAAGCUUAUGACAGAUCCCACUUUUUUUCUUUAACCCAGUUUGGCCUAUCUGAGUCUUAUUCUUCAUUACCUCCCAUGGCUCUAACCUUCUCUUCUUUUUUGGUCUUCCAAGCAUCUUCUUUGUGGGAGGUGGCACAACAUCUGGCAUUUCAGUUCUUUCCCAUACUUGUUCACCAUUAACUGGAUAGAUAACUGUGUUGUACACCUCUGCAUAUGUUUCCUUCUUGUACCAAAAUGAAAUGAAGUUCACUGGAUCUACAUCCAUCUAUCACUGUCACAUGACCAUGUUGAUGUAUCACCACCAACAUAUCUCGCAUCACAAAAUAUCCCACUAUGGUGGACCACAAGUUGAAAAUAACCUUCUUUCAUGAUAUGAACUUUAUAAAAGGUAUUCCUGUGAAAUAUAAAUAUGCAUAUGACCACAAAUAACAAACAAAUUACAAACCAAAUCUUCACUUAAAUGUUGGACCACACAUCACAAUAUUAUGUCAGAGACCCAAUGUUGGACCACACAUAAAAAAAUGUUGCACAUGGUGGACCCUACAUCAUAAACAACUCUGUAUAUGUUCUCUAAAAGUAAUAAAAAACAGAACCACUCUGAAACUAAGUAAAAAAUUACUAACCUUAUAAAGGAGCAACCACAAAACGACACCACGGUCUGGAUCGCAAUCGCUGCCCCUUCACCACCUCUGGACCGCACCACAUAAUCGCUCCUCCAAAUCGACCAUGGGAACGCAACUUACCAUCGUAACUCACGAUCGCACCACAGAAUCGAAUGAGGGGAGCACACCUCCGAAUGGAAUCGAAGCAGGGAAGCGCACCACAGAAUCCAACCAGGGGAGCAAUCCUCGUAUCAGAAACCCUAAAUCAGAAAUUCGAAAUCCCCAAUUUGAAUAACCUAAACCUUAAUUUAGUAUUCACCAAAGUAAUGUAAGCAUAAUCCACGUAACUUACAUGUGUUUGCCACAUAAGCACCACUUAACGCCAUUUGGUGAUAUUUAACAGAAAGGACCAUUUUGAAUACAUUUUAAAAAACUUAGGGACCAAAUUGAAUUUUUUAAAAACCACUGUACCAAAUUGACUAUUGACUAUAAAUAUAGGGACGAAAAAGGUAAUUAAACCUAAAAUAUUACAUUAAAUAUAUACGCUUUUUUAAGGUAAUACAUUUAGACACAUGAUUACUAUUCCAAUUUAAAAAUAAUAUAUAUACAUAUAUACAUUCAUAUAUAUAUAUAUAUAUAUAAUACUAUACUUAACUUUUAUUACAAAAAAGACUAAGGUUUAACUACUGUAUUUAGCAUUUGAUGAGUAUUUAAACCUAAACAAUCUAUGCACUUUAGAAAGAUAAAAACACACUAUUAAAUAUUAAAAAAAUUAUUAUUGAAUUUCGUGAAGGUGUUAUGAAUUAGGAAUUGGAGGUAGUUUCUUCCUACACUUCUAUGCCUUUCUUCUUGCACCCCAUACUUAAAAAAAUACUCAAAUUACCCUUUGACAUUUUUCAUUGAAUAUUUUUUCUUUAAUUCCAGAGUGUGGAAUUCAAGAUACUUCCUAGGUUAUAGAAUUUGGAAUUUAAAAUUUGUGUUUUGGAAUGUAUAAUAUUUCAGAUUGUACAAUUAUAAUGUAUUUUAAAUUAUAGAAUUUGAAAUGAAUAAUAUUAGAAUUUUUUAGAAUAUGAAGUUACAAGAAGAAAUUAUGGGGAUACAUAAAGAAAUUUCUAAAUUUUUGAAAUAUGUGGGUUAUGCACGCCAACUCUCCCCGUUCAACACUUAACCCACGUGAGCUGCGAGUUGUGCAAAACGAGCUUAAGAAAACCAACAAAUUGAAAUAAACAGUCCACAUUGCAUUUUUUUCUAGCAGGUUGCGGACUGGUGUGUGGUUGAGCCUGCUUUACCAUCUCUUCUAUUCACAAAUAAUUGAAUAUCUUAUUAUUCACAUCAUCAUGUUCAAGGUAGGUUUAUGUACCCAAUUUCAAGUUAACUAAAAGAAAGUACACGUAACAAGAGUUAACCAAAUCUUUCAUUAUCGAAUUAGUGUUACUAGUUCUAUGCUUCAAAUGUAAAAACUUUCUAGUUAACAAGAUAAGAUAAGAAAUAUGAAUUCUUUUAAGGACAAAAUAUAAAGAAGAAACAUUAGUAGAGGAUACUAUUCCAUAAUAAGAAACUUAGUUUAACUAUUGGUUGUCAUUUACAACUUCUAGUUGUAUCAAUCAAUUAUUAUGAUAUUAUUGAUUGCUGGUAAAUAUUUAGACCACAAACUCUAAGAUUCAUAUACUUUCGAUUUUCUCCAAGAUAGAGACUUGUUUCUUGCCGUGCCGUAAAUGUGUUCCCUUGUCACCCAUGGAUGGUUUUCCUAUUCUUUGGAAUGCUUAGAAUCAUCUAAAAAGACACUUUCAACAACAACAAAAUAGCCACGAAAUUACAGGAAAAAAAAUGUUUCCUGAAUAUUUCUGCAAGAUUUUCAUAUUCAAUUAAUGUGGACCAUGUAAAAUAUACCCCAUGAAUUCAAGUUUCUUUUGUCUCUUUCUCCUCCACUGUCAGAACCAUGUGUGGAUCAGAAUUUGAGAUUGAGAUUGUUUGACAAACAUCUUUUCGAUUUUUUCAUCCUUUUCUUAUCUUAGUCUGCCUUGUGUAUAUUGGAAACUUUCUUGUGUAGCCUUUAAUUAGUUAUAACACAUUCUUUUAGUUUAUCUAUUUAAUUGGUUAUAGCAAAUAUUUUAAUUGUUUAUAUAAAAAAAUGUCAUUCAGAAUCAGUUCGAAAAAUAUAAAAGUUUAUUUCUUAUCUAUACUUGUUAUAGAAUAAGAAACGACCUAUUUUUAUAUUUCAAGAAUAUUUUAUGAAAUUGAAAUAAAUAUGAUUAAUAAAGAAAAUUUAUAAUAAAAUGAUAAAAUAUCUAUUUUUAUCAUAAUUUCUACCAUGACCGUAAGUUUCUAUUUUAUUUAAAAUUAUCGUGAAAUCAACAAAGAAUAAUUCGUAUUUAAAAUUAAUAACAUAAUGAAUUGGGUAUUGCACGUACACAUUUAUUGCCAAUUGUAACUGCAUGGGUUAUCGAAAUGAUUGCAUCCAUUAUUGAGGGACUAUCAUCAUAUAUAAUACAAGCUUUUUUUGUAAUUAGUAUCACGUUAGUUUGGACUGGGAAUAAAGUUUUUUAACUUUUUUUAUAUAUUUGUUUUUUACUGUUUUAUAAAAGACAAUACCAAAUUAAGUAAGGUUUCCUUUUUUUGCUACUGGCUAUUAUUGGAAAGUUCGUCUUGGUAUGAACUGUUUUUCGAGAGUUCUGAUGUAACAUUCUGUGUAUUUUGGAGAGCUACUUAAAAUAGUUUUUUUUUAUAGAUUGGAAUAUGCCUUAAACAUUCCUAUUUGUUUAAUUUAUUUCUGAUAAAAAAAUGGUAAAAAAAAACACUAAUCCAAACCUAGAAUUAACGCAAGCACGAAAUGUGAAGUCUUAUUCCUUUAUCUCCUUCACAAAGCUCUUAAAGUUCUCAUAAGAUGUACCUCCUUUUGCUAUGUUGUUCAUCACUUUCUCCUUCAACACCACACACCUAAAUUUUAUGCUCUCAUCAUUAAAUAAUUGUUCUACCUUGGUUUUCAACUCCCUCCGUGACACAACUCCAUUUUGAUCUUUGUCAAUCCCCACCCCAACCUUUAACUCAUCACAAAUAUGUGUUUUGUUGUAAACUUGGUCUCCAAAGUAUGGCCAACACAAUAAAGGUACCCCAUUGGACAAACCUUCCAUGGUAGAAUUCCAACCACAAUGAGUCACAAAACAUGCUAUGGCAGGGUGGCUUAAAACCUUUUGUUGAGGAGCCCAAUUAACUAUCUUACCCUUAUGUCCUUGGAAUUCAUGAGGGUAUGCCAUUUUAUUGUCUUCUCUUAUAACCCAAAGAAAAGGUCUGUUGGUGAGGUGUAGUCCAAGGGCAAGUUCAUUGAAUUGGUUUUGGUCAAAAAGAGUGAAACUACCAAAGGCAACAUACAACACAGAACCAUCAGCUUGUUCAUCUAGCCAACUCAUGCAGGAGUGGUCUUCUUUCCAGAAUUGUCCCAUUGAUUUUGUAGCUGCACUUUUGUUAUGAUCAUUAUCAUUGCUUCUCAACAAUGGCCCAAUUGGGAUGAUGUUCGGAAGAAAUAAUAAUGUCUCAGGUUCAAGUUCAUGUGUGGUGUUGCAUAGCCACCACUGUGUCAAAUGUAAACUUCGUGCGCAAUACAGCAAAUACUUAAGCACUUUCUUACCAGUUGUUAGGUCACCGAUAUUCAACCAAAAAAAGUCUUUUGGAUCCAUCUCAGGCAUACUUGGCGAAAUCUGAAUUCUCUUUUCUGUAGUUAAUGUUAAACCUUCAGCGAAAAACCAACAAAAAAACAUUAGCUUAUACAAUAGACGUAUAAAUUAAGUUAUAAAUUAUGUUCAAACAUAAGAAUACGAUAAUAUUCUUACCUAAAUCAGAGUCUAUAAUUCCCUCAUCAAUAAGCACAGGGAUGUUGUACAGCAAGGUGAAAAAAGUUGCUGAUGCAGGACACAACACAGCUCCUUUGAUUCCCAGUUUAGUCCCAACAUCCAAAGCCCAAGCCAUGCACAAAUCAGCAACAAUGAAGUUGAUUCUGUUCUCACCUUUCAAAUGAAUAUCCUCUAUGAGCUUCUCAAGUGCUUCUGGCAUGGUGUUUGGAAUGGCAUCACACAUCUUGGCCAGAUCGUUUCUGUCAUCAUCAGGUCCUAAACCAUCAGAGAUUGAAACCAACUUCAGCACUGAUUCUUCAUCAUCAAGGGUAGAACUAUCUUGUUGCUCCACCAUGGAACUCACCACUCUCCUGUGGAUAAAGUCUGUGUUCACAAAAAUGACUUUGCAUCCAUUCUGAACCAACUUCUGCGAGAAGGUCAUCAUGGGAUUCACAUGCCCUUGUGCUGGAUAUGGUAAAGCUAGCACAGUUGGAGUUCUCAUGUUAACACUCUUUUUAUUUGGUUUCUAUUGAUUCUGAUUUUCUGAGACCAAUUAGCAUGCAUCUAUUCAUCUAUAUAUAGGCACAGCCCCUCACUAUAUCAUAAUCGUGUAUAUACGUACCAAUUACAAUCUAGGUCACGAUCAGUCAAAAUCUUCGGCUAUCAUAAAUUUCAUGUAAGAAGAAAUGUAGAAAGUUUGUGUGUUCACAACAAUAAUUUUGUCAUUCUAUACCUCUUUACAUUUCCUUGUACUUCUCUGAUUCGACUUUAGUGUUUUUAUCAUUAAACUUUUGUUUUUUAGUUUAUUAAUUGAUUUAGCAUUAUGGUGUUAUUUAAUUACGAGAAUCAUGUAAUUAGUGUAAGAAAUUAGACGUGAAGGGUAGGGAAAAAACGGAUGGUGGGUCUUUGAUCUGGGAUGUGGUGGAAGGGGGUCACUAUGAGAUUAUGUGUGCAGAGAGUAGGAUGAGGCAGUGCAGAAUUGUGUAGGUGCUGGUCUAGAUUUGCUCUGUCAUGCAUUGCAUAUUUGUUGCUUUAGUUUUAUCAAUCUAUGUCUUAGCCAAAGGCUAGGAGCUGUUUGGAUAGGAAUGUCUUCUUAACAGCAAAACAGCAAAACUAAUUUGUCCUGCAUAAUUUUGCAUACUAGAUAGGAACUUUGGGAAUGGUUUUGCUAGAUCUAAUUUUUAUAUAAGGGUUCAAACAUUCCUAAAAUAUCCCUUCUAAUUUUAUUUACUUUUUGCUUAUAAAAAAAUUGUAAAAAAUAUUUCUUUUAAUUUAGAUGAAUUUGAAAGGAAAGGUUAAUAAAUGAAAAUUUUCAAAUAAUAAAAAGAUUGGUAGAAGGAUAGUUGAGAAGUGCAACAGAUUGCCUCUAACUUUGAAAACAAUUGGAUGUCUUUUACGCACAAAGUCAUCCAUUUCAGAUUGAAAAAACAUAUUGGAAAGUGACAUAUGGGAGCUACUAAAAGAGCACAAUGAAAUAAUCUCUUUGCUAUUUCUAAGCUAUUGCCACCUUCCUUCUCAGGGUAUUUGAUCAUGAUGGGGUUAUUUUUUUUUGUUUUUACCAAAAUGGAGUCCGUUUAAAAAAAAUUACAAAUUUAGGCAAGUCGUGCCAAUUUGGCACGACUUCAUAUGGACAAAUCGUUCCAAUUUGACACGACUCUGCCAUGUCAUACUAAAAUCGUGCCAACUUGGCACGACUUCUGCCCUGUCAUACCGAAGUCGUGCCAACUUGACACAAAUCUGCCACAUCUUAAUUUUUAAUUUUUUUUAAAAAUUUUAUUGUUUAUAUAUUGGAUAGUAAGUUAUGUAAUGCUAAAAAUUAAUUUGAUACAUAAUUUUUUAAGAGGGUUAGUUUCAAGGAACAAAAAAUUGGAUAUAUAUAAUUAUUUUUAAAUUAUUUAAUUAUUUCAAAAUAAUUACAAAUUAUUUAUAUUAUUUGUUUUAUUUAAAAUUUAUAUAAUUAUUUCAAAAUAAUUACCGUACUUAUACCUUUUUAUAUUUUAAUAUAAAUGACAUUAAAAAAAAUAAACAGGUCAAAAAAUGUAUUAUUUGAAUUGUGAUAAAAAAAAUUAUUACUUUAGAAAAAAAUAAAUAAUUGUAAUACACGAUUAUCCAAUUUUUUGUUCCUUAAAACUAACACUCUUAGAAAAUUAUGUAUCAAAUUAAUUUUUUACAUUACAUAACUUACAACCCAAUAUAUAAACAAUAAUAUUUAAAAUAAAAAUAAAAAUUAUGACAUAACAUAAGUCGUGGCAAGUUGGCAUGACUUCAGUAUGACAGAGGCACGACUUGCCUAAAUUUGUAAUUUUUUUUAAACGGACACCAUUUUGGUAAAAACAAAAAAAAAAUAACCCCAUCAUGGUCAAAAACCCUCAUUCUCAUCUUAAAAGGUGCUUUGCUUAUUGUGUCUUAUUUUCCAAAGAUUAUGAGUUUGUGAAGGAGAAGUUAAUAAUUUUCUUGUGAGUCCACAACAUAUUAGACGUCAAGAAGAAGUUGGUGAACAUUACUUGAAUGAUCUAUUGUCAAGGUCUUUCUUUCAACAAUUAGGGGUCAAAAAGUGUUUUGAACAAUCAUGUCUUAGGAGGUGUUUCGUCAUGCAUGACCUUUUCAAUCAUUUGACAAAUUCAAUAAUUUGACAAAAUAUGUCUGUGUGGAUUUUUGUUCCAGAUUGAAAUUUGAUAAAGGUUUUAAUGGUUUUGGGAGUUUAAGUGAAACUAAAAGCUUCGUUAAUUACGUGUUUAAUAUGUGAAGCUUCUGUCUUGUUCUAAGACAUCUUUGUAGUACUUUUUUCUUCCUGCCCUUACAAGCCAGUGGAUGUAUGUAUCAUAAACUAAUAACUAAUUCCAACUAACUAUAUAAAGAUAACCUUUGCAACACUUAUACCAAAUCAAGUCCCUAUAAAUUUAACCAAAUUCUCUGUUUUUUUAAUUUGGUUCUCUUGAAUGUUUAUUCAGAAAUGUUGUCCCAAUACUGGAUUAUGCUAAAUCAUGGAGAAAUUGAAUUAUUCAUAAUAAACCAUGUCAUUAUGUAACAUGCUUGUCUCAAGUCUUAAUGUGAAAUGCUUUUAAGCUGAAAUCUAAUAUGGUAUAAGAUUCUAUAGCUCAUUUGUGUUUAAUUACAAUAAACUGAGACAAUUUGGGCAUUGAAAUUGUCUUAAAACAGGGUCCAAUGUGCAAGGCCAUACAUCCAUCCAUUUUAUUUUCCUUAAUGUUCAGAACUUUAGACUACUAAAUAUUUUAUUUUUCCUUUUUCUCAUACUUUUGACCCUUCAUGUAUCAUAAUCCAGCAUUCUAUACUUAUAUAAACCAAGAAAAAUGAACUUUUCUAUUUGGACUGAGGAGUGGAUUUGUGAGGAUUAGAGAGUAUGUGUGAGAGGAUAUGUGAGGUUGUUUGGAUUGAGGGAUGAUAGAGUGGAUUUGUGAGGAUGAUUUAUUGUAAGUUUACAAAUUUACCCUUGUUAUUAAAAAAUAUUUAAAUAAUGAAUUAUGAUUUUUUUUAGGUUUGAAUUAAUUAAAUAUUUUUAACAUAUAAUAUCUAUAAUUGUUUAUAUUUUUUAAUAAAAGAUUAAAUAUUUUUUUGUGUUAAAUUGAAAUAAAUUUAUUAAAUACAUUAAAAUUUAUGAAAAUAAUAUUUAUUAUUAUAUUCAUUUGUUACUUUAUAUAACUAUAUAUGGUUGAUAUUAUAAAUUUUUUUGUAUUUUUUAUUUUAUUAUUUAUAAUUAUAUGUUGUUAUUAAUAGUAUAAUUAAAUAUUUUUGAAAUUAUAAAUAAUAAAUAAAUUUAUAUAAUAUUUAAUUUUGUAUAUUGUAAAUAAAAUGGAUGGACAAGAAUAUUUUGGUAAAAUACAAUAAUCCUACAUUAAUCGCCACAAAUCUCUUCAUCAGCAGGGAGAAGGUUUGUCUUCUUUGGGGGACUAACGAAGUAGAUUGGGUCGAAAACAAAGCUACAAACAACGCAGGGGGGUUCUUACGAUGUGGAGUAAUAAGUCGUUUCAGAUGUUUAGUUUUGUAAACGGAAGGAACUAUACUGUGAUUGAAGGUUUUUGGAAGGUUAUUAAUGAGGUUUUUGUAACUAUAGUGAAUGUAUAUUGUUGUGGCUCUUUACGGGAAAAGAAAGAGAUGUGGAAAAAGAUCAAUGGAGUCAGGUUGAAUCAACUAUCAAAGGCGUGGUGUAUUAUUGGAGAUUUUAAUUCUAUUAGACGUAAAAGAAGAGAGGAAGAGUUUGAUUUCGACGUCAGAUUAUUCUAGAGAAAUAAAAGGGUUUAAUGAUUUUAUCAAAAAAUCAGAAUUGGUUGAUAUCCCAUUGGUUGGAAGGAAGUUUACUUCGUAUAAACCCAAUGGUUUGGUGAAGAGCAGAAUCGACAGGGUUCUAGUUUCAAAGGAGUGGCUGGAAUCUUGGCCUCACUGCCAACAAUUCGUUUUAAACAAAUCAAUCUCUGACCAUUGUGCGGUUAUACUUAAAGAGGUGUCAGUGGACUGGGGCCCGAAACCUUUUAGGUGUUUGGAUGUUUGGCAAAAAGAUAGCAGAUUUAAAGAGUUUGUGAGUUCGAGUUGGUCUUCUUAUAGGUUAUAGGAGGUGGGAUUUUUAUUUUCAAAGAAAAAUUGAAAAAACUAAAAGCAUAUUUAAAAGUAUGGAACAAAGAAGUCUUUGGAGGUGUAAAUCUUGCCAGUAAGGAAGUGCAAAAGAAGAUCGAUGAAUUAGAUGUACGAGACAAUGAUGGUGGUUUAGUUGAGUCAGAAAGGGAAGAAAGAAAGUUCCUCUUUGCAAAACUUAAUAAAUUCAAAUUUAAGCAAGAGGCUAUUAUGUUUCAGAAAGCAAGACAAAAGUAGUUAAAACAGGGGGAUCUUAAUACAAAGUUUUUUCACUCUGUAAACUGGAGAAGGGCAAGGAAUCAGUUGCAUGGGGUUUUCGUUAACGGUAAAUGGUGUGAAGAUAAGGAGGUGAUCAAGGACAAGGUUCGUGUUUCCUUUGAAGAUAGGUUUGCCAUGAACGAUGCUUGUCAAGUUAGAUUGGACAAUGUCAGGUUCAGUUCCAUUUCGGAGUCCGAUAAUGAGUUGUUGAUUGGAGAUUUUCUGAAGAUGAGGUUAGGGCUGUAGUUUGGAGUUGUGACAGUUCAAAGAGCCCUGGCUCUGAUGGUUUCAAUGAAAUUUUGCUGGGAUAUCAUUAAAAAGGAUGUGGUGUCGGCAGUGAAGAAUUUUGCGGUUAAUGGUCAUUGACCCAGAGAUUCAAACGCUUUGUUUCUUUGUUUAAUACCAAAAGUAGAAAAUCCUCAGCAGCUCGGUGAGUUUAGACCUAUUUCAUUAGUUGGGUGCUUGUAUAAAAUCAUAUCUAAAGUGCUAUCUCUACGAUUGAAAAAGGUAACUAGUAAAGUUAUUGACGUUAGAUAGUCGACUUUCCUUGAAGGAAGGGGUUUUUCUGGACAGUGUGUUAGUCGCCAAUGAGGUUUUGGAAGAAUAUAAAAGAAAGAGGAAGAGUUGUGUUUUCUUCAAAGUUGACAAUGAGAAGGCGUAUGACUCGGUCAGUUGGGAGUUUAUUUAUUAUAUGCUAAGGAGGUUGGGUUUCUGUGAUCUUUGGAUCUAUUGGAUAAAGGGUUGUUUAGAAUCAGCCUCGGUUUCAGUUCUAGUUAACGGUAGUCCACCUAGGGAGUUCUUUCCUAGGAAGGGACUUCGUUAAGGUCAUCCGCUAGCACCGUUUCUCUUCCUUAUUGUGGCAAAAGGGUUGGCUGGGGUAUCAAGGGUGGCUGAAGAAAAGAUUUGAUUGACAGUUUGGAGGUUGGCAAGGAUAAAGUGAAGGUAAAUAUGUUACAAUAUGCAAAUGAUAUUUUGUUCUUCUGUGAAGCUAACACCAAAAGCGUUUUCAAUAUUAAGGCGAUUUUGCAAUGCUUCGAGCUUUCUUCUGGGCUUAGGGUGAAUUUUUUGAAAAGUAGAAUUGGUGGGACGGGGCUGGAUCAGCUUUCGCUUCAGCGUUUGGCAGCUAUUCUCAACUGCGACGUGAUGGUUUCUCCUUUUGUUUACUUGGGAUUGCCAGUUGGAGGGAAUCACAAGCGUGGUGCCUUUUGGAAUGGGGUGAUAGAGAAAGUUCAGGCUAGGUUGAGCAGGUGGAAAGGGAGGUGCCUUUCGAUGGCUGGGAGGAUCUGUUUGUCAAGUCAGUUCUUUCCUCUAUCCCGUUAUUUUUUAUGUCCUUAUUCAAAUUGCCUUUAGGGGUGGCAAAUAAAUUAGUUAGGAUUCAAAGGAAUUUUCUCUGGGGGUGGGGAUCUGAAGGAAGGAAGAUCGUUUGGGCUUCUUGGCAAAAGGUAUGUAAGCCUCGCGAUUUUUGGGGGGGCUUGGUAUUAUUGAUUUAAAAAAUUUUAACUUGGCUUUGUUAGGAAAAUGGAUUUGGAGGUUGGGUACGGAUAAGGGUGGUCAUUGGAAGGAGAUUCUGGUUUCAAAAUAUGGUGGUUGGAAGUGCUUGAGAAAGGAAGGAAAAAGUCGUAGAAGCUCUCUUUGGUGGAAAGAUUUGAAAGAGGUGUGAGCCUCAGAGGGUUGGGGAAGAAGUUUUGAAGAUGGGUUCAACUGGAAAGUUGGUGAUGGAAAGGAUAUUUCCUUCUGGGAGGAUAAUUGGUUGGGUUGCGAUGCGUUGAAGAGAGCCUUUCCGAGACUGUUCUCUUUGUGUUUGGCCAAAGAGACAAAGGUGGCAGAGCUUGGAUCUUGGUCUAAUUGUGUUUGAGUUUGACAUUUAGUCCGGCGAAGACCUUUUUUCGAAUGGGAGAAGCCUUUGGUGGAUCAAUUUUGGCAGGUAUUGCAAGGUGUUAGGUUGAUUUUGGGAGAGGCGGAUAGUUGUGUUUGGAAGGUCGGGGAUCUUCAGAAGUUUUCAGUUAACUCUGCUUAUAUGCAUGUUAGGAGGGAUAGUGAGGUGGAAGGUUCUCCGGUAUUCAAUAAGUUGUGGAGAUGUAAAGCCGUACCUUUUGCUUUAUUUACUGUUUGGAGGGUUCUGGAGAAUAAGACUGCUACUAGGGUCAAUCUGGAAAGGCGAGGGGUGAUGGUUGAAAAUGCUUUGUGUUGUCUGUGUGGGAAGGAGGAAGAGUCUUCCGCCAUUUGUUUUUUAUUGCAAUUUUACUUGGCGUGUUUGGUGUUUUUGCUAUAAGUGGCUUGGAGUUUCGUUUGUGUCUCACAUUGAUCCUAAGUCCAACUUUGCUCAUUUCUGGAUGAGUCAGUCUUCAAACUCGGUUAACAUUGUGUGGAGUACAAUUUGGGUGGGGGUUGUGAGUGAAAUCUGGAAUCACAGGAACCUUAUCAUUUUCAAAAGGGGUGUGACUGAUGUGUCAGAAAUGCUUGCAAUGGUGCAAGUAAAGGUUUGGUCUUGGAUUUCCACAAAAUCUCGUUCUGCUUCGUUUUCCUAUUCUGAUUGGUGUUUAGAACCUUCGGCAUGCAUGAUGAUUGUUCCUUGAAGUUUUUACGUGUUAGUUUGGUUAGUGCUUUCAUCAGUUAGGUAGGCGGUUCUAGUUAAAAGUUGGUUCUCAUUUAUUUAUUGUUUAUUGCUGAUAAAAAUAAAAUAAAAUAAAAAGAACCAUCCACCCUCUCUCCAUCCACUCUCCCACCCUCAAAAUCUUUGAAACAAACAAAAAAAAAAUAUUCCCUCCCUCCUGAAAACAAACAUGUGGACCACCAUGAAUUAAGUUUCUUUUGACUCUUUCUCCUCCACUGUCAGAAUCAUGUGGUGGAUCAGAAGUUGAGAUUGAAAUUGUUUAACAAUCAUCUUUUCGAAUUUUUAAUCCUUUUCUUAUCUUAGUCUGCCUUGUGUAUUUGUAUGUGUAUUAUUUGUGUGGUUAUUGGAAACUUUCUUGUGUCUUUUUAUAGUUAUAACACAUUCUUUUAGUUUAUCUAUUUAAUUGUUUAUAUAAAAAAAUGUCAGUUUAUUAUCAUGUAACUUGAACUAUAUUCAGGAUCAGUUCGAAAAAUAUACAAGUUUAUUUCUUACCUAUUAUAGAAUAAGAAAUGACCCAUUUUUACAUUUCAAAAAUAUUUUAUGAAAUUGAAAUAAAUAUGAUUAAUAAAGAAAAUUUAUAAUAAAAUGAUAAAAAUAUCUAUUUUUAUCAUAAUUUCUACCAUGACCGUCUAUUUUAUUUAAUAAUAUGGUGAAAUCAACAAAGAAUAACAUAAUGAAUUGGGUAUUGCACAUACACAUUCAUUGCCAAUUGUAACUGCAUGGGUUAUCGAAAUGAUUGCAUCCAUUAUUGAGGGACUAUCAUCAUAUAUAAUACAAGUUUUUUUUGUAAUUAAUAUCAAGUUAGUUUGGACUGGGAAUAAAGUUGUUUAACUUUUUUUGAUUUAUUUGUUUUUGACGGUUUUAAAAAAGACAAUACCAAAUUAUGUAAGGUUUACUUUUUUGCUAUGGCUAUUAUGAACUGUUUUUUUGAGAGUUCUGAUGUAACAUUCUUUUACUGAUGUAAUUUUAGAGGACUAUUUAAAAUAGUUUUUUUUUAUAGAUUGGAAUAUGCCUUAAACAUUCCUAUUUGUUUAAUUUAUUUCUGAUAAAAAAACGGUAAAAUAAAACACUAAUCCAAAACUAUAAUUAACCUAAGCACAAAUCUGAACUCUUAUUCCUUUAUCUCCUUCACAAAGCUCUUAAAGUUCUCAUAAGAUGUUCCUCCUUUUGCUAUGUUCUUCAUCACUUUCUCCUUCAACACCACACACCUACAUUUUAUGUUCUCAUCAUUAAAUAAUUGUUCCACUUUGGUUUUCAACUCUCCACGUGAAACAAUCCCAUUUUGAUCCUUGUCAAUCCCCAACCCAACCUUUAACUCAUCACAAAUAUGUGCUUUGUUGUAAAGUUGCUCUCCAAAGUAUGGCCAACACAAGAAAGGUACUCCAUUGGACAAACUUUCCAUGGUAGAAUUCCAACCACAAUGAGUGAGAAAACAUGCUAUGGCAGGGUGACUUAAAACCUUUUGUUGAGGAGCCCAAUUCACUAUCUUACCCUUAUGCCCUUGGAAUUCAUGAGGGUAUGCCAUUUUAUUGUCUUCUCUUAUAACCCAAAGAAAAGGUCUAUUGGUGAGGUCUAGUCCAAGGGCAAGUUCAUUGAAUUGGUUUUGGUCAAAAAGAGUGAAACUACCAAAGGCAGCAUACAACACAGAACCAUCAGCUUGUUCAUCUAGCCAACUCAUGCAAGAGUGGUCUUCUUUCCAGAAUUGUCCCAUUGGUUUUGUAAUUGCACUUUUGUUGCCAUCAUUACCAUUGCUUCUCAACACUGGCCCAAUUGGGAUGAUCUUGGGAAGAAAUAAUAAUGUCCCAGGUUCAAGUUCAUGUGAGGUGUUGCAAAGCCACCACUGUGUCAAAUGUAAACUUCGUGUGCAAUGCAGCAGAUACUGAAGCAUUUUCUUACCAGUUAGGCCACCCAUAUUCAACCAAAAAAAGUCUUCUGUAUCCAUCUCAGGCAUACUUGGCGAAAUCUGAAUUCUCUUUUUCGUGGUUAAUGUUAAAUCUUCAGUGAAAAACCAACAAAAGAAUAUAUUAGUUUAUACAACGUAUAAAUUAAAUUAUAAAUUAUGUUCAAACUUAACUAUACAUAAUAUUCUCACCUAAAUCAGAGACUAUAAUUCCCUCAUCAAUAAGCACAGGGAUGUUGUACAGCAAGGUGAAAAAAGUUGCUGAUGCAGGACACAACACAGCUCCUUUGAUUCCCAAUUUACUCCCAACAUCCAAAGCCCAAGCCAUGCACAAAUCAACAACAAUGAAGUUGAUUCUGUUCUCACCUUUCAAAUGAAUAUCCUCUAUGAGCUUCUCAAGUGCUUCUGGCAUGGUGUUUGGAAUGGCAUCACACAUCUUGGCCAGAUCGUUUCUGUCAUCAUCAGGUCCUAAACCAUCAGGGAUUGAAACCAACUUCAGCACUGAUUCUUGUUCAUCAGGGCUAGAACUAUCUUGUUGCUCCACCAUGGAACUCACCACUCUCCUGUGGUUAAAGUCUGUGUUCACAAAAAUGACUUUGCAUCCAUUCUCAAGCAGCUUCUGUGAGAAGGUCAUCAUGGGAUUCACAUGCCCUUGUGCUGGAUAUGGUAAAGCUAUCACAGUUGGAGUUCUCAUGUUAACACUGUUUUUAUUUGGUUUCUAUUGAUUCUGAUUUCUGAGGCCAAUUAUGCAUUCAUCUGUUCAUGUAUAUAUAGGCACAGCCCCUCACAUUAAAAACGUUAAUCAAUGCCUUAACUAUAUCAUAAUCACAGUAAGAAAUAUCUUUGGAUGAAUUUGAAAGGAAAGGUAAUAAAUGAAAAUUUUCAAAUAAUAAAAUACAUUUUCUAAAGUUCAGGUAUACAUAUAAAUGUUAAAAAUGGAAAUAUACCAUUUUCUUUCAUUAUAAAAAAUAUUGCAUAUAGUCACUAGUGUGGGCCAAAGACAGGACAUAAAGAGGUAAACACUGAUCCUAGAUGCUUGUUAGUGUCGGCAACUGAGCUCAAAAGCAAAUGCAGAUUGAAUCAGCUAAAUCGAUGCAAGCUUGAUCACAACCCAUAUUUGUAGUACUUUUUUGUUCUAAGGCAUCUUUGUAGUACUUUUUUCUUCCUGCCCUUACAAGCCUGUGGAUGAAUGUAUCAUAAACUAAUAACUAUAUAAAGAUAACCUUUGCAACACUUAUACCAAAUCAAGUCCCUAUAAAUUUAACCAAAUUCUCUGUUUUUUGAAUUUGGUUCUCUUGAAUGUUUAUUCAGAAAUGUUGUCCCAAUACUGGAUUAUGCUAAAUCAUGGAGAAAUUGAAUUAUUCAUAACAAACCAUGUUAUUAUGAAACAUGCUUGUCUCAAGUCUUAAUGUGAAAUUCUUUUAAGCUGAAAUCUAAUAUGGUAUAAGAUUCUAUAGCUCAUUUGUGUUGAAUUACAAUAAACUGAGACAAUUUGGGCAUUGAAAUUUUCUUAAAACAGGGUCCAAUGUGCAAGGCCAUACAUCCAUCCAUUUUAUUUUCCUUAAUGUUCAGAACUUUAGACUGCUAAAUAUUCUAUUUUUCCUUUUUCUCAUACUUCUUGACCCUUCAUGUAUCAUAAUCCAGCAUUCUAUACUUAUAUAAACCAAGAAAAAUGGACUUUUCCCUGAGCACUCAUUAAGCCAUUAACCCUCUUGCAGAAACAAAACUGGAUGAAAUUAAAGAUAAAAGAUUGCAAGCCAUUUGUUAAAACGUCAUCAAGUAUCCAUUCUCAAACAAUUCUGAUUCUUCCAAUAAAAACUCAUUUCUCUCCUGUUUUAUUUCACAUCCUUCUAAUCACUCUUCCCAUUCAAAAAUAACAGUUAAUUAUAUUUUACUAUUUUAUUACCUCUCCUCUACAAUCUCGAGAUCCUGCUGCAGCAGAAAAGCUCUUGCUCUGCACUAAAAGUUUAAAGACUCUGAACAGCAACAACAAAGUUACACAAGUGUAAAGUUUCUUGUUGACCAAGUAUUGUCUUGUAUAGAUGGAGAUAAAAAGUGAUUAUUUGGAGCCAACACCUCUCUACAAAUCUUGUAUAUUCAAAGAGUGGAUUAAGAGUCUUUUACCGAUGAAGAUUUACUUCUACUCCCUCUCACUUUGCUAAAUGCAAGUGAUUCAAAAUAUAAGUUAAGUAAGAGUUAGAUAAAUUCAACAGUUAGAUUUAUUCAUUAAAUACGACUGCCAUAUCAGAAAAUUCAACCUUUUCUAGAUGCAGAUUUUCUACACUAUGGAUUUAUACACUCACAAGUCCAACUCAUCAAAACCCUUGAAUAAAAGUCAAACUGCUAUAGUUUGAACCAUCCACUACUAGUCCAACUAUCGCUUUUUCUUAUUGGUGGCUAGAUCAGGGAAUUCAUCAAGUUUGAACCAUUCACUUCUAAUUAAUCCAACUAUCACUCUUUCUUAUUCGUGGCUGCAUCAGUGAGAAUAUUCUAGUUUUCAACAAGACUCAAACAAAAGAUGUUCCACCAUCUUAAAGUCAAGUCAUCCUCUGUAGAACAUCGUAUACUCAUCUCAUCAAUAAUUGUUACGAACUGAAACUGAUUUCUAUUAACCCUAUCCCUCACCAAUUUCUACCAUGGCAGCAGAACUUGUUGGUGGUGCUCUUCUUUCGGCUUUCCUUCAGUUUGCAUUCGAUAGGCUGGCCUCUCCUCAGGUUAUAGACUUCUUUCGGAGAAGAAAACUUGAUGAGAAACUGCUCGGCAAUUUGAACAUCAUGCUACACUCCAUCAAUGCUCUCGCUGAUGAUGCUGAACUAAAGCAGUUCACAGAUCCACAUGUCAAAGCAUGGCUUUUUGCGGUCAAAGAGGCUGUCUUUGAUGCAGAGGAUCUUUUGGACGAAAUAGAUUAUGAACUCACCAGAUGUCAAGUGGAAGCUGAACUUGAACCUCAAACCAUCGCUUACAAGGUAUCAAACUUCAUCAACUCUACUUUCAGUUCAUUUAACAAGAGAAUUGACUUAGGGUUGAAAGAAGUCUUAGAAAAAUUAGAAUAUCUUGCAAGGCAAAAGGGUGCUCUUGGUUUGAAAGAGUGUACUCAUUCUGGUGCUGGAUCAGGUAGUAAAGUGCCAUCAUCUUCUUUGGUGGUUGAAAGUGUUAUUUAUGGCAGAGAUGCUGACAAAGAUUUAAUCAUUAAUUGGCUCACAUCGGAAACCAAUAAUCAAAACCAGCCAUCAAUUCUUUCUAUUGUGGGUAUGGGUGGGUUGGGUAAAACCACACUCGCUCAACAUGUAUACAAUGACCCAAAGAUUAACAAUGCUAAAUUUGAUACCAAAGCUUGGGUCUGUGUUUCAGAUCAUUUUCAUGUUUUGACCGUGACAAAAACUAUUCUUGAGGCAAUCACUGAUAGAAAAGAUGACAGUGGAAACCUAGAAAUGGUUCACAAAAAACUGAAACAAAAUUUGUUAGGAAAGAAAUUUCUUCUUGUAUUGGAUGAUGUUUGGAACCAAAGACGAGACGAAUGGGAAGCUGUGCAAACUCCUCUUACCUACGGCGCUACUGGAAGUAGAAUUCUUGUGACAACACGUGAUGAGAAAGUUGCUUCUAACAUGCAAUCUAAAGUGCAUCGCCUAAAACAAUUACGAGAGGAUGAAUGCUGGAACGUUUUUGCAAAACACGCAUCAAUAGAUGAUAAUCUUGAAUUGAACAAUGAGCUAAAGGAGAUUGGUAGAAGGAUAGUUGAGAAGUGCAAAGGAUUACCUUUAGCUUUGAAAACAAUUGGAUGUCUUUUACGCACAAAGUCAUCCAUUUCAGAUUGGAAAAGCAUAUUGGAAAGCGACAUAUGGGACUUACCAAAGGAAGAGAGUGAAAUUAUUCCUGCGCUAUUUCUGAGCUAUCACUACCUUCCUUCUCAUCUUAAACGGUGCUUUGCUUAUUGUGCCUUAUUCCCUAAAGAUUAUGAGUUUGUGAAGGAGAAGUUAAUUUUGUUGUGGAUGGCCCAAAACUUUCUAGGAUGCCCUCAACAGGUUAGACAUCCUGAAGAAGUUGGUGAACAAUAUUUCAAUGAUCUUUUGUCAAGGUCUUUCUUUCAACAAUCAAUCACCAAAAGGGGUUUUGUCAUGCAUGACCUUCUGAAUGAUCUAGCAAAAUAUAUUUGUGGGGACAUCUGUUUCAGGUUGAGAUUUGAUAAAGGAAAAUGUAUACCAAAAACAACCCGUCAUUUUUCAUUUGCAUUAGAUGAUGUCAAAUGUUUUGAUGGUUUCGGGAGUUUAACUGAUGCUAAAAGACUGCGUUCAUUUAUUUCAAUUACAGAAAUUGGGAGAACAUGCAUUGGCUAUUAUCCUUGGGAGUUCAAGAUUUCAAUACAUGAUGUGUUCUCCAAGUUUAAUUUUUUACGUGUUAUAUCUCUCUAUUCUUGUUUGGACCUUGUAGAGGUCCCAAAUUCUAUAGGUAAUCUUAAACAUCUCCAAUCGUUAGACCUUUCGAAAACUGGGAUACAAAAGCUACCCGACUCAACAUGUUUGCUCUAUAACUUGCUAAUACUAAAGUUGAACUUUUGUGGAUAUCUGAAGGAGCUGCCAUCAAAUUUGCAUAAACUCACCAAAUUACGUUGCCUGGAGUUUAAAAAUACAAAAGUGACAAAGUUGCCAAUGGAUUUGGGAGAAUUAAAGAAUCUUCGAGUACUGAGUACCUUUUUUGUCCAUAAAAAUAGUGAAUUCAGUAAUAAACAGCUAGGAGGACUCAAUCUUUAUGGAGACCUAUCAAUUAAGGAGCUGCAAAAUAUUAUGAAUUCAUCGGGAGCAUUAGCAAUGGACUUGAAAAACAAAACACACCUUAUGAGGUUAAAGUUAAAAUGGAAUAAAAAUCACACCCCUGAUGAUCCAAGGAAAGAAAAGGAACUACUUGAGAUUCUGCAGCCCUCCAAACACUUGGAGCGUUUGUCAAUCAGAAACUACAAAGGUAUAGAAUUCCCAAGUUGGAUAUUUGAUAAUUCGUUAUCAAAUUUGGUGUUCUUACGGUUGGAGGACUGUAAAUAUUGUCUAUGUUUGCCUCCCCUUGGGCUUUUGUCAUCUCUGAAGAUCCUCAAAAUUAGACGGCUUGAUGGAAUAGUGAGCAUUGGUGCUGAAUUUUAUGGGACCAACUCUUCAUUUACGUCCUUGGAAAGGUUGGAAUUCUACAACAUGAAGGAAUGGGAAGAAUGGGAAUGUAAAACUACUUCUUUUCCACGUCUUCAACAUCUUUCUGUGGAUCAAUGUCCCAAGCUGAAAGGUUUGUCAGAGCAACUUAUUCAUUUAAAGAAAUUAUUUAUUUCUCACUGUGAUAAGCUCAUCAUUAGCGGCAUGGACACAUCAUCGCUUGAACUCUUGGAAAUUGUUUCAUGCCCACUUGUGAAUGUUCCCAUGAUCCAUUACAAUUUCCUUGAACAAUUGACGAUUGAUGCUGCCUGCAACUCUCUUACAAUUUUUCUGCUAGAUUUCUUUCCAAAGAUCCGUUUAAUUCACCUGAGAAGGUGCCAAAAUCUGAGAAGAAUUUCACAGGAGCACACUCAUAAUCAUCUCAAGGAAUUAACAAUUGAUGAUUGCCCUCAAUUUGAAUCAUUUCCUAGUGAAGGAUUAUCUGCACCGUUGCUACAAAAUAAUUGUAAGUCGAGGAGCUGAGAAUUUGAAGCUGUUGCCAAAACGCAUUCAAAUACUGGUGGGAUCCCAGAGGAUGGUCCAGCCAAGCUUACAAGAAGAUGGUCUGCCCAAAUCUGUCUCUUCUCUUACAACUUGGGAAUGUUCAUUGCUCAAACAGAGUUGUCAGAAUCCAGAAGGCGAAGACUGGGGAAAGAUUAAUCACUUUCAGAAACUGAGUGUUAGGUAAUAAGAUGAAGCUAAAGUUCAGAAAAAGAUGUGGAGCAAAUCCCAUUUUUCUGCCUCUUCUACAGGUGCUAAUUAAUUUUCCACAAUAUCCCUCUCCCUUUUCAAUUACAUUUUUCUUAAGUUGCAAAUAUUUCACUCUGUAAUCAGCAUUUACUAAACCUUCAAAAGUAAUGGUAACGUUAUGCAUGUGUUUCAACCCAAAUUUGCAUAGGCAUGAUUGUGUAGCCUGUCACCUGACAUGUAGAUUAGGUAUGUAAAGCUUGUGUAAUUAUUGAACUGUAAAAGGUAUACAUGUGUGUUAAUGGAAGCAACAUUACAAUAUAUUUUAGAUAUAUGAUCUGCAUAUAAAGUCAUCCAGUUUUCCCCAUGGAUGUGUAUAUAUAUAUAUACAUGACAGCAUAAAACAAAACCACUGUCUCCUCAUCAAGUUUCUGCACUGCAGGGAUUUACUUUAUGUCAGGAUAACAAGUGGCAAAUAGAAAUUAUAUUUCACUUUAUUCAUAUUUAUCUUCCAAUAUAUAUAUAUAUGAACGGUUUUGUCAUCUGUUUUAGGAGAAAACUAUAAUCUGUUUCUACCAAUGUGUCAAGAUAUAAUGAAGAGAAAACAAGUAGAGGGGUUUGAAAUUGGAUCAUCAGAGGAUGAGUAACUAAAUAAGUCCAGGCAAACUACUACAUCUGAGAGAGAGAUUGAAGGAAUAGGAAUUGUGACAUGUAAAGGCUUCUAAGCAUCCAUUCUUAGAACUUGAAAUUAUACAUGCUUUUCUUACUGAAUUGUGAAAUAGCAUUCCAGUUGUUUUCUAGCAAUGUACCAUGAUAAUAUAAAGAGAAAAUAAGUACAAGUGAUUGAAAUUCUGUUAUCUGAGGAUGAGUUUUCCAAUACAAUUCCCAGGCAAACUCCUACAUCUAAGAGGGAAAUUGAAAUAAAGGAGGAGUGAAAGGAAAAUACUUUUAAACAUUACUUCAUAGAACAUGUACUGGUUUUCUAGCUGAUUGGGAAAGUGGAAUUGAAAUAGUGAGCAUUGUAACAGCUUAUACUUUUUGCUUUUCCACCUUGGAUUUUCAUUUGUUCAUAAAAUUAGAAGAGGAGAGAUUCAAGUAAGUAACCUGAUUAGUAAAGCUUGAGUACUUGAACCAAACAAAGUACAUGUAUUUGUUAAUGGAAGAAGCUUUAGAUAUUUUACAAUAUAUUUCACUUGAUACUUCAUUUUUCUAACUAAACUGUUUUUCUGAACCUCUUCGUGGGUCUAUUUUCAAGAAAUCUUGUAUAUAUUGAAACUGUCACCUCUUUGACUCUUACAUUAGAGAAAUGAACUCAUGCAAUUCACAAUUUCAACUCAUUGUUGAACUGUCAGAACUUUGUGUAGUUAUUCUCUUCCACCAUGGAUCCUCAAAUUUCCAAUAACUCUUCCACCAAUGAGUCUUUUAUUAUGAUUGAUGUACAACUAAACAUUGAUUUGUGUUAAAAGUCUGUAAUAUACAUUGUUAAAAAAAUUGUAUUCCUACUAAUUAAUAGAAAAUGACUUGGCUUACUGCAACUAAAAAAUUUAAGUCAAUAUGAUAAAUACAUUUUUAUAAAUUAAUUAAAGAUUAGAUGAGAAGUAAACAUACAAGCUUUAAAAAGUAAUUAAACAUUUUUUUGAAUUUUGAAAACAAUAUACAAGUGAAAUUAUAAGUAUUUAAAAAAUCUAGCAAUUAAGAAAACAGUGCAGACGUGAUUGUUUGAAAUUCAGCACAGUAGAUAUUAAAGAAGUAAGACGUUUUCCUUCUUCAUACAUUGUUUCCUAAAUAUAUAUAAAAGCAAAAUUAUUCUCGAAAAACAUGAUUAUUCUCUGAACAUGAUUUUGGAGAGGUCCUUUCUGAGCAUGUUGUAAACUAUAUUAAUAUUAAUAAUAUAAGGUAAUAGUCUAUGCUUAUAAAAGGAAAAAAAUGAAGCAGAACAUGGUGAGAAGAUGUAAUGCAGAAGCUUAAUAGAAAGAAAUGACUUCUGUCUUGUGACCUUAAUUAACUCAAACAAUUACUUAAAGAAUUGAGAUUUGGGAAAGUUACAGAGAUCACUCUUGCUUCUCAUAACCAAAUGCUCUUAAUAUAUAUUGCCUCAGUAUUUCACACAGAAGCUGAGACCUAUCACAGAAGAAUUUCAUUAGUUUUUUAUUCAUACACGCUAAACAUAGCAUAAUAAUAUAAUAUAAAGUCAUACAUCAGCAUUAUUUUAAUUUUAAAAUGAAGAUUUUAUAUUCAAACGAUAAGAUUUUUCUUUUCUUUUCUUGAAGUAAUAUUUUAAAACUUGAAAUACAUAAAAAAAAACUGUUAACAAAUUAUAUAAUUGAUCAAUAUUUAAGGGUAUCUUCUUUCCACAAGUUGAAGCUACAGAGACAGAACAAGAAAAUAAAGACGUAUAAGACACCACUAUUGUCCGACUUUUAUUCAUUAAAUACGUUUGUGAUAUCAUAUCAGAAAAUAAACAAUUAUUUCAUGACUUUGGGGCUAUCGACCUUAUUUGGAUACUCAUUUCCUAGACUCAGGAUUUUAUACAUUCAACAUUGAAUAUAGAACUAAUCGAACAUAAAAUAUGUAUCCAAUGUUUGAAAACCAAACUUCAAUCACUCUUUAUGAUUGGCUGAAUCUUUGAAUGCAACAAAGAAUAGUGGUAUUAAUCUUUUAAGAAAGACUAUAUUGGUUGAGUAGCCAUCAAAGAAAACUAUGUUCUAAAAUACUUUACUACUCAUCCUAUCAACACAUACUGCAGUUCAACACAUCCUUAGUCUCAUUUUCCAAUUCCUACCAUGGCAGCAGAAGUUGUUGGUGGUGCUCUUCUUUCGGCUUUUCUUCAGGUUGCAUUCGAUAGGCUCGCUUCUCCUCAAUUUCUACACUUCUUUCGUGGAAGAAAACUUGAUGAGAAACUGCUAGCCAAUUUGAACAUCAUGCUGCACUCCAUCAAUGCUCUCGCUGAUAAUGCUGAACUAAGGCAGUUCAAAGAUCCACACGUCAAAGCAUGGCUUUUUGCAGUCAAAGAAGUUGUCUUUGAUGCAGAGGAUCUUUUGGAUGAAAUAGACUAUGAACUCACCAGAUGCCAAGUGGAAGCUGAAUCUGAACCACAAACCAUCACUCACAAGGUAUCAAACUUCUUCAAUGCUACUUUCAGUUCUUUUAACAAGAAAAUUGACUCAGGGUUGAAAGAAGUGCUAGAAAAAUUAGAAUAUCUUGCAAGGCAAAAGGGUGCUCUUGGUUUGAAAGAGUGUACGUAUUCUGGUGAUGGAUCAGGUAGUAAAGUGCCACAGAAAUUGCCAUCAUCUUCUUUGGUGAUUGAAGGUGUUAUUUAUGGCAGAGAUGCUGAUAAAGAUAUAAUCAUUAAUUGGCUCACAUCUGAAACCGACAAUCCUAACCAGCCAUCAAUACUUUCCAUUGUGGGAAUGGGUGGGUUAGGCAAGACCACACUUGCCCAACAUGUGUACAAUGACCCAAAGAUUGAAGAUGCUACAUUUGAUAGCAAAGCUUGGGUCUGUAUUUCAGAUCAUUUUAAUGUUUUGACUGUGACAAGAACAAUUCUUGAGUCAGUCACUCAUAAAAAACAUGAUAGUGAAAAUCUAGAAAUGAUUCACAAAAACCUUAAGGAAAAAUUGUCAGGAAAGAAAUUUUUUCUUGUUUUGGAUGAUGUUUGGAACGAAAGACUAGAAGAAUGGGAAGUUGUGCAAACUCCUCUUAGUUAUGGAGCUCCAGGAAGUAGAAUUCUUGUCACAACUCGUGGUGAGAAAGUUGCUUCUAUCAUGAGGUCUAAAGUGCAUCACCUAAAGCAAUUAGAAGAGAAUGAAAGCUGGAAAGUUUUUGAAAAUCAUGCAUUAAAAGAUGGUGAUCUUGAAUUUAGCGAUGAGCUAGAGCAUAUUGGUAGAAGGGUAGUUAAGAAGUGCAAGGGAUUACCUUUAGCUUUGAAAACAAUUGGAUGUCUUUUACGCACAAAGUCAUCCAUUUCAAAUUGGAAAAGCAUAUUGGAAAGUGACAUAUGGGAAUUACCAAAAGAAGACAGUGAAAUCAUCCCGGCGCUAUUUCUAAGUUAUCACUACCUUCCUUCUCAUCUUAAAAGGUGCUUUGCUUAUUGUUCCUUAUUCCCCAAAGAUUAUGAGUUUGUGAAGGAGGAGUUAAUUUUGUUGUGGAUGGCCCAAAAUUUUCUACAGUGUCCACAACAGAUUAGACAUCCAGAAGAAGUUGGUGAACAGUACUUCAAUGAUCUAUUGUCAAGGUCUUUCUUUCAACCAUCAAACGUCAAAAGGCAUUUCAUCAUGCAUGACCUUCUGAAUGAGUUGGCAAAAUAUAUUUGUGCAGAUUUCUGUUUCAGGUUGAAAUUUGAUAAAGGUCAAUGCAUACCGAAAAUAACCCGUCAUUUUUCAUUUAAAUUCUAUGACAUAGAAAAAUUUGAUGGUUUAGAGAGUUUAACUUAUGCUAAAAGACUGCGGUCAUUUCUUCCACUUACAAAAUAUAGGACUCUUGAGCUUGGCCAUUCUCCACGAAUAUCCAAGAUUGUGAUUACAACUAUUAUAAGAGCUUUCAAUCAGUAUCCAUGGCAGUUCAAGAUAUCAAUACAUGAUUUGUUCUCCAAAAUUAAGUUCAUACGCGUCUUAUCUUUUAAUGGUUGUUUGGACCUUAAAGAGGUCCCAAAUUCUGUAGGUGAUCUUAAAUAUCUCUAUUCGUUAGAUCUUUCGUAUACUGAAAUAAAAAAACUACCUGACUCAGUAUGUUUGCUCUAUAACUUGCUAAUAUUGAAGUUGAACAAUUGUUCAAAGUUGGAAGAGUUACCCUUAAAUUUGCAUAAACUUACCAAAUUGCGUUGCCUGGAAUUUGAAGAUACAAAAGUGAGAAAAAUGCCAAUGCAUUUUGAGGAAUUGAAGAAUCUUCAAGUACUUAGUACAUUUUUCAUGGAUAGAAAUAGUGAGCUAUGUACUAUGCAACUGGGAGGACUCAAUCUUCAUGGAAUGCUAUCAAUGAAAGAGUUGCAGAAUAUUUUGAAUCCUUUGUAUGCAUUAGAAGCAAAUUUGAAAAAUAAACACCUUGUGAAACUAAAGUUAGAAUGGAAGUCCGACUACAUCCCUGAUGAUCCAAGGAAAGAAAAGGAAGUACUUGAGAAUCUACAACCUUCCAAACAAUUGGAGGGUUUGUCAAUCAGAAGCUACGGUGGUACACAAUUCCCAAGUUGGUUAUUCAAUAAUUCGUUAUCAAAUUUGGUGUUUUUAGUGUUGGAGGAUUGUAAAUAUUGCCUAUGUUUGCCUCCUCUUGGACUUUUGUCAUCUCUGAAAACCCUCAAAAUUAGAGGGCUUAAUGGAAUAGUGAGCAUUGGUGCUGAAUUUUAUGGGAGCAACUCUUCAUUUGCAUCCUUGGAGAGAUUGGAAUUCUACAGCAUGAAGGAAUGGGAAGAAUGGGAAUGUAAAACCACUUCUUUCCCACGUCUUCAACAUCUUGAUGUGGUUGAAUGUCCAAAGCUGAAAGGUCUGUCAGAGCAACUCCUACAUUUGAAGACACUGGAUAUUAAUCACUGUGAUAAGGUCGUCAUUAGCGGAAACAACAUGUACACAUUGUCGCUUGAACUCAUGAGGCUUUAUUCAUGUCCACUUGUGAAUAUUCCCAUGACAACCCAUUACUAUUUCCUUAAAGAAAUGCAUAUUGGUGGUUGGGACUCUCUUGCAAUCUUUCCACUAGAUUUCUUUCCAAAGCUCUGUUCACUUGAAAUGAAAGGGUGCCAAAACCUAAGAAAAAUCUCACACAAGGACACUCAUAAUCAUCUCAAGGAACUAGAAAUUGUUGAUUGCCCUCAAUUUAAAUCAUUCCUGGUUGAAGGAUUAUCUGCACUAGGAGCUGAGAAUUUGACGUUUUUGCCAAAACCCAUGCAAGUCUUGUUUCCAUCCCUUACUAUGCUGUGGAUAAUUAACUGUCCAGAAGUGGAGAUGUUCACAGGUGGAGGUUUUCCAUUAAAUGUAAAAUAUGUUUGUCUUUCAAGUUUAAAACUUAUCGCCUCCCUGAGAGAGGCUUUGGAUGCAAACACAUGUCUUGAAACCUUGAUUAUUAGACACUUGGACGUGGAGUGUUUUCCUGAUGAAGUUUUGCUGCCACACUCUCUAUCCUAUUUAGAAAUCUAUGGUUGCCGAAAUCUUAAAAAGAUGGAGUACAAAGGUCUCCGCCACCUCACCUCUCUCGUACUUUUUGAUUGUCCCAGCCUUGAAUGCUUACCGGAGGAGGGUCUGCCCAAAUCCAUCUCUUCUCUUUCAAUCAUUGGUUGUCCACUGCUGAAGAAGCGUUGUCAGAAUCCAGAUGGCAAAGACUGGGGAAAGAUUGCUCACAUCCCAAAACUGUUUGUUGAGUAAUAAGAUGAGGCACAAGUUCAAAAUUAGAGUUGCAGCUAUUUCCAUUUGUUUGCCACUUCAACAGGUGCCAAUUCUCCACAAUAUCUCUUUACCUUUUCAAUUACAAUUUUCUUAGUUGCAAACAGUAACCCUAUAAUUAUUGCCAUUUUCCAAACAAUAGCAGCAUACAUUAUACUUCAACUUGAUUUUUAAAUUAAUAAUAUAAUUGGAAGCCAAGAUCCUUACUUCUUUACCUGACUUCUCAGCUUUCUGAACAGAGUUCUUAGUGAUAUUCUUCAUGACCCCUCAUUCUGUCUUGAAUAAGAGAUGAUGACAUAAUGUUUAAUAGAGUACUUCAGCUUCUAUUUUCAACAAAGUUUGGUCUGGCUUCUCACUCAAACAAAAUUACAGUAUGAGUUUCAAUCUUUUGGUUUCUCCUUCCUUUCACCUCUCUAUCUGUCCAUUCAACUAAUUUUAUCUUAUGUAAAGAAAAAAAUUAAAUUACGGCUUUGUUGUAGUUUCUGGGAUGAUACGAAUUGUAUUUAUGGGGAUGUUUUCCUUUUGCAGAAUAAUAUGUAAAUGGAAAGACUCUGAUAUAUGUAAAGGGAUGCUGUUGGAGUGAGUUUUCUUGGUAUGGUUAUUGCUGCAUAGCAAUUCUGAUGGCUUAGGUGCUUAAAAAGUGCUAUGGUGAAGGUCUGGAUGGUGACGGCAAUGAUGUUGAAGUGUGCUGUUUGGCAAGUAAUUUGCUGCAUAAUAUGUUUGCUGCCACAUACACUUUUUAAUGCUUUUCUGUGCUGCUGGUGCGUCCUUUGCAUGCUGCUCCUAGUGGCUUUUAGACAAAUGCAUUGUUCCUUUUCAGGCUUUUUCAUUGCAGGAUGGGUGUAGGUUUUUUUGUAAGAGCUGAUGCAGACUUGUUUAUCUAGUUUUGGCUCUGGAAAUAUGUAUAUUAAGCCAUAGAAUGUUUGUUUUUGUUCUAAGCCAUAAGGGGAGUAACCUUGUGGUUAUAUAUAUGGGUUGGGAUACCCCUAAAGUAUUCUGUUAAUUUAGAUAAAAAAAAAUAUAUAUAUGUAAAGGGAAGCCUUCAGCUUUUGGACUCACCCAGUUGUGAAAAUUCCCAUGAUCCAUUAUGACUUCCUUCAUGAAAUAGUGAUUGAUGGUUGUGACUUGAAUAUUCAGAAAGUGGAUGUUGACACUAAAAAUUGUGAAGUGAAGAAUUUCUAGCAAGUGCCAUUUAUUCUCGAAAGAUUACUCUGUAGUUGGAAGGUAUAGUUCCAUCCAUCACCAUCCUUUAGCUUGGUAUUCCAGAAAAUUUAUUUUCUUGUCCACACUUAUCCAUCUUUCUUCUUAAUCCAUGCUUGCUUGGUGCGUUAAAUUAAUAAAGUUUCUGACAAAAAAAAACAAACUUAACAGAAUGCAGUUAUUCACACCAGUUCUCAUGUUCUUGGUUCUUUUUUAAAGAAAAUACAGAUUCAUGAUAUAUUGAAAAUCCUGUCCAUGAUAAAAUGAAGCUAGGGGUAUUGACUGGAGACAAGAUGAAAGAAACAGCUGAGAACAUUGGGUACAUUAACAAUGGCUUGUUCUGAAUAAUCUUUCUCUUUUAUUUUCUUCUUUUCUUUGAUAAAACCUUUUUCUGGAAUAAAAGUUUAAAGAUUCUCAGCAGCAACAAGGUCCAUAAUAUGCUUAUCCAAUCUCCAAUCCAAUGCUAAUGUAUCGAUGAUGUGUUGACUUAUCUUUUGUUAGGUUUUGAUUUUAAAUUCAUGAUUUAAUUGGAAGACAAGAAGCUUUACUAAUCAAUCAUUCAUACUAUUUUUUUUACAGUAUCCUUUUUUAUAUCUGGAGGGAGUAGAAGAGACCCUCUUUAGAGAUCUUACUCUUGAUCACUAUUUCUGUCUUGAAUCAAGCCUUCACAAGAGAUGGUAAAGUGUUGUGUGGACUGUGAUGUUAUAAGGCUUUCCAAAGUCUGUUUCUACCAAUGUGCCAAGAUAUGAUAAAGAGAAAACAAGUAAAAGGAUUUGAAAUUGGAUUAUCAGAGGAUGAGUUACCUAAACAAAUUCAGGGCAAACUACAAUAUCUGAUAGAGAGAUAGAAGCAAUGGGAGUUGUGAAAUGUAAAUGCUUUUAAGCAUCCAUUCUUAGAACUUGAAACUAUACAUGCUUUUCUUACUGAGUUAUGAAAUAGCAUUCCAGUUGUUUUAUAGCAAUGUACCAUGAUAUUAUAAAGAGAAAAUAAGUACAAGUGAUUGAAAUUCUGUUAUCUGAGGAUGAGUUUUCCAAUACAAUUCCCAGGCAAACUCCUACAUCUAAGAGGGAAAUUGAAAUAAAGGAGUGAAAGGAAAAUACUUUUAAACAUUAAUUCAUAGAACAUGUAUUGGUUUUCUAGCUGAUUGGGAAAGUGGAAUUGAAAUAGUGAGCAUUGCUAACAGCUUUUACGUUUUGCUUUUCCACCUUGGAUUUCCAUUUGUUCAUAAAAUUAGCAGAGGAGAGAUUUCAGUAAGUAACCUGAUUAGUAAAGCUUGAGUACUUGGACCAAACAAGGCACAUGUAUUUGUUAAUGGAAGAAGCUUUAGAUAUUUUACAAUAUAGUUUACCUGUGGCAGCAUAAAACAAAACCAAUUUAUCCUCGUCCACAGUGAACUAUUAUUGAUUAGUUCAGUGAACUAGUUAUGUACUAAAAAAUUGAAGACUUCUAAACUUCAUUUUUCUGAACCUCUUCGUGGGUCUAUUUGCUUCUGAACCUCUAGCAGAAACAAAAGGUAGAUGAAAUUAAAAAAUAAAGAUUUGAAGCCAUAUAUAAAAUGUGAAUGAAAGAAAUUCAAGAUCACCAUCCAUUCCACUUCUUAAGCUUAGAUAUCAAUCCCUUCCUCACACAGAGGAUCAAAAGGAAACUGGUGCCAAGAUGGUUGGACAAAGUGCAACUGUUAAUUGAAUCUAUGGGUGGUUCUGAGUGCUGCGUGUGGUUUGAGACUGAAUGGUUGUAUUGUGAUCAUUGACACAUUUACACAUUUAACUGUUCAAAAUUUCAUCCACAUGAUUCAUGACUGUUAUAUUAAAAAGUUGAAUAAAUGAUUUCUUUCGUAAGGCUUCCAUUAGAGAGAAGAAAUUGAACACAUAUUAACCGUUCGAUCCAUACAUAAUAUAAUAUAGUUCACCACGUUUUCAAGUUCCAAGAAUGGAUGCUUAGAAGCAUUUACAUUUCAAAACUCCCAUUGCUUCAAUCUCUCUAUCAGAUGUACUAGUUUUCCCUGGACUUGUUUAGGUAACUCAUCUCUUAUAAUCCAAUUUCAAACCCUUCUACUUUCUCUUCAUCAUAUCUUGACACAUUAGUAGAAACAGACUUUGGAAAGACUUAUAAUAUCACAGGCCACACAACACACUGUGACCAUAAGUAUUUCAAAAACAGCCACCUUACCCUCUCUUCUGAAGGCUUCAUUCAAGACAGAAAUAGUGGUAAAGAGUAAGAUCUCUAAAGAGGGUCUCCUCUCUUCUACUGAUACUGUAAAAAAAAGAUAGUAUGAUUGAUUAAAAUAAACUUCCAAUAAACUCUUCAAAAUACUUCCUUGGUUAGAAUUAAAAUCCUCAAUUCCUUCAUUUGUUAUGAAUAACGUUAAGCUUUUUAAAGGCAGAUAAAAUCAUAGAUCACGUAGGUAAAAUCUUUAGGAUUUCCAAUUCAAUCCUGGGAGAUCAAGUAGAGAAAAUAAUUCAAAUAUCCAACACCAUUCAGUCCAACAAUAGAGACAAAACUCAUCGAGAAAUAAGGAUAUCCUGAUUUGCAGCCGUUUUAAACUCUUUUUAGGAUUUAAGUCCAGAAACUCGAAUUGCUGAACCGUGGUCACAACCCUUCUCAUCCGUGUGAUUAUAGGCACUGAUUCCGCGAAAAUAGCCACGACAAUCCAAUAAAAAACAGAAAAUCUAAAGUGUAGCCGAUAACGAAUAAAUGCAUAACAAAAUUCAAAACACAAAGCUUCACUGUAUCACGUGUGCUAGAAUGCCUACGUUCUACCCGUGAAAGUUGGGAAAAUUGUUUAUUUUUAAACAAAAAUAACCCAUUUCAUUAUUAAAAAAAUUUAAUAACAAAGAUGUAUUUGGAAAGUAAAAUUUAACAAUUUAAAAAAAAAAAAUUAAAACUCUUUCACAACCAUCAUAUCACUCACAAAUUCUCAUAAAUUUUUCUCACAUAUUCACUCUAAAAUACUCCAAUUCAAACAAUCUCACUUUUUCCACACUUUAUUCUCACAUCCUCACACAUCCACUUCCUCAAAUUUUCACACAUCCACUCUCUCAAAUUUUCACACAUCCAAGUAAGUCAUUUUAAGCGAUUUGAUACGUUGAGAGCCAAGAGUUGUUACUAUAAGAAAGUGAAGCAUCCAAUCACACUUUGUAUUCUCAACCAUGGCGGAUAUCAUCAGCAAUUUUCCAGAUUCAAUCCUUUGUUACAUUCUCUCUUUUCUCCCAACCAAACAAGUUGUUACAACCAGUAUUCUCUCCAUGCACUGGAACCUUCUAUGGCGUUCAGUUCCUUCUUUGGAUUUCGACGUGGAUACAAUGAGUAUAGAUUAUGACAAAGAAAAAGAGGGCAUCUCUCGCCUUCUUCUCUCAGUGAACUCUUUUCUACGUGGACGCGAUAUGGACCAACUCCUUCAUAGAUUUCGUCUUAGAUGUCCCUGUUUAUAUAAUCAAAAUAGUAUCGAGACAUGCAUUGAGGAUGUUUUGAGAAAAAGUGCUAGACUUCAACACCUCGACCUCGACCUGGGUUUUGUCACUGCGGUGCCCUCUGUGGUGUUUAUAUGCAAAACUCUUGUAGUUCUCAAAUUGGCAUUCGUAUCACCGAAAAAUGUUUCUUUUGUAGAUUUGCCCUUGCUUAAAAUCUUGCAUUUGAAUUCUGUUAGCUUCUUAGACUGUGAAUAUCUUCUUCAACAGUUUCUUUCUGGGAGUCCUAAUAUAGAGGACUUGGAAGUCGAGACUUUUAAUAAUUUUACUAUAAAAGAAUUCCACAGUUUGCCCAAGUUGGUCAGAGCUAAAAUCGAUGCACCAGCUGUACUUCCAUUGGAAAUUAUUAAGAACGUUGAAGUUUUUGUGACAAAUAGGGUAUGCCUGUAAAAUUUGUUUCUUAUUUACUUUCUAUUUGUAUGGGAAAAAAAUGUGAUUUCUGAUGUUUUUUACAUUAUUUUGUAUCUCUUGCAGAUAUAUAAUCAAGACCUGGUUUUUGAUUUUCAAAAUUUAGUUCAACUUGAGUUUGUUACUUGGGAGGAUAGUGAGGGAUGGCUUGAUGUCUUGAAGGUGUUCAGGCAUUGUCCAAAGCUUCAAACUCUUUUCAUUCGCAUUAAAGACGAUGAAGAAGAUCCAGUUUUGCCAUACCCACUUACUGUUCCUACCUGCAUUUCAUUACACCUUAAAACCUGUUGUCUUCAAUACUACAGGGGUUCUGAAUUUGAGUUUCAAUUUGCGGAAUAUAUUAUGCUGAAUGCAAAUUAUUUACGCACCAUGAAAUUCCUCAUUCGCAGUGAUGAUUAUAGUAAUCUUUUGAGAAGACAUGAUAUGAUAAGAGAUUUAUCAUCAUGCAGUAAGAGUUCAGAUGCUUGUACACUUUCAUUUGAAAAGUAUGUUUGACUUUUAUAUUUGUGAAUGUUUAUCAAAUUAAUCUACUUUUCUUCUUCGCAUGUUUCUAAAUUUAGUUUAGUUUCUGUUUCAUAUUUUUCUUACCGAUUAGAGGAUGAUAUCAUGGUUUUGUGCUUUUAAUUCUUGAAUAGUUUAAAUUUUAUGAAAAAAUGUAAAAGAAAAUCAUUGCAAAGACUCGUAAUUCAGUAUUGGUAUGAAAGUAUUUACCUACCAUCACUCAAUUAUAAAGAUAUAAAUUUUACUAAUAUUCUCAAGUUAGAAUUAGAAUAUAUCUUAAUACAAUUGCUGCGAUGGAUCUGUGAUGAAGAGCCAUGUGUGAAGAAUGAUGAAAACACCUCAGCAAUCGAAAAGAAAAGCACACAACACUGUGAAACGAUCUCCAUAAACAGAGAAAGAAAAAGAGCACGAACAGAAGAACCUACAGAAAAGGGAAAGUGAAGAACGAAGAUGAUGCAAGUUUUUUGUUAAAGAGGCACCAAACAAAGAACUUUGCAAAACACCUCAUAUCUUAGAGUAACUUCCCUCCCAUACAAGGACGUUAGGUGAAUACAAGGAAGGGUAUUCUGGUGCUUUAUCCGGGUGUGCUCCUGCAUGGAAUCCAUGAUCCUUCUUCCGCUUUCCUGCUGCAUUCCCAAACUGCUGGUACAUGUUGUAUUCUUUUGCAGGUUUUACGCUCUAGAGUUGCUACACAUUUUUUAGAAGGAAGUACUGUUAUCAUAUGGUUCUGUUUUGGUUUGUAGAGGAAAAUAGGGUCUGUUAGUUUUAGUUUGGUGGUGCGCUUUUGUCAGCAGCUGUUUAAGCGAGCGUUAGUCCUGUGCCUAAGGUUUUAGUUGUAUUCUGCUUGUAACCUUGGGUGUUUGCGUGGUAAACCCUGCAUUGUGCCUUUAUGUGUACGCUGUGCUAGUUGGUAUAAGGGUUGGGACACCGGUAUAAGGGUUGGGACACCCUAAAGUGUCCCGUUCUAAUUUACUUUAUUCUUUGCUGAUAAAAAAAAAUAAAAUUCCUCCCAUAUUUCUAACAACCUGUAUUCUAUAAUUUCAUAAUCAAAUUUGACAAUAAAACCAUAAUCUUCAGAUCUGCACCACUUCCACUUAUCAUCCUUCAAGUCUUCCUUCACAAGGGUGUAUCCUUGUGAUUGUGUUUAUGGGUUGGGUUACCUUGAAGUAACCCUUAAUUUAAUUUAUUCAUUGCUGAUAAAAAAAAAAUCUUUCAAGUUUUCCUUCAAAUAUUAUAAAGUGGACUUUAAGUAUAACUUAACCCCAUAAAACCGACUAAUGAGUUGAGGUUGAGGUGAAGUUUGCACCCACUUAUAUACAAUGAAAUAUUAUCAUCUCUUGUCAAUGGGCACAAUUGUCUCAUUUUUUACAUCAAUUGAAACAAACUUACCUGGUUGAGGAUAGAGGUCCAACUCAUAAUGUACAGUUGAUGCACGCGUGGACACAUGACACUCAAGUCAAAGGUUGACCUGGUUAGCAAGACUAACCCAUAGUUAAGGGAUGACCUAAUCCAACCCUAAUCACAAACCAACUCCUUAAUCUGGUCCAACAGCAAGGGCCCAUCAAGGUAAUAUAAAUAUCACGCACUCCAAGGAAAAGGUACGUCAUUAUGAAUAGUAUUCUGACAGCCGAAUACGACACCACACUGACUUGAGCGUUGGAGUGUCAUCUGUAGGUACCCACCCGUCUGAGAAACCACUCGACGAGAAAGACCGAAGAAGGAGCGUUGAACACGUGAAGACCGACCGAAUAGCAUCUGGAGUCAAUAGUUUUCCCAGUCUCCAAACUAGUUCCAGAACAGAAUCAGUUCUUAAAAACCUCUUAGAUGGAUAACAAUUAGAAUACUACAACACAUAAACAAUUAGUAUACACAAUAGGUAAUGAGCAAUAACAAAUUUUACACCUAAAUAAAAGAUAUUAAUCUAACUUAAUUCUUGACCAGAAACAAUCAGAAUCUGGAUUCUUUUGUAUAACAAUUGAAAAUCUGUUCACAAGUUAAUUAACCAUUUAAAAUUGCAUGAGCUGUAACUAAGAUCAUAUAAUUAAAACCUAAAUCUUACAAGUCUUUGCUAAUAGAACAUAAAAUUUAAGAUCAUGAAUCUUAAAAAAAAAUAUCUUUUUCAAUUUUAAAAACUUCAACAACCAAAUAAUAUAUUAAUUAGAGUUUAAGUCUUAUUAAUUUUUUUUCAAUUGAAGAAAAAUGACAAAGAUGCUUUAAAAAGUAAUGUAGUAUAAUAAGACCAAAAAGUAGUGUAAAUGAAACCUAAACAAAAAUAUUUUAAGGACCAAAACAGAAAAAAAAAACUAUUAAGGAACAUAAACAACCUCAACUUCAAUAUAAUAGAAAUCAUAUUUAAUACAAGCAUUAAGACUGCAUUGAGAAGAAGUGGUAGACUUGAAACCUUGAUAUCAAUCUGGAAUGGUUUGUUGAGCUGCCCUCUGCGGUGUUUAGCUGCAAAACUCUUGUAGUUCUCAAGUUGUCCACCAUAUCACUGAAAAAUAUUUCUUUAGUUGAUUUGCCCUUGCUUAAAAUCUUGCAUUUGAAAUCUACUUCAUUUAAAUGUGAAGAUCUUCAACGUUUUCUUUCUGGGUGUCCAAAUGUAGAGGACUUGGAAGUCGGGUCUGGUUUAACCCAGAGAUCGGCUGCUAAUACUGCAGAAAAGUUCAAGAAACUUCCUAAAUUGAUAAGGGCUAACAUCCAUACACAUUUAGUUUCAUUGGAAUUUGUUAAGAAUGUUGAAGUUUUGGUCACAGAUAGGGUAAUGCGUGUAAACUUUCUUUCUUAGUUACUUUUCAUUUCUAUGGAAAUUCUAAUGUUUUGAUAUUAUUUUGUAUUUCUUGCAGAUAUAUAAAGAAGACCUUGUAUUUGAUUUUCAGAAUUUACUUCAACUUGAGUUGACCAGUUUCAUGCAUAGUAUGAAAUGGUUUGAGUUCUUUGAAUUGCUCAAGCAUUGUCCAAAACUCAAAGCUCUUUUCAUUGACUUUGAUGAGGUUUAAUAAUUUAAGUUUUUCGAGUAUGAUUCUUCUUGUUAUCUUUUCUUAAAACAUUAGGAUUAAUGUAGUUUUAUAAUUGUUUUUAACAGGAGAAGGAUGUAGUUGCGGAAGGCGAUAAAGAAGCACUUUUUCCAUGCCCCGAUACUGUUCCCACAUGCAUUUCAUUACACCUUAAAACCUGUCGUCUUAACAAUUUCAGGGGUUCCGUAGUUGAUCUUCAGUUUGCAGAAUAUAUUAUGAAGAAAGCAAAUUAUUUACAGACCAUGAAAUUCAGCUUUCACCUUUAUGAUUGUAAUUCUUCUUUGAGAAGACAAGAAUUGACGACAUAUAUCUCCUCAUGCAUGAAGAAGAGUUCUGAUACUUGUACGCUUUCAUUUGAGUAUUUAAUGCCUGAGCCUGACCUCUCUUUCUUUUGAGUAUUUAAGGUCUGUAAUAGUGAUGGUUUAUUUUUGUUUGUAUUUCAUGUAGUAACUGCAAGAAUGUAGUUUUCUUUAUCAAAUGAAUCUACUUUUUUUUCAUUUAAUCAAAGUUUGCUGCACGUUACCGGUUUUGUGUUGUUUUAGUAUAAUUUGUUUAAGAUAUGUUCCUAGGUAUGUAAAUUAUAAAAAAUUAGAUGGUACUAAAAUUAGAGGAAGACAUAAUAAAAAGUAUAUUUAUGAACUACUUGUCUAACUGAAUCAAGUUAUAUAUUUAAAUUAUUAUUGUUCUUUUUCACAUAUUUUUGCUAUUAUUUUUCUCACGACAAACAUUCUUAGUUUAUUUCUGUUGUGACAUUAAAUAUCCAAGUCCACUAAAAAGAAGAUGCAGUGGUAGCUUCCAGAAGUGGCGAUAUUAAUAUAAGGGGAACCACCUGCCCUAGUUGCAAGUGCAAACAUCUUGAUAGGUGUUGCAUAAGGGUGGCAGAAUCUUUAACCAGAAAUGGUCUAUAUUUCAGUGAUCAAGGCUUUAGUCUCAAUUAGAAGUAUUAGUCUUAAAAUGUACUGAUAUUUACUGAUAGAUUGACUAGGUUGGUUUGGUUGCCAUAGAAUUCCAAUGUGAUCCUACUUUUCUGUCAUUGUAAACAGUGAAAUCUUUUAACUAUGAUGCAUUUGUAACUAAUAAUUGGUAUGCCAAUUGGUAAUUAGCAAUAACAAAUAUGGGGUUUAAUGCAACAUUUUUGGCUAAAUGGAUUUGGAGAAAGGGAUCGGAAAGCAGAGUGAUAUUUUGGAGUCUAAAUAUGGAGUUUGAAGAAAUUUAUAGAAAAUUUAUCUGUUACAAAAGGAGUCUUAUUAUAUGAAAAGUUUUCGCACGUGUUAACACAUGAUAAAUUCAUAAAAAAUAAAUUAACAAAAAAUGGAAACUUUACAUGGCAUGAAAACAUGGAGUGUUUACAUGGAAGGUGUGCAAACGAAGAGAAGGGAAGUAUGCAUGGCAUGAAAAGUCAUGACUGUCACGUUUUCAUGGAGUGUUUACUCCCAAUAUGUUUUCGGUCAUUGCCAGAGUUUGUGUGGAGUGCCCUUGCUGAAUUAAGUCGAUUCUUUAAAGAUCUAUGUUCUAAUACAUUGAGGAUGAAUGAUCUUGUCAGAAUGAAAGAAAACAUACCAAUCAUCUUAUGUAAGUUAGAACGAAUAUUUCCACCAGCUUUCUUUGAUUCAAUGGAACACCUUGUCGUUCAUCUUCCUAUGGAAGCAAUACUUGGUGGUCCUGUUCAGUAUCGUUGGAUGUAUCCCUUUGAAAGGUAAAGAUUAUGUUAAUUAUUUUAAUGUUUAAGAACAUGUGCAACUUAUAAUAAUUACUACUUUGCUUUAGGAUGAUGGGAGAUGCAAAGAAAUCGGUGGGUAAUUUGGCACGAGUAGAAGGAUCAAUAUGUGCAUUCUACCUACAUCGUGAGAUAACAUAUUNNNNNNNNNNNNNNNNNNNNNNNNNNNNNNNNNNNNNNNNNNNNNNNNNNNNNNNNNNNNNNNNNNNNNNNNNNNNNNNNNNNNNNNNNNNNNNNNNNNNUAGACCUGGGAAACAUCCAUUAUUCUGGUAUUUUACCAUCAUCUGAUCCUGGUAGUCCAUAUAUUUCAUCCCAUUCCUCGACACCAUCUUCUAGCCCGUCUUCCUCCAUCCCCUCGUCCUCUGGGCAUGGAGAAUUUCGGCAUGCUUAUCCACACCCCACUAUAUCACCUCGUCCUCUUAGUAUUCCAGUACCACCACGACCAUCAUCCUCUGCUCCGACUUACCAUCAGAGUGUCCCUGAACCACUCCACCAGACUCAGAGUUUUCCACUCCACCCUACCUCUGGUACAUUUGUGCAGCCCACCCCUGGUACAUUUGUGCAGACUACUCCUUAUCCCAUUGUCCACACCACAUCUUCUUCAGCUGUCCCGACUACUACUGGCUCUGUGCAAGGCCUCUCUAACCAUGUUGACCAUGGUGCCACUGCUGCUUCAGNNNNNNNNNNNNNNNNNNNNNNNNNNNNNNNNNNNNNNNNNNNNNNNNNNNNNNNNNNNNNNNNNNNNNNNNNNNNNNNNNNNNNNNNNNNNNNNNNNNNUUUAUAAAUGAGGAAGACCCGCACACAUUGUCGAUUUUGAAUAAAUGUGGACGCCCUAGUGGUUCUAGCAAGGACUAUUGGUUAAGUGAUAAAGAACAUCGUUUUGCCCAUGUUCAUGUCCUCAUCAAUUGCGAUGAGGUCAAACCAUUUCUUGAGUAAGUUUAAUUGUACAUGAUUUGAAUUAAAUUAUUGUAGGUUGUGUAAUUCGCUAACUAAUUGUAAUCAAUAUUUAAAGAUUGUUCUUACAAGUGUACUCAAUCAAUGAUGAAGAUGCUUCGACAGUUAUACAUGCUAAUUUUCCCGAAUGGUUCAAGAGCUACGUAAGUGUAACCUAAACCCAUAUGUGUUUCUUAUUAAAUCACACUUUCAUAAAUAAAUGUCAUGUUUUCUUAUGACUAAAACAUAGGUUCACGAUGAAAGGAAUGUAAUAAACCCAAACUUGAAGGGACUUUCUUGGGGACCUAAUUCAAAGACAACAUCAUGGAACAUCUACUUCGUUAAUGGAUAUAAAUUUCAUACAAAGGCAUGGGCUGAUGGUAAGAAAACAACAAAUAGUGGGUUGUAUGUUAAAGGUGUCACUGGUGGAGGAGAAGAUGACUUUUAUGGUACAAUUCAUCAUAUAUAUGAAUUGGAGUAUGUUGCUCUCAAUAAGAAGGUCCCGCUUUUCUAUUGUGAAUGGUUUGAUCCUACAAUUAAUGUUGGGACUAGAUUUCAUUCACAAUAUAAUUUAGUUGAAAUCAAGUUAAGUGGCAGAUAUGGACCGUAUGAUCCAUUCAUUCUUCCGCAAAAGGUCAAACAAGUUUAUUAUCUCACUUUUUCAAACAUAUGUAAAAACCUUNNNNNNNNNNNNNNNNNNNNNNNNNNNNNNNNNNNNNNNNNNNNNNNNNNNNNNNNNNNNNNNNNNNNNNNNNNNNNNNNNNNNNNNNNNNNNNNNNNNNCUCCCCCCUAAGGUCGCCUUCAAUUUGGAAGCACGGUAGGGUCAUCAUCCGACUUCUUGGAAGAGGGUAAGUCAUCCUAAAUGUACAUUUAAUUUUAUCUUUAUAUUACUAUGUUUGUAAUUUUAUUUGUUUGUAUUUGUAGUUGGACACCAAAUCAUUUUGCUAGUGAGGCCAUUGGACAUUGCAUUCGAUCUCAAUUUAGAGGUCCAUAUCAUCAUUAUGAUGUCAUGCCUGAGGAGGACAAACUAAAAUGGUGGACUGACUUUCAGGUAAUUUUAAUUUUUGACAAACUACAGUCACUUGUUUUCUUGUUUUUCUUGUGGACUCAAAGUAACUAUUUUCUUCUUUUUAACAGACUAGAGUCACUUGGGCACCCCAUGAUGAAUGCCAAAUUAAAAAGGUCUACGAGUCUAAAGUCAAAAAAAGACUUUGUGAUAUGUUGACUAAGGCUAGGAGAAAGGCUGUCCGCCCUAUUUGGAUAGGUCAGCAAGCAUGGGUUGAACUUCUAAACUAUUGGGAUUCACAAAAAUUCAAAGAUAAAUCAACUCAAAAUAAAGCCAAUAGGAGUUCAGCUCGUGGUGGAGCACUGCACUCCACAGGUAGAAAAUCACAUUCAGAUAUUGCAGUUACCUUGGUAAGUACUUGUCAAUGCCUUACAUGAAAAUCAUUUUACAUUUGCAACCUAUAAUGCUUUUAAUUGUACAACAUUAUUAGGAACGUCAAUAUGGCCGUCCUCCAGAACCUGAUGAACNNNNNNNNNNNNNNNNNNNNNNNNNNNNNNNNNNNNNNNNNNNNNNNNNNNNNNNNNNNNNNNNNNNNNNNNNNNNNNNNNNNNNNNNNNNNNNNNNNNNCCACCCACACAAAUAAGAAGGGUGAAUGGGUUGAUUCUCGUGCUCGAGAAACUUAUGUAAGUUAUUCUUUUAAAUUGUUUUAUAUUUAUAUUUUAAUUUUCUAACAUUUUCAUUUUGUAAUGAUCUGUGUAGGAAAAGUAUCAUGAGCGCUUGAAGGUCCUUCAAGCAAAUAGUUCUCAGGACUCUAACACUGAUGUCCACCAACUUGAUCCUGCAACUAAGCUUCAAACAUGGAAGGAAGCUGCCGGAGGAAAGAGUAGAGGUCGGGUAUAUGGUACGGCAGACUUGGCUGCUAACAUCCGCCAAGGAGUCUCUUCUCUCACCCAAGCCUCUGCGUCCGACACUUCACAAUCUGGACAAGUGACUGAAAAUCAAAUGCUUCGUGCUGAACUUAGUAUGUGGAGUCAGAAGUAUGCACACCUGGAGGAUGAGCUGAAGGUUAUAAAAGAUAAACUUAUCUCUAUGGAUCAAGAAAAAACUACUUCCAAUAGCACAACACAAUUCCAUCAUGAGUAUGAUCCAGAACAGGAUGAUCAACCUAUUUCUUAAAGUACAUCCUAUAAUGUAAGUUUAACUAUUUGAUAUUUUUAUUAUAUACUAAAUAUUUUAAUUANNNNNNNNNNNNNNNNNNNNNNNNNNNNNNNNNNNNNNNNNNNNNNNNNNNNNNNNNNNNNNNNNNNNNNNNNNNNNNNNNNNNNNNNNNNNNNNNNNNNNNNNNNNNNNNNNNNNNNNNNNNNNNNNNNNNNNNNNNNNNNNNNNNNNNNNNGCUUUUCUACUUUGGAUGUGUUUCUGGAUUUUGAUUUCAUACUUUGGAUGUGUUUGUGGAUUUGGGUGUUUAUAGAUGUAUUGUGAAUGAUAGUAAUUUGUUUCAAUGUGAUUUGGUUUGGUUGGUAUUUAAUUUUUACAGGUAAUCUGGUUAGAAAGCAAAAUAAAAUGUUUUUUUUUUCUUCAUCACAUGCGUCGGCCAUAGGCCCACGCAAGUUUUUUUUAAAGAUGCGUCCGCUUUUGCGUGGGCCAAGCCCACGCAAGUUUUUUUAAACAUGCGUCCGCUUUUGCGUGGGCCAAGCCCACGCAAAUUCUGAUAUUUUUUAAAUAUAUAUUUUUAUCAUUUUCGUCGGCUAGACCGACGCACACGCGAAAUAAAAAUUCUACGUCGGACCGCCCACGCAAAAGCCGCCGCAUAUGCGUCCAACCUAUCUUCUGCAUGUUGCGUCCGUUUUGCGUGGGCUUGGCCCACGCAAGAUGCACCCAAUUUUCUGGCCCACGCUAAUUUUCAUUUGCUUCCAGGCUUUUUUCGUGGGAGGUGUAACGGACGCGAAUCGGACGCAUAAGCGUCCGUUUUCUAGCUUUUGCGUCCGUUUUUGGCCCACGCAAAUUGGCUUUUUUCUUGUAGUGAGUCUUAUUAUAUGAAAAGUUUUCGCACGUGUUAACACAUGAUAAAUUCAUAAAAAAUAAAUUAACAAAAAAUGGAAACUUUACGUGAUUCAUUGUAGGGAGAAUACGUGUCUUUUUUUACAUAUUGUGUCACUGGUUUCUCAUUUAUUCUCUCACUUGCCCUCUCUCAUUGUCUUGUUCUUUUUAUUUUCUUUAUUUUCGUAUUUUUUUGUCAUAACCUCCUCUAUUCCUUCUCUCGUUUUGUCUCUCAUAGUUUUAUUUUUGUGCAUUUCCUUCUUUGUGGUUUCUUCUGUCACAACCACCUGUUUCCUCUCUAAUAUAAUCUUGCUCUGUGCAUUUUCUUUUUUUUGGAAAUGAAUGUAGGUAUCUUCAACCAUUGUAUCUCCAAUCACGGUAUCCUCAACACGCUGAGGAAAGAUUUUUGCCUUUUUUUUUACGACUAGGAAAGCAAAAUUGCAUAGUUUGUUGAGUCUUAACCCCAAAUUGUGUUACAUCUCUCUAGGCUUUUCUUCGUGAUAAGACCUUUUUGUUCGUUUUUUGAGUUUUUUUUUUGUUAUGGACAUGUUUUGUAGUAAAUAAAUAGGUUGUUUGUCUAUAUUUCAAUUGUUUUUAUUAGUAAAGAACUGAAUAAAUAAAAUGGAGCAUUUAAGGAAUACUCCAACCUUUAUAUAAAACCUAGACAGUGUCCCUACUUUACUAGAUACAAAUAUCCCGUGCUAAAGCUUAAGCUUUUUAGCUAAACUUUUACAACAAUAGACACCCAAUGGAACUUGAUAAGAAGUUCUUAAAACCCAACUUAAACCAGAACUCUAGACAAAAAAAACCUACAAAAUAACACUCAUGGACAAAACAAAAAUGAAAUCAAACCUACAAAAACAACUUUAUAGACAACCACCAAGCAUGCUGUCAAGUUAUGCAUCUUAAGCUCUAUUUCCUCUCCUAACAUCUCGCUUAAAUUAGAGAUUAUUUUAUAAACUAAAAUAUAUUUAUCUAAACUAGUUUAUACUAUUAAUAAAAGUUAAUAAAAUAAUUUUAAAUUGAUAUCUAACCAUUGUUUACCAAGAUUUUAGCUAUUUACUACUUUAUAUUCUAAAUUAAUGUCUAUUAGUUUUUUAAAGAUUAAUUUAUAAUAUAAAAUAUGAAUAACUAAAACUUGAGUAACUAAUUUAGAUAACAAUUUAUAAACUAUUUUAUAAUUUUUUUAUUAAUAAAAAAACCAUUUUAGAUGAAAAUAAUUGUUUAGAAAUUAGUACCUUUUUUUAUUAGCAAAGAAUUAAGUAAAUUAAAUGGAAUGCUUUAGGGACAUUCCAACCCUUAUAUAGAGACCCACAUUUAAUCUAAAACUAAAAAGAGAUAUUACAAACCAAUCCUAUGCUACGUCCAUUUCCUCCAAUCGUGAAAAUCAGCUCCACGAACACAACUCCAAACCAACUUGCUGAUAACUAUGUCUACACCUAUCUCAUAUAAGCCAACCAAGACCAUCCAGAUCUGUUCAACAUAGAAAACCCAGCAUCAUAGAAAUUAGUAUCUAAUUUAGUUGAUAUAGUGACAAUUUUUUUUUAAAUUUAAUUUUUAUUUAAUAAUCUUUUUUAGUGUAUAUAAAUAUAUGAAUAAAAAAGAAAAUAAUAAAAUUAUAUCUUACAUAAAAAAUUUAAAAAUAUUUUAUAACAAAUGAAAAUAGAAACUUAAAAAACAUAAUAAACUACUAGAAAAAACCUAUUUAGCGAACAUUUACAUUAGUAAUAAUAAAUAAUACAAUCAUAUCAUAAGUUUUUCAAUGUAGAAUAUGGGGAAUAUAGCCCUACACUUUUCCUUUCAGUUCCCAAGGUGUAGGUUUCCCAUGGCAUGCACAUCAAUUUAAUUUCCAAUGCAAAACUAAAAAUAAAAAGAAACAUCCUUUAUAAUGUUUUUUCAUGAUUGAAGUUUAAUACUUAACCAGUUUUUCACGCAAGUCAACAUUAAAAACAUACAAAAUCAAUUUGAUUUUUAUUUAUCAUUUAAAUAAAGAAUAUUGAAAGGUAAACAGGGAUGCGAAAUGUAACUGAAGGAAAAUUAAGUUAGGUUGGAUCAUAUUGAUUAUUUUUUAAAAUAACAUCUUAAUCCUAUUUAUUCUUAAUAUAUGAAUAGUUUAUCACUUAAAUAUGCCAACACUGGAAUAAAACAAAUUAUAAGGAAACUUGAAAAAUUUAUUUAGGACCAAAACCAACACAUACAAAUUUAUUAAAAGAAAAUAUAAGUAUUAAUUUCACAUGCAAAGUGAAAUAAGAUUUAUCACUUAAUUUCAUUGUAAAAGUCAUAAAGUUUAAAAUCUAUAUCUUAAAAAACUUGAAAUAUAUUAACAUAAUAUAAAAUUUAAGACUCUCGAUAAUAGGACACUGAAUCAUAAUAAAAAAAUAUUUUUCUAUUUUAAAUUUAGCAAUACCAAUCACCAAAUAAGAAACUAAUUAUAGUAUAUGAAUAUUAUAAAAAUAAAUAAUACAUUGUAAAAUCACUAUUACUAUAUAGAUAAGCUACACUUAAAGAAUAUUAAGAAUAUAUUUUUUAUUAAGAUCAAAUCAGAAAAAAAUUAUUAAGCAACAUAAAGAACCAAAAAUUUAAAAUAUUUUUUUUCACAACAUUAAAAUACUAUUUAAUUAAUCUAUUAUUUUCAAUUGUUAUAUAUUUUUAUACUGUAUAUUUGUUAUUAAUCUUAUGUUAUAUCUUACAAUAUUUCUGUUCAAGCUUUAAAUAAAAUAAAAUAAGACAUUUCUAAUAUAUAUAUAUAUAUUUAUAUUUGAUAUUAAAAAAUAAAAAUAGAGUUAAAAUAUAUUAUGUAAUACAAUUUUUUUUAAAUAAUUAAAUGAAACAAAUUUACGAUCUAUCUUAAUUAAAGUAUAGUUCAAAAAUAGUAAAAUUAAUAAAUAUUGUGAAUAAUAUAAUAGUUAAAUAAAUUAUAUAAUAUAAAAGUACGAAAGUAUAAAGAAAAAUAAUAGUAAACUUAUUCUCAAAUCUCUUACCUAUUAAAAGAUACAAAAUAUCACUUUCGGUACAAAAAUUAAAAUUCUAAAAUCAUAGUAUAAAUGAAUAACAAGAUAAAUUAAUAAAAUUGUAUUUUAUAUAAAAAAAAACCUGAUAAAUAUUUUUAAAUAAAUAAAAAACUACAAAUGAAAAAUUUAAAAACAUUACAAACUAUUAAAAAAUUAUUUACCAAACAUUAGUAACAAAUAAUAAAUAAACUUUAAGAAUAAUUUUAUUCCAAAAAUAAUAAUAUUGACCUCUGAAUUUUAUAAGAUUUCUCUCACUGAAAUAUCUUAACAUAAAAAUAAAUAAAUAAAACUUUCGAUUAUAAGAUAUCUUCACAUAAUAUAAAAGAAACGAAAAAAAUCUUGAAUGGUAAAAUUAUAAAAAUCAUUAUAUUGAAAAUAUUUUUGUUAGUUAUGAAACAAAACAUUAUAAUAAAAAUUUGAAUUUACCUGUUUGAGUAAAAGUUGUGAAAAAAUAUAUUAAAAGAAAUAUAACCCAAUAUAAAAAAUAAGACAAAAAAAAUCUUGAAUUAUAAAAAAUCAUUACAUUAUAAAGAUAUUAAAAGAAAUCUAACUGAGCAUAAUAAUACUGAAGAAAAUGUAUACUAAUUAAUACACUGUAGUAUGACUCCUAUUGAUAUUCUCAAAGCUUGUCCUUUCACUUCCCAAGGUUUAGAUUUGCCAUGGCAUGCACAUCAAUUCCAAUGCAAACAUAAAGUCUCUUUAAGCGAUUUGAUACAUUGAGAGAGAUGAGUUAUUCCUAUAAGAAACUGAAGCAUCCAUGCACACUUUGCAUUCUCAACCAUGGCUGAUAUCGUAAGUGGUUUUCCAGACUCAAUCCUUUGCUACAUUCUCUCAUUUCUCCCAACCAAACAAGUUGUUGCAACCAGUGUUCUCUCCAAACGCUGGAACCUUCUGUGGCGUUCCGUUCCCUCUUUUGAUUAUGAACAUCAUGACCCAACUGGUGAUUAUGAGGAUGACCUAGAUGCCUGCUCUGACUUUCUUUACUCAAUGUUCUCCCAUCUGCUUUUGCGUGAUAUGGACAAACCUCUCCAUAGAUUACGCCUUACAUGCUGUUCUGGGUAUAACCAUUAUAGCAUUGAAAUAUGGAUUGAGGCUGCACUGAGAAGAAGUAGUAGACUUGAACACCUCGACCUCAAUGUGUAUAAGGAUUUUGUGGUGCCCUCUGUUGUGUUUAGCUGCAUAACUCUUGUAGUUCUCAAGCUGGCGAACUUAGUGCUGAAAGAUGUUUCCUUUGCUGAUUUUCCCUUUCUUAAAAUCUUGCAUUUGAAUUCUAUUUCUUUCUCAGGAUGUCAAGAUCUUUUUAAACAGUUUCUGUCUGGGAGUCCUAAUCUUGAGGAUUUGGAAGCCAAGAAUUUGGAUUCUAAUCCUGCAGAAAAGGUCAACAGAUUGCCCAAGUUGGUCAGAGCUAACAUCGAUGCACAUAUAGUUCCAUUGGAAAAUGUUAAGAACGUUCAAGUUUUGGUCACAAAUGGGGUAAUGUGUGUAAAUUUGUUUCUCAUUUCUUUUCAUUUUAAAGGGAAAAAAUGAGAUUUCUGAUGUUUUGAUAUAUUUUGUAUCUUUUGCAGAUACAUCCACCAGACCUGGUUUUUUAUUUUUGGAAUUUAGUUAGACUUGAGUUGAACCGUUUGAAGUCUAGUAAGCAAUGUUUUCAGGUUUUGGAAGUGCUCAAGCAUUGUCCAAAGCUUCAAACUCUUUUCAUUAACAUUUGUCAGGUUUAAUGAUUUAAGCUUUCGAAGUUUGUAUCUUCUUGUUAUCUUUGCAUCAAACAUUAGGUUUAAUAUAGUUUUAUAAUUGUUAUUAACAGAAACAAAAUUUAGUUGCUGAAGACGAUGAAGAAGCAAUUUUGCCAUGCCCAGAUCCUGUUCCUGCAUGCAUUUUAUUGCACUUAACAUGCUGUUGUCUUACGAAUUACAGCGGUUCUGCAUUUGAGUUUAAAUUUGCGGAAUAUAUUAUGCAGAAUGCAAAUUAUCUACAGUUCUUUGCAUUCCGCAUUUACAGGAACAAUCCUUCGAGAAGAGAUGAUAUGAUAAGAGAUUUAUCUUCAUGUAAGAAGAUUUCAGAUACUUGUAAACUUGAAUUUGUGUAGUUAAGGUCUGAGCGGUAACUGUGAUGUUUUCUUUUUUUUUUGUAUUUCCAGUAUUAACUUCAAGAAUGUGGAUGUUUAAUAUACUAAUCUAUUUUUCUUCAUCUAAUGGAAGUUUACCGCACAAUUAUCUUUUUUGUCCAGAAAUCUUAUGAAAGUUUUUUUUAGUUUUAAAAUUUUCUUCUUGCUUUAGGAAUUUUCUCAUAUCUAAUUUGCAAUUAUCUUUGUUUGACAUAUAUUAUAUAUACACACGUACAUAUAUGGUUUGCUUUUAUAGUUUUUUGUACUUUUCAUUCUUGAACAGUAUGAAAGGAAAAUGUAAAGAAAUUUAUUGCAAAAAAUCAUAAUUCUGAAUUGGUAUCUGUUGCAAAAAAAACUCAUAAUCUCUCUCUAUAAAUAUAUAUAUAUAUAUAUAUAUAUAUAUAUAUAUAUAUAUGCAAAAUUUGUAUAAAUGAAUGAUGGAGGAUGUGUGUGCAUAUAAGCAGCAUUUCUGAAAUGGCUUUUUUAAUUUUUUUUUUUUUUGAAAAAACAAAAUUAUUAAAAUAAUUGUAUUGCUACUCGAACUACAAAAUUGAAGUCAAUAUUAUAAAUAAAUUUAUAUAAAUUAAUUAAAUAAUAGAUGAAAAGUAAAGAUACAAGCUAUAAAAAGUAAUUUUUUUUUUAAUUUUGAAAAUAAUAUAUAAGUGAAAUUAUAAAUGUUUAAAAUAUCUAGCAAUUAAGAAAACAGAGAGCAUCAGUUCAGACGUGAUUGUUUCAAAUUGAUCAGCACUAAAAAGUAUCCUAUGUACUAAUUCAUGUAUUAGAAGAAGAAAAAAAUUGUCAUAUGACAAUACAUGAAAGAACACCCAAGAAUAAACAACGAUAAUGAAAAAAAUAACAAUGUGUAUGAUGUAAACUAUAUUAAUAUUAAUAAUAUAAAAUAAAGUCAUACAUAAGCAUUAUUUUUAAGUUUAAAAUGAAGAUUUUAUAUCUAAAUGAUAAGAUUUUUUUUCUUUUAAAUUCAAAUACAUAAAAAAAGAAUUAUUAAAAAAAUAUUUAAGUGAUCGAUAUUUAAGGAUAUCUUCUUUCCACUAAUUGAAGGUAAUAAAAUAACGACGUAUAACACACCAUUGCUGUCAGACUUUUAUGCAUUAAAUACGUUUGUGAUCUCAUAUUAGAAAAUAAACAAUUAUUGCUUCACUUUGGGUCUAUCGACCAUAUUCAACUCACCAAAACCAUUGAAUAUAAAACUAAUCAAACAUAAAAUAUGUAUCCAAUGUUGAAAACCCAACCAUCAAUUACUCUUUAUGAUUGGCUGAAUCUGUGAAUGGGACGAAUAAUUGUGGAAUUAAGCUUUUAACAAAGACUCAAAGAAAACCUUAAAGUCAAGUAAUCCUUUAAUUUCUGCAGAGGCAAAAAACUUCACUUCUAAGCUUUAUAUAAAAGUAUCUGUAUUGCCUUAUCAAUGAUGGUAAAACCAUGCAUUCAUCUAUUUCUCUCGGUCUAUAAGAUUUAAAACAAGAAGUUUUAGUUGCUUCUUACAUAGAAGUCUUUUAUUAUUAUUUUUUUUCCAUUUUUUCUCAAUUUUUUUACCCUCUCCAUGAUUUGAUUGGUUUAGUCUAGAUGAAAAAGGUCAUGAUUUAAAGGUACUAUGUUUCAUAUUUUUUCUGCAAAACUAUUUACACUCAAUUUCAAUUGGUUUUAAGAUGAAAUCUAACAUGCCAUUAGAGCCUAUAUACCAUCUUUGAGAGUUGAAUAUUUUGUUAAGCAUUGCCUUUUCUUGCAUGAAUAUAAUAUAUUUGUUGCACUGGGACCCACAACCCUCUUCCCAUUUCAGCAUUUCAUACUUUCAUUGGUUGAGUUGCCAUUAAAGAAAAAGAAAAAUAUGUUCUUAAAGUCAAAUCAUCCUUUCUAACUACUCUUUCCAUCACUCUACCAUUCAUUACUGCACUGAAUCCAUUUCACUUCAUUUCCAACUCCUACCAUGGCAGCAGAAGUUAUUGGUGGUGCUCUUCUUUCGGCCUUUCUUCAGGUUGCAUUCGACAAGCUCGCUUCUCCUCAAUUUCUAGACUUCUUUCGUCAAAGAAAACUUGAUGAGAAACUGCUCACCAAUUUGAACAUCAUGCUGCACUCCAUCAAUUCUCUCGCUGAUGAUGCUGAACUAAAGCAGUUCACAGAUCCACACGUCAAAGCAUGGCUUUUCGCUGCCAAAGAGGCUGUCUUUGAUGCAGAGGAUCUGUUGGGUGAAAUAGACUAUGAACUCACCAGAUCCCAAGUUGAAGCUCAAUCCGAACCUCAAACCUUUACUUAUAAGGUAUCGAAUUUCUUCAACUCUACUUUCACUUCAUUUAACAAGAAAAUUGAAUCAAGGAUGAAAGAAGUCUUGGAGAAACUAGAAUAUCUUGCAAAGCAGAAGGGUGCUCUUGGUUUGAAAGAGUGUACUUAUUCUGAUAAUAGAUUAGGUAGUAAAGUGCUACAGAAAUUGCCAUCAUCUUCUUUGGUGGUUGAAAGUGUUAUUUAUGGCAGAGAUGCUGAUAAAGAUAUAAUCAUUAAUUGGCUGACAUCUGAAAUUGAUAAUUCUAACCAGCCAUCAAUACUUUCCAUUGUGGGCAUGGGUGGGUUGGGUAAGACCACACUUGCCCAGCAUGUAUACAAUGACCCAAAGAUCGACGAUGUAAAAUUUGAUAUGAAAGCUUGGGUUUAUGUUUCUGAUCAUUUUCAUGUUUUGACCGUGACAAGAACAAUUCUUGAGGCAGUGACUGGUAAAACAGAUGAUAGUAGGAACCUGGAAAUGGUUCACAAAAAACUAAAAGAAAAAUUGUCUGGGAAGAAAUUUCUGCUUGUUUUGGAUGAUGUUUGGAACGAAAGACGGGAAGAAUGGGAACUUGUGCAAACUCCUCUUAGUUAUGGAGCUCCAGGAAGUAGAAUUCUUGUCACAACUCGUGGCGAGAAUGUUGCUUCUAACAUGAAGUCUAAAGUGCAUCGCCUAAUGCAAUUAGGAGAGGAUGAAUGCUGGAAUGUUUUUGAAAAUCACGCAUUAAAAGAUGGUGAUCUUGAAUUGAAUGAUGAGCUAAAGGACAUUGGUAGAAGGAUAGUUAAGAGGUGCAAGGGAUUACCUUUAGCUUUGAAAACAAUUGGAUGUCUUUUACGCACAAAGUCAUCCAUUUCAGAUUGGAAGAACAUAUUGGAAAGUGAGAUAUGGGAGUUACCAAAAGAAAACAAUGAAAUUAUUCCAGCGCUAUUUAUGAGCUAUUGUUAUCUUCCUUCUCAUCUUAAAAAGUGCUUUGCUUAUUGUGCCUUAUUCCCCAAAGAUUAUGGGUUUGUGAAAGAGGAGUUAGUUUUGUUGUGGAUGGCCCAAAAUUUUCUGCAGUGUCCCCAACAGAUUAGACAUCCACAACAUAUUAGACAUCUAGAAGAAGUUGGUGAACAAUACUUCAAUGAUCUAGUGUCAAGGUCUUUUUUUCAUCAAUCAAGCGUCGUAGGACGUUUCGUCAUGCAUGACCUUCUGAAUGAUUUAGCAAAAUAUGUUUGUGUGGAUUUUUGUUUCAGGUUGAAAUUUGAUAAAGGCGAAUGUAUACCGAAAACAACCUGUCAUUUUUCAUUUGAAUUCCGUGAUGUCAAAAGUUUUGAUGGUUUUGGGAGUUUAACUAAUGCUAAAAGACUUCGUUCAUUCCUUCCUAUCUCGCAAUAUUGGGGUUCUCAAUGGAAUUUCAAGAUUUCCAUACAUGAUUUGUUUUCCAAGAUUAAGUUUAUACGCAUGUUAUCCUUCCGUGAUUGUUCAUGUCUUAGAGAGGUCCCAGAUUGUGUAGGUGAUCUUAAACAUCUCCAUUCGUUAGAUCUUUCGUGGUGUGAUGCGAUACAAAAGCUACCUGACUCGAUGUGUUUGCUCUAUAACUUACUAAUACUGAAGUUGAACUAUUGUUCAGAGUUGCAAGAAUUGCCCUUAAAUUUGCACAAACUUACCAAAUUGCGUUGCCUGGAGUUGAACUAUUGUUCAAAGUUGGAGGAAUUGCCCUUAAAUUUGCAUAAACUUACCAAAUUGCGUUGCCUAGAAUUUGAAGGUACAGAAGUGUCAAAGAUGCCAAUGCAUUUUGGAGAAUUGGAGAAUCUUCAAGUACUGAGUACAUUUUUCGUGGAUAGAAAUAGUGAGCUAAGUACUAAGCAACUGGGAGGAUUGGGAGGACUCAAUCUUCAUGGAAAGCUAUCAAUCAAUGACGUGCAGAAUAUUAUGAAUCCUUUGGAUGCAUUAGAAGCAAAUGUGAAAGAUAAACACCUUGUGGAGCUAGAAUUAAAAUGGAAGUCGGACCACAUCCCUGAUGAUCCAAGGAAAGAAAAGGAGGUACUUCAGAAUCUACAACCCUCCAAACACUUGGAGGAUUUAAAAAUCUCGAACUACAAUGGUACAGAAUUCCCAAGUUGGGUAUUCGAUAAUUCGUUAUCAAAUCUGGUGUUCUUACAGUUGCAGGACUGUAAACACUGCCUAUGUUUGCCUCCCCUUGGAAUUUUGUCAAGUCUGAAGGACCUUGAGAUUAUGGGGCUUGAUGGAAUAGUGAGCAUUGGUGUUGAAUUUUAUGGGAGCAACUCUUCAUUUGCAUCCUUGGAGAGGUUGGAAUUCCACAAUAUGAAGGAAUGGGAAGAAUGGGAGUGUAAAACUACUUCUUUUCCACGUCUUCAUGAGCUUUAUAUGAAUGAAUGUCCCAAACUGAAAGGUACUCAAGUAGUUGUUAGUGAUGAGCUCACAAUUAGCGGAAAGAGUAUCGACACAUGGCUGCUUGAAACCCUGCAUAUUGAUGGAGGUUGCGACUCUCUUACAAUGUUUCGGCUAGAUUUCUUUCCAAAGCUUCGUUCUCUUGAACUGAAAAGAUGCCACAACAUAAGAAGAAUUUCACAGGACUACGCUCAUAAUCAUCUCCAGCACCUAAAUAUUUUUGAUUGCCCUCAAUUUAAAUCAUUCCUGUUUCCCAAACCCAUGCAAAUCCUGUUUCCGUUCCUUAUGAGUCUGGAGAUAACUGUUAGUCCACAAGUGGAGUUUCAUGGUUUGCCAUUAAAUGUAAAAUAUAUGUCUCUUUCAUGUUUAAAACUUAUUGCCUCCUUGAGAGAGACCUUGGAUCCCAACACAUGUCUUGAAACCUUGCUUAUUCAAAAUUCAGACAUGAAGUGUUUUCCCGAUGAUGUUUUGCUGCCACGGUCUCUCACCUCUCUACUAAUCAAUUCUUGCCUAAAUCUUAAAAAGAUGCACUACAAGGGUCUCUGCCACCUCUCCUCUCUCACACUUCUUGAUUGUCCCAGCCUUCAAUGCUUACCAGCGGAGGGUCUCCCCAAAUCCAUCUCUUCUCUCUCAAUCGGGCGUUGUCCAUUGCUGAAAGAGCGUUGUCAGAAUCCAAAUGGCGAAGACUGGCCAAAGAUUGCUCACAUCCGAGAACUGAAUGUUUGGUCAUAAGAUGAGUCACAAGUUCAAAAUUAGACGUGCACCUAUUUCAAUUUGUCUGCCACUUCAACAGGUUAUAAUUCUCCACAAUAUCUUUGUAUCUUUUUUCUAACAAUUUUCUUAGUUGCAAACGGUAACUCUAUAAUUGCCAUUUUCCAAACAAGAGCAGCACAUGUUAUACUUAAACUGAUGAUAUUUAUUAAAGGAGGCUCUGCUACGAUUUUCAUGAAUCAAUUACUUUUAUUUUAUUCUUAUUUUCGUGCAAGAUUAUUUCAAUUGUUCUGUUGAAAUUAAAUUCCAACCAAAUGUGUUUCCUAUUUUUAGAAUACUACGAAAAUCGUGAAGGUGGUCUGGCAUUUGGCAUCCAUUCCGAACAGAGUAUUCUGUAGUUGGAAGUUAUGGUGGCAUCAUCUUCCUUUUUCUAGCUAUCUAAGUAUAUUUGUUUUCAUAGCCACAUUUUUUCUUCUGACAAAAAAGAUGAACUUAAACUUAAUAAUAGAUCACUGAAGCUAAAUGAUCCCAAAAUAGAAGUCAUGGGUUUUGAGUGGAGGAAAGAUGAAUGGAAACUACUGUGGACAUAAGGGACCUUAUGUAUCUAAGGAACUUGUAAUUGGAAUUUAAAAGUAUUUUUAUACGACUUUUUACUUUAUUAAAAAGCUCUUGUGACAUUCCAUCAAUGAAGACUGAGUUUUACAGAAAACAUAGUAAUAGAAAUAGCUUGAAUAUUGUUCAGAAUAUGAGUGUUAAGCUGCCAAACCCUCAUGAAGUUCUUUGGUGACAACCAAACUGCUAUGCAUAAUGAACCUAAACUGAGAAAAUUUCAGUAAUAUUUUGAAAACAGGGUCUAAUGUGUAAGGCCAUGCAUCCAUCCAUUUUAGUGUUCACCCAUACAAUCUCUUACAAUGAUUGGUAUAUGUCAUUUUACAAUGUCUUCACUUCACUUCUAGUAAUUGCUCUAGGUGUUUUUGAUUACUACACAUUUUUUAUAAUUGCUAUAUGAUCAACACCAAAGUUUAUAUUUAUUAUUUCCUUUUGUAAAAGUCUUGGUUCUGCCUUAAGGCAAUGGAAAAAUGAUUUUGCUAGCAGUGAGGUUCCUACAUUCACUUAAAAUAUACUAUUACUUAUUUGAUAUUUUUAAAGGUCUGUUUCUCUAGUUUCUUUGUGCCUAAAUACAUCUGCUUUGAAUGUAGAGUUCUUCACAAAGCAUUAUCAACUUUGAUGUAAAAUUCACCUAAACACUCUGAAGGCCUUGUUUUUUCUCUUACCCAGGUGUUUUAACUACUACACUUUUUCAACUAUUUAACAAAACUAGCUUGUACCUUUUCCCCCUCCCUCUCGUUACAAAUAGUUUUUCUAUUUUGUGGAAGAAAACUAUUCACACUCAAUGUCAAUUGGUUUUAAGAUGAAAUCUAACAUGCCAUUAGAGCCUAUAUACCAUCUAUGUGAGUUGCCUAUUUUUUUAAGCAUUACUUUUUUUUUUCUAACAUUCCCACUACAAGAAAAUAAUUAAAUAGAAACUAAUUUUAGACACUAAAAAUAAUUAGUUGUUGUAUUAACUAAAUUAGAUACUAGUUUAGAGACUAAAAAAGUUAUUGAUUUCUAAAUUAGUUUCUAUUAUGGAUAAAUAGUUUCUAAAUUGGUAUCUAAUUAACUAACAAGGUUUUAACUACCAAUUAUUUAGAUUCUAAAUUUAGUAGCAAAAUCCAAAUUAUUUAUCUACUGAUUUCUUCUGUGGCUCUUGAUUUUAGAUAAUGAUUUGUUAAGAGCCAAGAUGCUGUGCUAAUCAAUAACCAUAUUGUCUGUUUUACAGUAUCCUGUUCUAUAUCUAGAGGGAGUAGAAGACACCCUCUUCAGCUGGCCCAGGAUUCUUGGGUAGAUGUUGAAUGGAGUCCUUAGUUCUUUAGUGAUCUUCUUCUUAACCACUAAUUCUGUGUUGAAUCAAGCCUUCAGAAGAGAUGGUAAGGUGGUUGAUUUUGAAAUACUUGGGGUCACAAUGUAUACAUGUGUGGUGUGGACUGUGAAUUGCCAAAUGGCACUAUCCAUCAAUUACUUUACUUGGAUACAACAUUUUUUUAUAUGGGGCAGCAUUGUCUUCUGGUAUGUGUUUGUGUUGGUCUGUGGUUACCUCUCUCCAGCAAUAUCCACAACAGCUUACAGGGUUUUUGUGGAAGCAUGUGCUCCUAGUGCUCUAUAUUGGCUAGUAACCCUUUUGGUUGUUGUGUGUGUUCUGCUACCCUAUUUCUCCUAUAGCUCUUUGCAAAGUCGGUUUCUACCAAUGUACCAUGAUAUUAUACAGAGAGAACAAGUAGAAGAGAUUUAAAUUGGGUUAUCAGAUGAUGAGUUACCUAAACAGGUCCAGGGAAAACUAAUACACCUCAGAGAGAAAGAUUGAAGCAAAGGGAGUUGUGAAAUGUAAAUGCUUCUAAACAUACAUUCUUAGACCUUGGAAUUUUAUUUGAUUUCUUUCUGAGUUGGGAAGUGGCAUUGAAGUAGUGAGCAUUGCAAAUAGCUUUUAGUUUUUUAUUUCUUUUCCUCCUGAUUUCCAUUUGUUUAGAAAAUUAGGAGAGGAGAAUUUUUGUAGCAGUCACCUGAUGUAGAUUAGCUGUGUAAAGCUUGAGUAUUUGUUGUAUUUGUUAAGGGAAGAAGCAAUAGAUAUUUUACAUGUUCUAAGAUUAAGAGGGUUUGAUUUUCAAACUGGUGUAUAGUAAAUACAUAUUGGAAGAAAGAAAGUUUAGUAUUUUGGUUAGAUGAGAUAGGACCAUGCUUGUGCUGACUUUAAGAUGAAAGGAAAUCUAAGAAGUAUGAAUAAAAACUCAACAAUAUAAUGAACACUUUUUUCUUUCUUUAUCAUCAAAGAAUUAAAGGAAUUAAAAGAAGGGGUGUUCCAACCAUAUAAAAAAAAUUCAACAAUAUAAUGAACACUUAAAUAAGAGUGACAUAAACAAAAGGCUAAGGUACAUAAACAUGCAUUAAUCCAAAUUGAAUCCAGUUACUAAUUUUGUCCACUUUGGCCAUCUGCAAAGAUUGAACUAAGUAGAUAACUGACACUCCUAAAAAAGAGAAUAAGAAUUUUUAUAGAGAGAGGACAUUGUUGCAACAUGUUAUUAAAAAAGACUUAAAGCUUAAAGAGAUAAUUGUUUUCUGUCUUCACUGUAAUAUAACUGCAGGGUAUGAGGCUAUAAAAUUCUACAACUUGUCAUAGAUAAAUCAAAAUAUCAUGAAAAUCAUCAAUACCACUUAUUUAAAUGGAUUGCUUAACAAUCUCAGGAAGUAAGAUGAAAUUCAAUUAGGAAAUGUUUUUGUAAGAUUGUGACUUCAACUCUCUAAAUUUUAUACACUCGUAAUGUCUUUACAACAGGCACCAUUUCAGAAAAACAACAUUGAAAAUAUUUGCUUAAUAUAUUUUUAGGAAAUCUUUAAGUUUUUUAAAAAUAUCUCUUACAUAAAGAUAAAAAUAUAUUCAUUUAUUAUUUAGAUUUAGGAAAUUCAAAUUGAGAUAUUGUUAAUACUUGAUAUUUUGUUAUAUUUUACUAUAAAUCAAACUCCUCCAUAUCAUAGAUCUUUUAUAUUUUCAAACUAUAUUAAGUGAUUAAUAAAGAGACAAAGAAAGACGAUAAACCAAAUUAAGUGAAUAACGAAAGGAUGCGAAUUAGUACAUCAACUAAAUUUGCACGAGUAUAAUAUAAAUGUUGCAUAAAAGAUAUUAUUUGAAGUCAGAUAUUAUCCAAGCAAUUAAAAUUUUGGUUUCGAACUACUGUCAGAUUUGACUCAUCAUUUAUUAUUUCACCUAAUGAUCAGACAUACAUUCAUGGAUUACAGUUGUGAACAAAUAUUGCAUUGUACUUUCAUUCAUCACAACCCUUGAAUGAAUAUCCAACUGCUCACAUUUUAUAUUGGUUGAGUUGCCAUUAAAGAAAAAGAUGUUCUUAAAGUCAAGUCAUCCUUUCUAACUGAUCAUUAACAUCACUAUAGCAUUCAUCCCUGCACUGAAUCCAUUCACUUCAUUUCCAACUUCUACCAUGGGAGCAGAACUUGUUGGUGGUGCUCUUCUUUCUGCCUUUCUUCAGGUUGCAUUCGACAGGCUCGCUUCUCCUCAAUUUCUAGACUUCUUUCAUGGAAGAAAACUUGAUGAGAAGCUCCUCGGCAAAUUGAACAUCAUGCUGCACUCCAUCAAUGCUCUUGCUGAUGAUGCAGAACUAAGGCAGUUCACAGAUCCAAACGUCAAAGCAUGGCUUUUCGCUGUCAAAGAGGCUGUCUUUGAUGCAGAGGAUCUUUUGGAUGAAAUAGACUAUGAACUCACCAGAUGCCAAGUCGAAGCUCAAUUCGAACCUCAAACCUUUACUUACAAGGUAUCAAAUUUCUUCAACUCUACUUUCAGUUCAUUUAACAAGAAAAUUGAAUCAGGGAUGAAAGAAGUCUUGGAGAAACUAGAAUAUCUUGCAAACCAAAAGGGUGCUCUUGGUUUGAAGGAGGGUACUUAUUUUGGUGGUGAUGGAUCUGGUAGUAAAGUGUCACACAAAUUGCAAUCAACUUUUUUGGUGGUUGAAAGUGUUAUUUAUGGCAGAGAUGCUGACAAAGAUAUAAUCAUUACUUGGCUUACAUCGGAAACCGACAAUCCUAACCAGCCAUCAAUACUUUCCAUUCUGGGCAUGGGUGGCUUGGGUAAGACCACACUCGCCCAACAUAUGUAUAACGACCCAAAGAUCGACGAUGCAAAAUUUGAUAUCAAAGCUUGGGUCUGUGUUUCUGAUCAUUUUCAUUUUUUGACUGUGACAAGAACAAUUCUAGAGGCAAUCACAAAUCAAAAAAAUGAUAGUGGGAACCUAGAAAUGAUUCACAAAAAGCUGAAAGAAAAAUUGUCAGGAAGAAAAUUUCUUCUUGUUUUGGAUGAUGUUUGGAACGAAAAACCAGCAGAAUGGGAAGCUGUGCGAACUCCUCUUAGCUAUGGGGUUCAAGGAAGUAGAAUUCUUGUCACAACUCGUGGUGAGAAGGUUGCUUCUAACAUGAAGUCUAAAGUGCAUCGCCUAAAGCUAUUAGGAGAGGAUGAAUGCUGGAAUGUUUUUGCAAAUCACGCAUUAAAAGAUGGUGAUCAUGAAUUGAAUGAUGAGCUAAAGGAGAUUGGUAGAAGGAUAGUUGAGAAGUGCAAUGGACUGCCUCUAGCUUUGAAAACAAUUGGAUGUCUUUUACGCACAAUGUCAUCCAUUUCAGAUUGGAAAAACAUAUUGGAAAGUGACAUAUGGGAGUUACCAAACGAGAACAAUGAAAUUAUUCCUGCAUUAUUUUUGAGCUAUCGCUAUCUUCCUUCUCAUCUUAAAAGGUGUUUUACUUAUUGUGCCUUAUUUCCCAAAGAUUAUGAAUUUGUGAAGGAGGAGUUAAUUUUGUUGUGGAUGGCCCAAAAUUUUCUACAAAGUCCACAACAUAUUAGACAUCAAGAAGAAGUUGGUGAACAGUACUUCAAUGAUCUAUUGUCAAAGUCUUUCUUUCAACACUCAGGUGUCAAGAAGUGUUUUGAGCAAUCACAUGCUAGGAGGUGUUUCGUCAUGCAUGACCUUCUGAAUGAUUUGGCAAAAUAUGUUUGUGCGGAUUUCUGUUUCAGGUUGAAAUUCGAUAAAGGCUGAUAUAUACCGAAAACAACUCGUCAUUUUUCAUUUGAAUUAUGUGACGUCAAAAGUUUUGAUGGUUUUGAGAGUUUAAUUGAGUCUAAAAGACUUCGUUCAUUUCUUUCUAUCUCACCAUAUUGGGAACCUCAAUGGCAAUUCAAGAUUUCAAUACAUGAUUUAUUCUCUAAGAUUAAGUUCGUACGUGUCUUAUCUUUUAAUGGUUGUAAGAAACUUAAAGAGAUCCCGAAUUCUAUAAGUGAUCUUAAACAUCUUUAUUCGUUAGAUCUUUCGUGUGCUGAGAUACAAAAGCUACCUGACUCGAUAUGUUUUCUCUAUAACUUAUUAAUACUGAAGUUGAACUAUUGUUCAAAGUUGGAGGAGUUGCCCUUCAAUUUGCAUAAACUUACCAAAUUGCGUUGUUUGGAAUUUGUACAUACAAAAGUAACAAAGAUGCCAAAGCAUUUUGGAGAAUUGAAGAAUCUUCAAGUACUGAGUACAUUUUUCGUGGAUAGAAAUAGUGAGCUAAUUACUAAGCAACUAGGCGGAUUAGGAGGACUCAAUCUUCAUGGAAGGCUAUCAAUCAAUGACGUGCAAAAUAUUUUGAAUCCUUUGGAUGCAUUAGAAGCAAAUGUGAAAGAUAAACACCUUGUGGAGUUAGAAUUAGAAUGGAAGUCGGACCAUAUCUCUGAUGAUCCAAGGAAAGAAAAGGAAGUACUUCAGAAUCUACAACCCUCCAAACACUUGGAGCAUUUGUCAAUCUGGAACUAUAAUGGUACAGAAUUCCCAAGUUGGGUAUUCGAUAAUUCGUUAUCAAAUCUGGUGUUCUUAAAGUUGGAGGACUGUAAAUACUGCCUAUGUUUGCCUUUCCUUGGAAAUUUGUCGUCACUGAAAACCCUACGAAUUAUAGGGCUUCAUGGAAUAGUGACCAUUGGUACUGAAUUUUAUGGGAGCAACUCUUCAUUUGCAUGCUUGGAGAGUCUGUCAUUCUACAAUAUGAAGGAAUGGGAAGAAUGGGAGUGUAAAACUACUUCUUUUCCACGUCUUCAAGAGCUUUGUGUGGAUAAAUGUCCCAAACUGAAAGGUACUUAUUUAAAGAAAGUAGUUGUUAGUGAUGAGCUCACAAUUAGCGGAAACAGUAUAAACACAUCGUCGCCAGAAACCAUGCAUAUUGAUGGAGGCUACGACUCUCUUACAAUCUUUCGACUAGAUUUCUUUCCAAAGCUCCGUUCUCUUGAACUGAGAGACUGCCAAAACCUAAGAAGAAUUUCACAGGAGUACGCUCAUAAUCAUCUCAUGGAUCUAUGUAUUUAUGAUUGUCCUCAAUUUAAGUCAUUCUUGUUUCCCAAACCCAUGCAAAUCCUGUUUCCGUCCCUUACCACGCUUCAGAUAACUUUUUGUCCACAAGUGGAAUUGUUCCCAGAUGGAAGUUUGCCAUUGAAUUUAAAAGAGAUGUCUCUUUCACGUUUAAACCUUAUCGCCUCCUUGAGAGAGACCUUGGAUCCCAACACAUGUCUUGAACGCUUGUCUAUUGAAGAUUUGGACGUGGAGUGUUUUCCUGAUGAAGUUUUACUGCCACGCUCUCUCACCUCUCUACUAAUCCAAUAUUGCCCAAAUCUUAAAAAGAUGCACUACAAGGGUCUCUGCCACCUCUCCUCUCUCACACUUCUUGAUUGUCCCAACCUUCAAGCCUUACCAGCGGAGGGUCUCCCCAAAUCCAUCUCUUCUCUUACAAUCUGGGGUUGUCCAUUGUUGAAGGAACGUUGUCAGAAUCCAGAUUGCGAAGACUGGGGAAAGAUUGCUCACAUCCAAGGACGGCAUGUUUGAUCAUAAGAUGAGUCCCAAGUUCAAAAUUAGACGUGCACCUAUUUCAAUUUGUCUGCCACUUCAACAGGUUCUAAUUCUCCACAAUAUCUUUCUACCUUUUCGAUUACAAUUUUCUUAGUUGCAAACGGUAACCCUAUAAUUGCCAUUUUCCAAACACGAGCAGCACAUGUUAUACUUAAACUGAUGAUAUUUAUUAAAGGAGGCUCUGCUACGAUUUUCAUGAAUCAAUUACUUUUAUUUUAUUCUUAUUUUCGUGCAAAAUUAUUUCAAUUUUCUGUUGAAAUUAAAUUCCAACCAAAUGGGUUUCCUAUUUUUAGAAUACCACGAAAAUCGUGAAGGUGGUCUGGCAUUUGGCAUCCAUUCCGAACAGAGUAUUCUGUAGUUGGAAGUUAUGGUGGCAUCAUCUUCAUUUAUCUACCUAUCUAAGUAUAUUUGUUUUCAUAGCUACAUUUUUUCCUUCUAUCUUCUUAUAUCAUGCUACUACAGUUUCUGACAGAAAAAAUGAACUUAAACUUAAUAAUAGAUCACUGAAACUGGACAAAAAAUUAUCCCAAGAAUGAAGUUAUGGGUUUUGAGUGAGGAAAGAUGAAUGGAAACUGCAGUGGACAUAAGGUACAUGCUGUAUCUAAGGAACUUGUAAUUGGAAUUUGAAAGUAUUUUUAAACCAAUUUUUUCUUUAUUAAAAAGCUCUUGUGAUAUUCCAUCAAGAUUUUUAAACAUUAAAAGAAGUCUUGUGGUGUUCAAUCAGACUGAGUUUUACAGAAAAAUUAGUAAUAGAAAUAGCUUUGAAUAUUGUCAAUGCUUGGGUUGUCAAAACAUAUAAUCACAUCUACAUAUGCAGGUGUGCAACAGGCUGAGGGAAGACAACAUUAUCUAUCAGCAAUGCUCAGAAUAAGCUGCCAAACCCUCAUGAAGUUCUUUGGUGACAACCAAACUGCUAUGCAUAAUGAACUAAACUGAGAAAAUUUCAGUAAUAUUUUUAGAACAGGGUCUAAUGUAUUUGUUUAUGGAAGAAGGUUUAGAUAUUUUAAAAUAGAUUUUACCUGUGACAGCAUAAAACCAAGACAAAUAAAUAGACUAAAAUAUUAUGCAAAGUACUAAGCCAUGUACCAAAUACUAUGCCAGGCACUGAUAAUGCUGCAUGCUAUAAUUAUAUAAACCAGGACAAUCAAACUUUUCCCCCAGCACUCAUUAUGCCACUAACUCUCUAGAACAAACAAAAACUAGAUGAAAUUAAGGGUAAAAGAUUUCAAACCAGAUAUGAAAUUUGAAUGAAAGAAAUUCAACAGUUCAAACGUGAUUGUUUGAAAUUCAGCACAAUAGAUAUUAAAGAAAUAAGACCCUUUCCUUCUCCAUGCAUUGUUUCCUAAAUAUAUAUAUAUAUAUAUAUAUAAAUAUAAAAGGAAAAUUAUGACUGCUAUGUUAAUAUCAACAUGUUUGCUCUAUAAUUUAUAGUAUUUGCUGAUAAAAAAAAUGUUUGCUCUGUAAUUUGGCUAACGAGUAAGAUGAAACACCAGUUAAAGAGGUAAUCCUAUAUACUGAUUCUUGUAUUAGAAGAAGAAAAAAAUUGUCAUAUAACAUAAUACAUGAAAGAACUCCCAAGAAUAAACUAUAAUAAUAUUAAUAAUAUAAGAUAAUAGUCUAUCCUUAUAAAAGGAAAAAAAAAAAAAGCAGAACAAGGUGACAAGAUGGAGUGCAGAAGGUUAGUGGAAAAAGAUGACUUCUGUCUUGUAACCUUAAUUAACUCAAAACAAUUAGUUAAAGAAUUGAAAUUUGGAUGCAACUUUCUUGCAAUCUUUCGGGUAGAUUUCAUUCCGGAGCUCCGUAUACUCCUUCUGAUAAAUUCGAAAUAUUGAUAGCUAAUUAGAUACUAAUUUAAUAAUUAUUUAAUAAUAAUAAAAAAAUUUAGAAAUUAAAAAAAAAUUAAUUUCUAAAAUGAUAUCUAAUUUAGUUAUUAUUGUAAUUAAUUAUUUUGAUAUCUAAAAAUUGAUUUUUAUGUCAUGAGUUUUUUAGUGUUCUACUUUAUAUAUUGUAUAUGAAAAAAUAAAUCAAACUCCUCCUUAUCAUAUAUCUUUUAUAUUUUCAAACUAUAUCAAGUGAUAAAUAAAGAGCCAAAGAAAGACCGAUAAACUUACCAAAUUAAGUGAAUAAGGAAAGAAUGCGAAUUAGUACAUCAACUAAAUUUGCAUGAAUAUAAUAAUUGUUGCAUAAAAGAUAUUAUUUGAACUCAGAUAUUAUCCAAGCAAUCAAAAUUUUGGUUUGGAACUUUUGUCAACACUUUUCUUCUCAGAAACAGUCAACAAUUAUUGCUUCAUUGGGGCCCACAACCCUCUUCCCAUUCGUUCAUUCAUUAGAACCCUUGAAUGAAUAUCCAAUAGCUCACAUUUUCUAUUGGUUGAGUUGCCAUUAAAGAAAAAUAUGAUCUUAAAGUCAAGUCCUCCUUUCUAACUACUCUUUUCAUUCAUCACUGUAUCAUUCAUUCCUGCACUCAAUUCAUUUCACUUCAUUUCCAACUCCUUCCUACCAUGGCAGCAGAACUUGUUGGUGGUGCUCUUCUUUCGGCCUUUCUUCAGGUUGCAUUCGAUAGGCUCGCUUCUCCUCAACUUCUAGACUUCUUUCGUGGAAGAAAACUUGAUGAGAAGCUUCUCGACAAUUUGAACAUCAUGCUUCACUCCAUCAAUGCUCUCGCUGAUGAACUAAAGCAGUUCACACAUCCACACGUCAAAGCAUGUGUUAGCAUUAAACUCAGCCUUCAGCCGUAAUUAGUUUUAUUUUAGCAUCUGAAUAGCCAAUAAUUAUUAUCUUUAAUUCUAGUUUUGAAUGUCAUUUAUACUAUGAUUUAAAUGUAAAUUAUAGUAUAGGUUUUAUGAGAGAGAAGGUAGAAUUUUGAGAAGUCUAUUGUAAGACUAUUUAGAGAGAUUGUAUUCUUAUUUGAAAAACAGUAGUGAAAUAAAAUAUAUAUUUCCUGUUCACAAAUAUCUUGCUCUGUUUUAUUCCCUCAACACCAACAAUUGGUAUCAUAGCUAUUUUCUUGAGGGAUCUGUGAGGUUAGUAGAGUGCACCAAUGGAAGGAGGAUCAAAUUUUUCAACAAUGGCACCACCUGUCUUUGAUGGAGACAAUUAUCAAAUGUGGGUUGUUCGUAUGGAGACUUACCUAGAAGCAUUGGAUUUAUGGAAAGCUGUAGAAGAGGACUAUGAAAUUCAGUCCCUUCCAAAAAAACCCUACGGUGGCACAAAUAAAAUCACAGAAGGAAAAAAAGAUAAAGAAAUCAAAGACAAAAGCAUGUUUAUUUGCAGUUGUAUCUCCUAUGGUAUUCACAAGGAUAAUGUCCUUGGAGUCAGCAAAAGAAAUAUGGGAUUACCUCAAGGCAAAAUAUGAAGGUGAUGAGAGGAUUCGUGGAAUGCAAACUCUGAAUCUAAUCAGAGAGUUUGAAUUGCAGAGAAUGAAGGAGUCGGAAUCCGUAAAAGAGUACUCGGACAAACUUCUAAGCAUUGCCAACAAAGUGAGGUUGCUUGGAUCUGUGUUAAAAGAUUCAAGAAUUGUGGAAAAACUGCUUGUAACAGUUCCAGAGAGGUUUGAAGCCACCAUAACAACCCUGGAGAACACAAAGGACCUAUCAAAGAUUUCUCUUGCAGAGCUCUUAAAUGCUUUACAAGCACAAGAACAAAUGAGAGCCAUGAGACAAGAUGGAGCAAUAGAAGGAGCCUUACUAGUCAAACAUGAAGGUGGAUGGNNNNNNNNNNNNNNNNNNNNNNNNNNNNNNNNNNNNNNNNNNNNNNNNNNNNNNNNNNNNNNNNNNNNNNNNNNNNNNNNNNNNNNNNNNNNNNNNNNNNNNNNNNNNNNNNNNNNNNNNNNNNNNNNNNNNNNNNNNNNNNNNGAGCAACAAGAUGUAGAUGCUCAAAUUGCAAAUGAGGAGGAGGAUGUACUUUUCGUUGCAACUGGUUUUUGCAGCAAUAUUUCAAGUGCAUCUUGGUUAAUUGACAGUGGCUGCACCAACCACAUGACACAUGAUAAGGAACUCUUCAAGGAAUGGAGAACUACUGAUAUUAAAAGGGUGAGGAUUGGAAAUGGUGCAGUAAAAGGAAAAGGCACAAUAGCUAUCACAAGCUAUAAAGGUAUAAAAAUCAUUACAGAUGUUCUUUUUGUGCCAGAGAUUGAUCAAAAUCUUUUGAGUGUUGGUCAAUUGUUGGAAAAAGGCUAUAAGGUGAUGUUUGAAAAUAAACAUUGUUUAAUCAAAGAUGUUGAUGCCAGAUAUUUGUUUAAAGUUGAAAUGAAGGGAAACCGAGACUGCCAAAUCCAAUGGAGGAGGAGCACAUUGCCUUAAAAUCCAAAGAAAAUGUCACAGAAAUUUAUGUACCUGACUUGAAGAAUAAUAUUCUCGGUAUGGGAAAAUUAUUGGAGAGUGUUGAAGCAAAAUUUGAUAACCUGGAAAAAAGGUUUACAAAAUUGGAAGAAAAAUAUGUUGAUAUGGAGAAAGACAAGGAAAGUAGAGUCAAUCAAGUUGAAGAACUCCAUUUGUUGCUUUUGGCACAAAAAGAAAAGGUGAAUGAAUUACAAUUCAAAUUAAAAGCCCCUUUUGGUUCAUGUGUUUUACUUGAAAAUAAUGGUUUUGACUUAGGAGAAGACCAUAAAUGGAAUGGUGUUGAGACAUCAUCUGAAAGGGAAAUAUGGUAUAAUCAUUAUCUUCGAAGCUCAUUGAAGUCAAAGUCUUUCUUAAAUCCUUUUUAAUUCAAAGGGUGAAAGUGGAAAGAUUUUGUUUGGAAAAUUAAAAGUAAUUCAAUUCAAAAUUAUGCACGGAUUGAUGCAGUGAAGAAAAAUAUUGGAGGCAGUGUGAGCGAUGACAAUCAGAAAAGCAACAAUCUGAAUGAAUAAUAUGAAAUGUUUGAGUUUAAGGGGGAAUUUGUUAACAUUAAACUCAAAGCCUUCAGCCGUCAUCAAUUUUAUUUUAGCAUCUGAAUAGACAAUAAUUAUUAUCUUUAAUUCUAGUUUUGAAUGUCAUUUAUACUAGGAUUUAAAUGUAAAUUAUAGUAUAGGUUUUAUGAGAGAGAAGGUAGAAUUUGAGAAGUCUAUUGUAAGACUAUUUAGAGAGAUUGUAUUCCUAUUUGAAAAACAGUAGUGAAAUCAAAUAUAUAUUUUCUGUUCACAAAUAUCUUGCUCUGUUUUAUUCCCUCAACACCAACAACAUGGCUUCGUGCUGUCAAAGAGGUUGUCUUUGAUGCAGAGGAUCUUUUGGUGAAAUAGACUAUGAACUCACCAGAUGCGAAGUCGAAGCUCAAUCCCAACCUCAAACCUUUACUUACAAGGUAUCGAAUUUCUUCUACUCUACUUUCAGUUCAUUUAACAAGAAAAUUGAAUCAGAGAUGAAAGAAGUAUUGGAGAAACUAGAAUAUCUUGCAAAGCAAAAGGGUGCUCUUGGUUUAAAAGAUUGUACUUAUUCAGGUGAUGGAUCAAGUAGUAAAGUGCCACAAAAAUUUGGUGGUUGAAAGUGUUAUUUAUGGUAGAGAUGCUGACAAAGAUAUAAUCAUUAAUUGGCUCACAUCUGAAACCGACAAUCCUAACCACCCAUCAAUACUUUCCAUUGUGGGCAUGGGUGGCUUGGGUAACACACUUGCCCAGCAUGUGUACAAUGACCCAAAGAUCGAAGAUGCAAAAUUUGAUAUCAAAGCCUGGGUUUAUGUUUCUGAUCACUUUCAUGUUUUGACCGUGACAAGAACAAUUCUUGAGACAGUGACUGAUAAAACUGAUGAUAGUAGGAACCUAGAAAUGGUUCACAAAAAACUGAAAGAAAAAUUGUCAGGAAGGAAAUUUCUUCUUGUUUUGGAUGAUGUUUGGAACGAAAGACGAGAAGAAUGGGAAGUUGUGCGAACUUCUCUUAGCUAUGGGGCUCCAGGAAGUAGAAUUCUUGUCACAACUCGUGGGGAGAAAGUUGCUUCCAGCAUGAGGUCUGAAGUGCAUCUUCUAAAGCAAUUACGAGAGGAUGAAUGCUGGAAAGUUUUUGAAAAUCAUGCAUUAAAAGAUGAUCUUGAAUUGAAUGAUGAGUUAAUGAAGGUGGGUAGAAGGAUAGUUGAGAAGUGCAAGGGAUUACCUCUAGCUCUGAAAACAAUUGGAUGUCUUUUACGCACAAAGUCAUCCAUUUUAUAUUGGAAAGUGACAUAUGGGAGUUACCAAAAGAACACAGUGAAAUUAUUCCUGCGAUAUUUUUGAGCUAUCGCUAUCUUCCUUCUCAUCUUAAAAGAUGCUUUGCUUAUUGUGCCUUAUUUCCCAAAGAUUAUGAGUUUGUGAAGGAGGAGUUAAUUUUGAUGUGGAUGGCCCAAAAUUUUCUACAAAGUCCACAACAGAUUAGACAUCCAGAAGAAGUUGGUGAAGAGUACUUCAAUGAUCUACUGUCAAGGUCUUUUUUUGAACAAUUAGGUGCCUAGAGACGUUUCGUCAUGCAUGAUCUUCUGAAUGAUUUGGCAAAAUAUGUAUGUGCGGAUUUCUGUUUCAGGUUGAAAUUUGAUAAAGGUCGAUGUAUACCGAAAACAACCCGUCAUUUUUCAUUUGAGUUACGUGACGUCAAAAGUUUUGAUGGUUUUGAGAGUUUAAUUGAUGCUAAAAGGCUUCGUUCAUUUCUUCCUAUCUCAAAAUUUUGGGAAAUUCAAUGGCAUUUCAAGAUUUCCAUACAAGAUUUGUUUUCCAAUAUUAAGUUUAUACGCAUGUUAUCUUUCUGUGGUUGUUCAUUCCUUAAAGAGGUCCCGGAUUCUGUAGGUGAUCUUAGACAUCUCCAUUCGUUAGAUCUUUCGUGGUGUGAUGCGAUACAAAAAGCUACCUAACUCGAUAUGUUUGCUUUACAACUUACUAAUACUGAAGUUGAACCAUUGUUUAGAGUUGGAGGAAUUGCCAAUUUUCAUAAACUUACCAAAUUGUGUUGUCUGGAAUUUAGAGAUACAAAAGUCACAAAAAUGCCAAUGCAUUUUGGAGAAUUGAAGAAUCUUCAAGUACUGAGUACAUUUUUCGUGCAUAGAAACAAUGAGCUAAUUACUAAGCAAAUGAGAGGAUUGGGAGGACUCAAUCUUCAUGGAAGACUAUCAAUCAAUGAAGUGCAUAAUAUUUUGAAUCCUUUGGAUGCAUUAGAAGCAAAUGUGAAAGAUAAACACCUUGUGGAGCUAGAAUUAGAAUGGAAAUCAAACCACAUCCCUGAUGAUCCAAGGAAAGAAAAGGAGGUACUUCAGAAUCUACAACCCUCCAAACACUUGGAGCGUUUGUCAAUCUUGAACUAUAAUGGUACAGAAUUCCCAAGUUGGGUAUUCGAUAAUUCGUUAUCAAAUCUAGUGUUCUUAAAGUUGGAGGACUGUAAAUACUGCCUAUGUUUGCCUUCCCUUGGAAUUUUGUCGUCACUGAAAACCCUACAAAUUGUAGGGCUUGAUGGAAUAGUAAGCAUUGGUGCUGAAUUUUAUGGGAGCAACUCUUCAUUUGUAUCUUUAGAGAGGUUGAAAUUCCACAAUAUGAAGGAAUGGGAAGAAUGGGAGUAUAAAACUACUUCUUUUCCACGUCUUGAAUGGCUUUAUGUGAAUGAAUGUCCCAAACUGAAAGGUCUUCAUUUAAAGAAAGUAGUUGUUAAUGAUGAGCUCAGAAUUAGCGGAAACAGUAUGGACACAUCGCCGCUUGAAACAGUAUGGCUCAGCUACUUUUUCAUGAAUCAAUUACUUCUAUUUUACUCUUAUUUUCGUGCAAAAUUAUUUCAUUUUUUCUGUUGAAAUUAAAUUCCAACCAAAUGUGUUUCCUAUACUUAGAAUACUACGAAAAUCGUGAAGGUGGUCUGACAUUUGGCAUCCAUUCCAAACAAAGUAUUUGUUUUCAUAGCCACAUUCUUCCUUCUAACUUCUUAUUUCAUGCUACUACAGUUUCUGACAAAAAAAAGUGAACUUAAACUUGAUCAUAGAUCACUGAAACUAAACGAUCCCAAGAAUGAAGUUAUGGGUUGAGUGGAGGAAAGAUGAAUGAAAACUUCAAUGGACACAAGGGACAUUCUGUAUCUAAAGAAUCAAGACUUUUAAACAUUAAAAUAAGUCUUAUGGUGUUCAAUCAAGACUGAGUUUUACAGAAAAAAGAGUAAUAGAAAUAGCUUGAAUAUUGUCAAUGCUUAGGUUGUCAAAACAUUAUCAUCACAUCAGCCAAAAAAUACAACAGCCUCAGGGAAGACAACAAACUGCUAUGCAUAAUGAACCUAAACUGAGAAAAUUUCAGUAAUAUUUUGAAAACAGAUUCUAAUGUGUAAGGCCAUGCAUCCAUGCCUUUUAGUGUUCACCCACACAACGUUGUCAUGCUCCAAUUUUAGUUUCCUUAAUAUUCUGAUCUUGAGACUCAAGCAAAUAAAUGUAACACAACUGUCUAAUAGAAAAACAACUUUAUACUCCAUUGGUUCAGUAGUGUGAGUUAUUGAAAACCUUCUGCUACUUGUGUUCGAUUCCAACCAUUAGGAAAAACAAUCAUACACUUGCUAGUUAGUACAAUUAAUGCAUGAGUUCAACUAAAUAAAAUAAAUACCUGGGAUGAGAAAUAUCUUAAUUAUAAUUUUUUUUAUCGACAAUGAGUAAAUAAAUUAAAAGAUGGGUAAGAUUCUAUACCUCAUUUGCUAGUCACCUGCUACUAUUUAUGAUGGAUACACUCAUUCUUUCUUGAUUUUUAAGUUAAUGAUUUAAAUGGAACAAUGUGCUAAUGCUUUUGUUUCUACCUUAUUUCUUCUACAGGUCUUCCAAAGUUGGUUUGUAGCAGUGUAUCAUAAAUUAUAAUGAGAAAAUAACUACAAGGGCUUGAAAUUGGGUUCUGAUGAGGAAUUGGAAUGUGAAGCAAACUGUUUUGUUGAACCUCUUAGUGGGUCUAUUUGCUUUUAAAUUUGUCUUUAAAGGAAUAAAAUAGAACCCACUUUUCUUAUUUGCAGGCUACUGUUUCAAUUAGAAUUUUGCCACUUUCAAGGACUAAAAGUUUAAGGACUCUCUGAACAGCAACAACAAACUUACAGAAGUGUAAAGUUUCUUGUUGACCAAGUAUUGUCUUGUAUAGUUGGAGAUAAAAAGUGAUUAUUGGAAGCCAACAACUCUCUAGAAAUCUUGUAUAUUUAGAGUCUUUUUUACCAAUGAAGAUUUUCUUCGACUCCCUCUCACUUCGCUAAAUACAUGUGAUUGUGCAUGUCCAGACUCAUCACUCCCUCUCUCAGAGGCAUGUUACCACUCAGGCCUUCUAAAUUUUGAUUAAAUAUAUUUAAUACAAAAAUGUUCAAAAUAAUCUCCAAGUAGUAUUACCCUUUUUGGUCAGAACUAAAAAACUAAUCUCUUGUGAUAUAUUAAAGAGAUAAUCACUUUUGAUACAUUUUUUUGGUAAGUACGAAUUUGAGAUCAAAUUUUUGACCACAUAUUUAAGAGAGAAAGUUACAUGCUAAAUAUGUCACACUCUGUAGUUCUGUUAAGUUGUGAAUGUCAAUGGAAGACUUUGCUUCAUUUCUUCCAUAACCUUCCAGUAAACACAUCUUUCUCCUAAAUUUAUUUCUACACUUCUUUUGUAGAAGAAAGUUCGAUGAAGCACUGUUCAUAAAAUUAGUAAAGCUGAGUACUUGAACCAAAAGAGGCACAUGUAUUUGUUAAUGGAAGAAGCUUUAAAAAUUUUACAAUAUAUUUUACAUGUGCCAGCAUAAAACAAAACCAAUUUAUCCUCGUCAACAGUGAACUGAACUGUUAAAACUUGAAAUACAUAAAAAAACUGUUAAAAAAUUAUAUAUGGGUAUCUUCUUUCCACAAGUUGAAGCUAGAGAUAGAACAAGAAAAUAAAGACGUAUAACACACCAUUAUUGUCCGACUUUUAUUCAUUAAGUACGUUUGUGAUAUCAUAUCAGAAAAUAAACAAUUAUUUCUCGACUUUGGUUCUAUCGACCUUAUUCAACUCACAAAAACCAUUGAAUAUAAAACUAAUCAAACAUAAAAUAUGUAUCCAAUGUCUGAAACCCAACCAUCAAUCACUCUUUAUGAUUGGCUGAAUCUUUGAAUGCAACGAAUAAUUGUGGAAUUAAUCCUUAAGAAAGACUAUAUUGGCUGAGUAGACAUCAAAGAAAACUAUGUUCUAAAAUACUUUACUACUCAUCCUAUCAAUACAAACUGCAUUUCAACAUACUGAUUUCCAUCCUUCCAAUCAUUUUCCAAUUCCUGCCAUGGCAGCAGAACUUGUUGGUGGUGCUCUUCUUUCAGCCUUUCUUCAGGUUGCAUUCGACAGACUCGCUUCUCCUCAAUUUCUAGACUUCUUUCAUCGAAGAAAACUUGAUGAGAAGCUUCUCUGCAAUUUGAACAUCAUGCUGCACUCCAUCAAUGCUCUCGCUGAUGAUGCUGAACAGAAGCAGUACACAGCUCCACACGUCAAAGCAUGGCUUUUUGCUGCCAAAGAGGCUGUCUUUGAUGCAGAGGAUCUGUUGGGUGAAAUAGACUAUGAACUCACCAGAUGCCAAGUCGAAGCUCAAUCCGAACCUCAAACCUUUACUUACAAGGUAUCAAAUUUCUUCAACUCUACUUUCACUUCAUUUAACAAGAAAAUUGAAUCAGGGAUGAAAGAAGUCCUGGAGAAACUAGAAUAUCUUGCAAAGCAAAAGGGUGCUCUUGGUUUGAAAGAGGGUACUUAUUCUGAUGACAGAUUCGGUAGUACAGUGUCACAGAAAUUGCCAUCAUCAUCCUUGGUUGUUGAAAGUGUUAUUUAUGGCAGAGAUACGGACAAAGAAAUCAUACUUAGUUGGCUCACAUCUGAAAUCGACAAUCCUAGCCAGCCAUCAAUACUUUCCAUUGUGGGCAUGGGUGGCUUGGUUAAGACCACACUCGCCCAACAUGUGUACAAUCACCCAAAGAUUGAUGAUACAAAAUUUGAUAUCAAAGCCUGGGUCUGUGUUUCUGAUCAUUUUCAUGUUUUGACGGUGACCAGAACAAUUCUUGAGGCAAUCACUAAUAAACAAGAUGAUAGUGGGAACCUAGAAAUGCUUCACAAAAAAUUGAAAGAAAAUUUGUCAGGAAGGAAAUUUCUUCUUGUUUUGGAUGAUGUUUGGAACGAAAGACGAGAAGAAUGGGAAGCUGUGCAAACUCCUCUUAGCUAUGGGGCUCCAGGAAGUAGAAUUCUUGUCACAACUCGUGGUGAGAAAGUUGCUUCCAACAUGAGGUCUAAAGUGCAUCGCCUAAAGCAAUUAGGAGAGGAUGAAUGCUGGAAUGUUUUUGAAAACCACGUAUUAAAAGAUGGUGAUAUUGAACUGAAUAAUGAGCUAAAGGAGAUUGGUAGAAGGAUAGUUGAGAAGUGCAAUGGAUUGCCUCUAGCUUUGAAAACAAUUGGAUGUCUAUUACGCACAAAAUCAUCCAUUUCAGAUUGGAAAAACAUAUUGGAAAGUGAAAUAUGGGAGUUACCAAAAGAAGACAAUGAAAUUAUCCCUGCGCUAUUUCUGAGUUAUCGCUACCUUCCUUCUCAUCUUAAAAGGUGUUUUGCUUAUUGUGCCUUAUUCCCCAAAGAUUAUGAGUUUGUGAAGGAAGAGUUAAUUUUGUCGUGGAUGGCCCAAAAUUUUCUACAAUGCCCACAACAAAAAAGGCAUCCAGAAAAAGUUGGUGAACAGUACUUCGAUGAUCUACUGUCAAGGUCUUUCUUUCAACCAUCAAGUGUCGAGAGACAUUUCGCAUGCAUGACCUUCUGAAUGAUUUGGCAAAAUAUAUUUGUGCAGAUUUAUGUUUCAGGUUAGGAUUUGAUAAAGGAAAAUGUAUGCCGAAAACAACUCGUCAUUUUUCCUUUGUAUUCCGUGACGUCAAAAGUUUUGAUGGUUUAGGGAGUUUAACUGAUGCUGAAAGACUGCGUUCAUUUAUUCCAAUUACACAAAUUGGGAGAAAUUUUUUUGGCAGUUUUGCAUGGCAAUUUAAGGUAUCGAUACAUGAUUUGUUCUCCAAGAUUAAGUUUAUACGCGUCUUAUCUUUUAAUGGUUGUUCGAAAAUUAAAGAAGUCCCACAUUCUCUAGGUGAUCUUAAACAUCUCCAUUCGUUAGAUCUUUCGAAUACUGGUAUACAAAAGCUACCUGAAUCGAUAUGUUUGCUUUAUAACUUGCUAAUACUGAAGAUGAACUAUUGUUCAGAGUUGGAAGAGUUUCCCUUAAAUUUGCAUAAACUUACCAAAUUGCGUUGUCUGGAAUUUAAAUAUACAAAAGUGACAAAGAUGCCAAUGCAUUUUGGAGAAUUGAAGAAUCUUCAAGUAUUGGAUACGUUUAUCAUUGAUAGAAAUAGUGAGGUCAGUACUAAGCAGCUGGGAGGACUUAAUCUUCAUGGAAUGCUAUCAAUUAAAGAGGUGCAGAAUAUUGUGAAUCCUUUGGAUGCAUCAGAAGCAAAUUUGAAAAAUAAACACCUUGUGGAGCUAGGCUUAGAAUGGAAGUUGGACCACAUCCCUGAUGAUCCACGAAAAGAGAAGGAAUUACUUCAGAAUCUACAACCUUCCAAUCACUUGGAGAAUUUGUCAAUCAAGAACUACAGUGGUACAGAAUUCCCAAGUUGGGUAUUCGAUAAUACAUUAUCAAAUCUGAUAUCCUUACUAUUGAAGGACUGUAAGUAUUGCCUAUGUUUGCCUCCCCUUGGACUUUUGGCAUCACUAAAGAUCCUCAUAAUUACAGGGCUUGAUGGAAUAGUGAGCAUUGGUGCUGAAUUUUAUGGGACCAACUCUCCAUUUACGUCCUUGGAAAGGCUGGAAUUCUACAACAUGAAGGAAUGGGAAGAAUGGGAAUGUAAAAAUACUUCUUUUCCACGUCUUCAACAUCUUUAUCUGGAUAAAUGUCCCAAACUAAGAGGUUUGUCAGACCAACAUCUUCAUUUAAUGAGAUUCUUGAGCAUUAGUUCAUGUCCACUUGUGAAUAUUCCCAUGACCCAUUACGACUUCCUUGAAGGUAUGAUGAUUGAUGGUGGUUGGGACUCUCUUACAAUCUUUCUGCUAGAUUUAUUUCCAAAGCUCCACUCACUUCAUUUGAUAAGAUGCCAAAACCUAAGAAAAAUUUCACAGGAGCACGCUCAUAAUCAUCUCCGGUCUCUAGAAAUUAAUGAUUGCCCUCAAUUUGAAUCAUUCCUUAUUGAAGGAGUAUCUGAAAAACCCAUGCAAAUCCUUACUCGAAUGGAUAUAGAUGAUUGUCCAAAAAUGGAGAUGUUCCCAGAUGGAGGUUUGUCAUUAAAUGUAAAAUAUACGAGUCUUUCAAGUUUAAAACUUAUCGCCUCCCUCAGAGAGACAUUGGAUCCCAACACAUGUCUUGAGAGCUUGAAUAUUGGAAAGUUGGAUGUGGAGUGUUUUCCGGAUGAAGUUUUGCUGCCACGAUCUCUCUCCAAACUAGGAAUCUAUGAUUGCCCAAAUCUUAAAAAGAUGCACUACAAGGGUCUCUGCCACCUCUCUUCUCUCACACUUAUUAAUUGUCCCAACCUUCAAUGCUUACCAGAGGAGGGUCUGCCAAAAUCCAUCUCUUCUCUUGUAAUCUUGGAUUGUCCAUUGCUAAAGGAGCGUUGUCAGAAUCCAGAUGGCGAAGACUGGAGAAAGAUUGCUCACAUCCAAAAACUGAAUAUUGGGUAAUAAGAUGAGGCAUAAGUUCAAGAUUAGAUGUGCAGUUAUUUCCAUUUUUCUUCCACUUCAAGAGGUGCUAAUUCUCCACAAUAUCUCUUUACCUUUACAUUUACAAUUUUCUUAGUUGCGAAAAUUAUUAGUAAGUGGAUUUCUAAUACUUACUAAUCGUUCAUUCAUACUAUCUUUUUUUACAGUAUCCUUCUCUAUAUCUGGAGGGAGUAGAAGAGACCCUCUUUAGAGAUCUUACUCUUGACCACGAUGCUUUCUAAGGUGGCUGUUUUUAAAAUACUUAUGGUCACAGUGUGUUGUGUGGACUGUGAUAUUAUAAGUCUUUCCAAAGUCUGUUUCUACCAAUGUGCCAAGAUAUGAUAAAGAGAAAAAAAGUAGAAGGGUUUGAAGUUGAAUUAUCAGAGGAUGAGUUACCUAAACAAGUCCUGGGCAAACUCCUACAUCUGAUAGAGAGAUUGAGGCAAUGGGAGUUGUGAAAUGUAAAUGCUUCUAAGCGUCCAUUCUUAGAACUUGAAAUUGUACAUGUUUUUCUUACUGAGUUAGAAAUAGCAUUCAAGUUGUUUGUGAGCAUUGCAUGUAACUUGUAUUUUUUAUUCCUUUUGUUUCCAUCUAUUCACUGUAUAUAAAAAAAAUGUUCUGGUUAGAACUGAUGUCAACUGUUGAAACCAAAUUUUCUUUCAUUUAUCUCAUAUGCUUGGAUAAAGACAUGCAUAUCCAUCAUCUUUCUUUCGAAACUUAUGUGGCGUCCAUACCAAAAUACAGAAAAAGGUAGUGAACUAUAUUACUUCAUGAUAAUAACUGGAUCAGAAAAUGGUGAAAGAAGAACUAUUUAUUGAAUGUACGUAAAUUGAAUCAUUGGUUUUUGAGAGGCCUUCAUUACCCUUUAUCUUAGAAUGUAGAUUUCAGUAUAACUCAAUUCUACAAAAACUGGUUUACAUUAAUAUGUUGAUCAUGAUAGACUUUAUUUUUCCUGUACUUCAAUAUUACCUACAUGGUUCUAGCUCCCUGUCAUUAACAAUUUUUCUCAACUAUUUUCUUUCUCAUCUUUGUCGUUGAUGGUUUUAUGUAAAGUAUGGAUCCAACGGUUAAUAUGUGUUCAAUUUCUUCUCUCUAAUGGAAGCCAUAGGAAAGAAAUCAUUCAUUCAUCUUUUUAAUAUAACAGUCAUGAAACAUGUGUAUGAAACAGGUAUAUAUCAAUUUAGUUUCUUUCACUAUAGUUUGUUUAUAAAAUGAGUGGUGGUAGGAGUAUAUCAGUAGCAGAGACCUGUUGAAGAUUAUAAUAAUAUAAAUAAUUGAUAGUUAAAACUUUGGUAGCUAAUUAGAUAUCAAUUUAAAAACUAAUUAAUAAUAAUAGAAACUAAUUUAGAAACCAAAAAUUUUUUUAGUCUCUAAAAUGGUCUCUAACUUAGUCAUUAUAGUAAUUAAUUAUUUUUUUCUCUAAAAUUAGUUUCUAUUCUUGUAAUGUGAAUUAAUGAAAUUUCAACACAAAUUUUCUCUAAAUAAUGCUUUCCAAAUUGAAUAUAUAGUUGUUUCAAUUAUUUAAAACAAGUUUACAGAACAUCAAUACCAAUACUUAUCUAGGAAACACCAAACACCAGCUACCGUAGGGUUGUAAUUUUUAUAAAUCACAAAUUUACUGCACCGUGAAACCAUAUCCAUCACCAAUUUCUUAUGCAAUGCACACAAUAAUUUUAACGUUGUCCUCAAGUCAAAUCAAACAAUAAUUUCUAUCAAGCACAUAAACCCAAGAACUUCAAUUGUAACCCAUCAAAGAUCAAAACUAGAAAUUUUAUACUUCAUCACAGAGUUUGAUAACAAGAUUGGACUGAACUGUGAGAUGAGAUGCACCAGCGACUACCAUAAUGUUCAAUGGUUUAAACCAUUCAUACAGUAAAUUGGACAGAAACAAGAAUUGUUACUCACUACGAAAUAGUUCAAUUUCCAAUUACACAGUGAAUGAAUCAAAAUUAAGUAUAAUUUUUGCUCUACACACGCAAAAGUUCCAGCAAUCACCAACUCAAAAGGAGUAAAAAUUGUGCCACUUUAAAUUACUGUUUUGAAAAUUCAAUGACACAAGAAAAAUAUUGCAUUGACUUCAACUACAAUAACGAAGCAUUUAUACAAACACGUCAUUUGCAGUUUAACCAACACGCAAAUGUUUGAAUUAUCAACUCUUCAACGAGUCAACACAAAAAUAAUUUGAUCAAUGACACACAAAAAUCACAAAUCUCCCCAUGCAAUUUAGUGGAAAUUUUCGUGCAUAUUACAUUCAUAUCAACGAAAAGAGGCAAAUAGAAAUUACAAUUUCCAUACUCACAUCGAAUUCACUAGAACAAAUGACAGUAUCAUCGUUGAGUAAUUCCAAGCACGCAAACUAAUUUUUUUCUCCAAAAGUCGAUUUUAUGAAUUGAAAACUCAUGAUAUUUAAAUAUUAUCAUAGACACUAGGUGUAUAAAACUUAAAUCUUUAAGACAAAACAAAACCAAAAAAAUAUUUAAAAGACAUUGUCUAAUAACAUAAUGAAUUGAGUAUUACACACAUUUAUUUGCAAUUGUAGCUGCAUGGGUUAUGCAGAUUACUGCAUCCAUUAUUGAUUAUUGAGGGACUAUCAUGUACAAAAGAAACACUAAUCCAAACCUAGAAUUAACAUUUAAGCACAAAAUCUGAACUCUUUAUUCCUUUAUCAAUUCAUAAAUAUAAGAAUAAAACGAAGAAUCAUUCUUAUUUAAAAUUAAUUUCUUUUAUUAGCUGAAAUAAAACCCUAAUCCAAACCUAGAAUUAACAUAAGCAUAAAAUUUGAACUCUUAUUCCUUUAUCGCCUCCACAAAGCUCUUAAAGUUCUCAUAAGAUGUACCUCCUUUUGCUAUGUUGUUCAUCACUUUCUCCUUCAACACCACACACCUAAAUCUUAUGUUCUCAUCAUUAAAUAAUUGUUCCACUUUGGUUUUCAACUCUCCCCGUGAAACAACCCCAUUUUGAUCCUUGUCAAUCCCCAACCCAACCUUUAACUCAUCACAAAUAUGUGCUUUGUUGUAAAGUUGGUCCCCAAAGUAUGGCCAACACAAGAAAGAUACCCCAUUGGACAAACCUUCCGUGGUAGAAUUCCAACCACAAUGAGUGACAAAACAUGCUAUGGCAGGGUGGCUUAAAACCUUUUGUUGAGGAGCCCAAUUCACUAUCUUACCCUUAUGCCCUUGGAAUUCAUGAGGGUAUGCCAUUUUAUUGUCUUCUCUUAUAACCCAAAGAAAAGGUCUAUUAGUGAGAUCUAGUCCAACGGCAAGUUCAUUGAAUUGGUUUUGGUCAAAAAGAGUGAUACUACCAAAGGCAACAUACAACACAGAACCAUCAGCUUGUUCAUCUAGCCAACUCAUGCAAGAGAGAUCUUCUUUCCAGAAUUGUCCCAUUGAUUUUGUAGCUGCACUUUUGUUAUGAUCAUUAUCAUUGCUUCUCAACAAUGGCCCAAUUGGGAUGAUCUUGGGAAGAAAUAAUAAUGUUCCAGGUUCAAGUUCAUGUGUGGUGUUGCAAAGCCACCACUGUGUCAAAUGUAAACUUCGUAAGCAAUGCAGCAGAUACUUACGCACUUUCUUACCAGUUGUUAGGUCACCGAUAUUCAACCAAAAAAAGUCUUCUGUAUCCAUCUCAGGCAUACUUGGAGAAAUCCGAAUUCUCUUUUUGGUGGUUGAUGUUAAACCUUCAGUGAAAAACCAACAAAAGAACAUUAGCUUAUACAACGUAUAAAUUAAAUUAUAAAUUAUGUUCAAACUUAACAAUACCUAAAUCAGAGUCUAUAACUCCCUCAUCAAUAAGCACAGGGAUGCUGUACACCAAGGUGAAAGUAGCUGCUGAUGCAGGACCCAACACAGCUCCUUGGAUUCCCAGUUUACUCCCAACAUCCAAAGCCCAAGCCAUGCACAAAUCAGCAACAAUGAAGUUGAUUCUCUUCUCACCUUUCACAUGAAUAUCCUCUAUCAACUUCUCAAGUGCUUCUGGCAUGGUUUUUGGAAAGACAUCAUACAGCUUGGCCAGAUCGUUUCUGUCAUCAUCAGGUCCUAAACCAUCAGGGAUUGAAACCAACUUCAGAAGUGAUUCUUCUUCAUCAGGGCUAGAACUAUCUUGUUGCUCCACCAUGGAACUCACCACUCUCCUGUGGUUAAAGUCUGUGUUCACAAAAAUGACUUUGCAUCCAUUCUCAAUCAGCUUCUGUGAGAAGGUCAUCAUGGGAUUCACAUGCCCUUGUGCUGGAAGUGGUAAAGCUAGCACAGUUGGAGCUCUCAUGUUCAGUGUUUCUAUUUGGUUUCUAUUGAUUUUGAUUUCUGAGGCUAAUUAUGCAUUCAUCAGUUCAUGUAUAUAGGCACAACCCCUCACACGUAUUUACCAAGCAAUUACAAAUCUAGAUCAUGAUCACUCUAAAUUUUCUGCUAUCACAAAUUUCUUGUAAGCAGAAAUGUAGAAAGUUUGUGUGGUCACAUCAAUAAUUUUGUCAUUCUAUACCUCUUUACUUUUCCUUGUACUUCUCUGAUUGGACUUCAGUGUUUUUGUCAUUAAACUUUUGCUUUUUUACUUUAUUAAUUGAUUCAGCAUUAUGCUGUUAUUUCAUUACGAGAAUUAUUAAUUACAGUAAGAAAUAUCUCUUUUAAUUUGAAUCAAUUUGAAAGGAAAGGUAAUAAAUGAAAAUUUCCAAAUAAUAAACUACAUUUUCUAAGGUUGAGGUACAAAUAUAAAGGUUAAAAAUGGAAAUAUACAAUUUUCUUUCAUUACCAGAAAUAUUGCAUAUAGUGUGGACCUAAGACUAGGACAUAAAGAGGUAAACACUGAUCCUACAUAGUUGUUAGUGUCGGCAACAUAGUUGUUAGUGUCGGCAACUGUCUUAUUAAAAAUAAAAACACUACAAGAAAAUCAUAAAAUAAAAAUCAAUUUUUAGAGAUCAAAAUAAUUACUUACAAUAGGAACUAAAAUAGAGACCAUUUUAGAAACUAAAAAAAAAUUGAUUUCUAAAUUAGUUUCUAUUAUUUUCUAUUAUUGUUAAAUAGUUGUAUCUAAUUAGCAACUAAAGUUUUAACUACCAAUUAUUUAGUUUCUAAAUUUGGUCUCUAAAACUUUGGUUGCUAAUUAGAUACCAAUUUAGAAACUAUUUAACAAUAAUAUAAACUAAUUUAGAAACUAAAUUUCUUUUUAAUUUCUAAAAUGGUCUCUAAUUUAGUUAUUAUUGCAACUAAUUAUUUUGGUUUCUACAAAUUGGUUUCUAUUUAAUGAUUUUAUUCAAGUGAAACUAAUAUAAAAUAAAAACUGAUGCAGAUUGAAUCAGCUAAAUCAAUGCAAGUUUACGUUGUGUAUAUUAAUUAAAAAUUAAAAUGAAUUAGACGGACACAAAUUAAACUGGAUAAAAAUAGAUUUAAUUUUAGUAUCGUUUUAGCAGAUGUAUUUUUUAGAAAUAAAAAUAAUAUUACGUAGAAAAUUAUUAAAUAUAAAAUAAUUUUAAAAAAAUUAGUUACUAUAGUAAUUAAAUUAGAGAUUAUUUUAAAAAUUAAAAAAAUUAUUAGUUUUUAAAUUAGUUUUUAAUAUUGAUAAAUAAUUUUUAAAUUAAUAUCUAAUUAGUUAUUAAGGUUUUAACUAUUAAUUAUUUAGAUUCUAAAUUUGAAACCUCGAUGAUUAAUUAAAUACCAAUUAAAAAAUUUAUUUAUUAAUAAUAGAAAAUAAUUUAAAAACUAAUAAUUUUUGUUUUUAAUUUUAUUACUAUAACAACUAAUUAUAUUUUAUUUUUAAAAUUGAUUACUAUUUAGUGAUUUUUUUUUACGGUAAAUAAUAUAUAAGUUAGUGUGUUAUUGGUCGAUGGAAUAUUAGACGCUGGCUGGUAUAUGUAAUUUGGAGUCUAUUUGGAAAUGAAAUUUGAACUUGUUUUCUCAAAUUAAUGCCAGAUUAUAUUUGAACUAAAUUUUAAUUAAUUCAAAUUUAAUUUGAGUGAAUAUAAUACUUGUGAUUAAUUAUAAUAAAGAAAUAAAUUUACAAUAAUACUAAAUUAUUUUAAGAAUUAUAUUAAACAUAGUUGCAACUAAUUUAAAGUUAUAGUCCAAAUUCUAAAUUGAAAUAAAUAUUAAAAUUAAACUAUAACAUGUGCUCUUGUUAUUGGAAUCCAAAUCAUAAUUGAAAUUGGACUAUAAUGUAUAUGUCUUGUAAUCCUAAAUAAAGUAGAAUGAAAAUUUAAGGAUAGUUAUAACAAUUCUCAUGCAGACAUAUGAGUUUUAACAAAGAAAUCAGAUUUGAUACUUCCAUCGCAUCGUUAGAAUUCAAAGAAAUAAUAAAGAAUGUAAUGUAUAAGUGCGUUUGUCUUUAUUGGAAUGGAGAGGAUUCCCACCAAUGCCAAAAGGGCAUUUGUUUUGAUGGGAAUGAAUAUGAUUUUCUCCAAUUAUAGGAGGACAUUUGUCAACCUCUAAUUUGAGAUGAUUUGCUCUAAUUAGAGAGAGUCACAUGUCCUUCUAUGACGGGAGAGUUUUUAGGAUUAAAACUUACACUUUGGUUGCACAUAACACUAUAAAUACAAUAGCUAGCCCUCUUGUAAAGGAGUUUUGAAUAGAUUAUUGAAUUGCUGCCAAAUUUCAGCCCCAACUAGUCUCUUAGCUCACUCCUCGCUAGCCUUAUUUGUAAGUGGUUAGCAUAGAAGUUCUUAGGAGUUGGUCUAACUUCUCUUAAGCUUCAUUAUUAUUCUCUAUACACCAAUAUUUCAGAGGUUCUUUCACUCAUUUUAGUCACCAAAUUUCACAUCUCAAAAGAUAUAAAACAAAAGAAACAAAGUCAUAUGCAAGCUAGGAUUGCAUCACCUAGUACCCAAGUGGUUAGAUCUAUGGCCACAAAGUAAGCAAUAUGUGCUUGAUAGAAUAUUCUCUUGUGAAUUAGGGUUUAAGCUGUUUAGGUAUUUGGAUGUAUGACACACAGACAGUGGGUUUAGGAACUAGUAAAAAAAGGUUGUCUGAAGAGGAUAAAUAUGUGGAAAUGAAAUAUAAAAGAAAAGCUAAAAUCUCUAAACAAAACAAGUGUGUGGAACAAAAGAUGUGUUUCGGCAAAUGCUAAGAAAAAUGGAAGAGUGUGUCCUAAAAAUUAGUGAGUUGGACAUAAAGGGAUGAACACUAAAGUUCAUAUGAAGCUUGUAGAACAGAAAGAAAAAUAUAUAUUUGCAUCUAACAUCAUAUCUUUCGAAUAAAGAGUGACUCUAGAGUAAGAAAAAUUGAACAAUAUAAGACAAUAUGAAUUUUUUUCAAGGACGAAAAUAUAAAAAAAAGACUCUAAUCGAUGACUUAGUUUAACAUAUAUAGUUGUCAUUUACAACUACUAUGGAUAAAGAGCAAUUAGAAGAUUACAAUAUUUACAAAGAUAAUAUUAUUAAAAUAUAAACCGAAAUUCACAUAAUUAAGAACAAGUUUAAAUUUAAAAAAUCUUUAAUUUUGAUAAUAACCAAUAAUAUUAUAUUUUAAUUAAAAGAUAAAAUUCGACGGUGUGUCUCAGCUCACCAAAUUUUAUCACAAUUGAAAAGCUCAUUGGUGACCUUUUACCCUUUAAUAUCGACCACCUACUUUACUUUUUUUGUUGGAUCAAUCAAUUAUUAGGAUAUUAAUAAUUGGAUUACUGGUAAAUAUUUAGACCACAAAGAUUUAUAUAAUUUUUUAUUUUCUCCAAGAUAGAGCCUUGUUUCUUGCCGUGUCAUAUAUGUGUCCCUUGUUACCAAGGGAUGGUUUUGCUAUUUUUGGAUGCUUUGAAGCCUUUAAAAAGACCUUUUCAACCAAACAAAAAUAGCCACAGAAUUACAUAGAGAAAAAAUGUUUGCUGAAGUAUUUAUAGAAAGAAAAUCAUUAGAUAAAAAAUAAAAAAUAGCUACGGAAUUACAGAAAAAAAAAAUAUUUACCGAAAUAUUUAUGCAAGACAAAAAAAUCAUUAAAAAAUAAUUUUAAAGAUAAAAAAUAGUUAAUUUAUUAUAUUAAUUAAAUUAUAUACUAUUUUAGAUAUUAAAAAAAAUUAUUGAUAUUUAAAAUAGUUUCAAUUAUUAAUAAAUAGUUUUUAUUAUUGAUAAAUAGUUCCAAAAUAUCACUAAAAAAAAUAUGAAAUAGAAAUCAAUUUUUAAAAAUCAAAAUAAUUAGUUACAAUAGUAACUAAAUUAGAGACCAUUUUAGAAACUAAACAAAAAUUUGAUUUUUAAAUUAGUUUCUAUUAUUGUUAAAUAGUUUCUAAAUUGGUAUCUAAUUAGCAAGGUUUUAACUACCAAUUAUUUAGUUUUUAAAUUUGAUCUCUAAAACAUUGGUUGCUAAUUAGAUACCAAUUUAGAAACUAUUUAAUAAUAAUAAAAAUUAAUUUAAAAACUAUUUUUUGUUAGUUUAUAAAAUAGUCUCUAAUUUAGUUACUAUUACAACUAAUUAUUUUGGUUUCUAAAAAUUGGUUUCUAUUUCAUGAUUUACUUGUAGUGUAUUUAAUUAUACUAUAAGAAAAUCACAACCAAAUUUAGGAACAAAAUAAUUAAUCACUAUAUUAACUAAAUUAGAUACUAUUUUAAAGACUAAAAAAUUAUUAAUAUCUAAAAUGAUUUUUAUUAUUAAUAAAAAAUUAUAAAAUAAUUUUUAAAUUGUUAUCUAAAUUAGCUACCAAAAUUUUAUCUACUAAUAUUUAAUAAAUAUGAAUUAUUGAAAUGAAGCAACAUCAAGUUAAUUAUCAUUUCAAUGCAUGGUACCACUUUAUGUAAAAUGAUUUCAUCUUGCUCGUUAAUUGUAUCAAUCAAACAACUUAAUUCAACAGUUGAAUCCAACACUUAAAUGCAAAAUGAAUCAAAUUCAAGUUGGCAACUAAAGUCACUUGUUGAACUCAAAAAAGUUUCAGAAUUAUAUAAGAGUGCCAACUAAGGACAUCUUCCAUGCAACAAAGAAAUUUAAACACUGAUUGCAAACCAUAAAUGCUAAAACUAAAUUAAUGAAAUUGCAACACAAAUUUUCACUUAAUAAUAUUUUCCAAAUUGAAUAUAUAGUUCCUUAAAUUAUUUAAAACAAAUUUACAGAACAUCAAUACCAAUACUUCUCUAGAAAACACCAAACACCAGUUACCGUAGGGUUGUAAUUUUUAUAAAUCACAAAUUUACUGCACCAUGAAACCAGAUCCAUAACAAUUUAUGUAAUGUAAACAAUUAUUUUAACUUUGUCCUCAAGUCAAAUCAAACAGUAAUUUCUAUCAAGCACAUAAACACCAAGAACUUCAAUUCUAAACCAUCAAAGAUCAAAACUGGAAAUUUUAUACUUCACCACAGAGUUUGACAAUAAGACUGGACUGAAUUGACAGAGUUUGACAAUAAGACUGGACUGAAUUGUGAGAUGACGUACACCAACAACUACCAGAAUGUUCAAUGGCUUAAACCAUUCAUAGAGUAAAUUGGAUAGAAACAAUAAUUGUUACUCACCACGAAACAAUUCAAUUUCCAAUUAAACAGGGAAUGUAAUCAAAAUUAUGUAUAAUUUAUGCUCUACACACGCAAAAGUUCUAGCAAUCACCAACUCAAAAGAGUAAAAUUGUGCCACUUUAAAUUACUGUUUCGAAAAUUCAAUGACACAAGAAAAAUAUUGCACUGACUUCAAUUACAAUAAUAAAGCAUUUAUACCAACACGUUAUUUGCACUUUAACCAACACGCAAAUGUUUGAAUUAUCAAUGCUUCAACGAGUCAACACAAAAGUAAUUUGAUCAAUGACACACAAAAAAAUCACUAAUGUCCCCAUUCAAUUUAGUGGAAAUGCUCGUGCAUAUUACAUUCAUAUCAACAAAAAGAGUGAAGAGAAAUUACAAUUUCCAAAUUAACACUACAAGAAAAUCAUAAAAUAGAAAUCAAUCUUCAGAUACCAGAAUAAUUAGUUGCAAUAGUAACUAAAUUAGAGAUUAUUUUAAAAAUUAAACAAAAAAUUGGUUUCUAAAUUAGUUUCUAUUAUUUUCUAUUAUUGUUAAAUAGUUUUUAAAUUGAUAUCUAAUUAGCAACCAAAGUUUUUUAGACCAAAUUUAGAAACUAAAUACUUGGUAGUUAAAACCUUGAUUUAGUGUAACCUCAAGGAAGAAGCGUGUAAAAUAGAGUUACAAGUGAAGAAUGGUGAAGAGUGAAUGUCACCAUGCGCAGGAGUUUAUAAAAGAAAAAUAUUAAAAUACUUUACUGUGAUUUUAUGAAAAAACCACGGACACUUACCAAAGGUUUAAAAAAAAUGUGUACUAUGUGUAUGUCUUAAUAGAAAUUAUAGUAACAUUAAGUAAUAAACCUCUCCUAAAAUUAUAAAUUUUUGUAAUGCCUAAACUAGCAUAUUUGUUGAAGAUGACCAAAUAAGAAAACUAGGAGUUGGAAAGGAAGUGAAAGUUCCAUUAAUUAUACUCAUUUUGGAAAUAAAAUUUAAUACUCAUUAUGUUUCAAUUCUAUUUCUAUAUGAUAUAACUAUAUCUAUUUAAAUAUGUAUUAAAUAACUUUUAAAAAAAAGUAAACUUAAAUCAAAAUGAUAUUAUUUAGAAUUCAAUUUAAAAUGUAUUUCUUUAAUAUCAAAUAACAGUUAUUAUGAAGUGGGUUUGCACCCUCUCAUACCAUAUUACGAAGUGGACUUUAAGUCUAACUCAAAGCCAUAAAACCGGCUCAAUGGGGUGAGGUUUGCACCCACUUAUAUACUAUGAAAGGCUCUAAUCUCUAAUCGAUGUGGGAUUGCACCCACUUAUAUACUAUGAAAGGCUCUAAUAUCUAGUCGAUGUGGGAUCUCCAACAACAGUGAAAAAAUUAUAAUAAUAUAAUAUUCAAAAUAAAGUACUAAAUAAAAUAAAAUUAAUUUUAGAAUUUAAAAUAGAAGGUGUAUAGGAAUGAGACGAAUAUCUAUUUAGAUAUCUUUAUCAUUUUAGUGAAACGACGGGAUUACAAUGGUAGAAAAAUACCCAAGGAUAUUUAUGGAUUGAAACUAAUAUGAAAACACAUGCUAGAAAAUGGAAUAACAAUAUAUGAGAGUUCAAGUGGAGGAAAAAUUGGUUUUGAAUGGGGAAGGCUAUGGUAGAAGCGUUUAAGACAGAUUUAACAAAAAUUAAGCCAAAUAAAAAUAUUGACAUAUGUAGAAAUUCUUUCGUAUAUUCUGAAAACAUAGGUACUAGUUGUAUAAAGUCUAAAUCCUUAGGACAAAACAAAGCCAAAAAAACAAGCAAAAGACUCUUCAAAUUGCAACAAAUAAAAAUUAUUGUACAAUAUUCCUUAUUCAUAAAUGCAUCAUGUCGAUCUAAGUGCAUUUGCAUUGUCUAAUAACAUAAUUAAUAACAUAAUAAAUUGGGUAUUACACACAUUUAUUUUGGCAAUUUUAGCUGCAUGGGUUAUGCAGAUUACUGCAUCCAUUAUUGAUUAUUGAGGAACUAUCAUGGUACAAAAAAAGACUAAUCCAAACCUAGAAUUAACAUUUAAGCACAAAAUCUGAGCUCUUAUUCCUUUAUGGCCUUCACAAAGCUCUUAAAGUUCUCAUAAGAUGUUCCUCCUUUUGCUAUGUUCUUCAUCACUUUCUCCUUCAACACCACACACCUACAUUUUAUGUUCUCAUCAUUAAAGAUCUGUUCCACUUUGGUUUUCAACUCUCCGCGUGACACAACUCCAUUUUCAUCUUUGUCAAUUCCCAACCCAACCUUUAACUCAUCACAAAUAUGUUCUUUGUUGUAAAGUUGGUCUCCAAAGUAUGGCCAACACAAGAAAGGUACCCCAAUGGACAAACCUUCCAUGGUAGAAUUCCAACCACAAUGAGUGAGAAAACAUGCUAUGGCAGGGUGGCUUAAAACCUUUUGUUGAGGAGCCCAAUUCACUAUCUUACCCUUAUGCCCUUGAAAUUCAUGAGGGUAUGCCAUUUUAUUGUCUUCUCUUAUAACCCAAAGAAAAGGUCUAUUGGUGAGGUCUAGUCCAAGGGCAAGUUCAUUGAAUUGGUUUUGGUCAAAAAGAGUGAAACUACCAAACGCAACAUACAGCACAGAACCAUGAGGUUGUUCAUCUAGCCAACUCAUGCAAGAGUCAUCUUCUUUCCAGAAUUGUCCCAUUGGUUUGGUGGUUGCACUUUUGUUAUUAUCAUUGUCAUUGCUUCUCAACAAUGGCCCAAUUGGGAUGAUCUUAGGAAGAAACAACAAUGUCCCAGGUUCAAGUUCAUGUGUGGUGUUGCAAAGCCACCACUGUGUCAAAUGUAAACUUCGUGCACAAUGCAGCAGAUACUGAAGCACUUUCUUACCAGUU